UCUCUCUCUCUCUCUCAAUCCUAAAACCCUCUGCUGAGGAAAACCCAACCCGUAAUCAAAUCAAAUCGUCGCCCUUCACCUCCUUCACUUUCUCUCUCUUUCAAUAGAGUUUUUAAGUUCACAUAGGAUUUUUACGCUUUUUUACGUUUUUCACGCUUCACCUUAUCUACCACGAAAGUUUCAUGGUUCGACUUGCACGACUCAAUCGACGGAACACGUUUUCCUCGAUAAAUCUUUUUUUUUCCUCUUUUUCUUUGUCGUUUAGGUUUUGGUAAUUUAUUGUUAGGGUUUUUAUGCGGCGGCGGAGGCGGGGUUUGUUAAAGGUUUAUUAGGAAACUAUGGCCGCGUCGGCGGCGGCUUCGACGGCGUCGCUGGCGAAAGUUUGCUUCAAUUCCAACUGCAAGGAAACUCUAGAGAGGCCGAGGAAAGGUUGGCGUCGCCGGACCGGCGAGUUUGCUGACCUUUGUGAUCGUUGCGCGUAAGCCAAUUUAUUUCUUUUAAUUACCGUUGCGGAUUUAGAAGUUUUGCGUUAUUUUUAUGACCCCCAUUUUACUUGUGUACUAAGUUUUGAUUUCAUGUCUUGUGUUUUGGGUUUAUUUUAGUAGUUUUUUUGUGUCAAAAUCGUAUCUUUGGGAAUGCUAAGCAGAACUAGAGUCUGACAAAUGCUGCUGUUGAAUUUCACUUCUCUGUUACAUUUCCUUAUUUUUAAUUUUUUCCUGGAAAAUAGUGAGUGGUGUUUCUGGUGCUUACUUGAGCUUUGACUUAUUGGGCAUGACUGUUGUGUUUGGUAAGAUCAGAUUUUUUAUAGGAUAUGCCUCUUAGUAGCAUGUUCUAUGAGAGUUCAGGUUGUGAUAUAUUUGUUCGGUAAAAAACCGUUGUACUGUUUAUGUUACUAUCGAGGCAAGAGGUCAUUGUUAAAACGCUGUUAUUACCUGAAUUCCAGAAAUGGGGAAAAAAAUUUAAAGUUAGUGUGCUUCUAAGUAAACGAAUUUAACUAUGUUGGUUGCCCCUUUUUGGUUUUGAAUUGUUUUUCUGAAGUUUCUUGUUAGUAUAAAGUUUCUAUCUUGCUCUUUUCCUUUUCUCGCCUCUGUUGGUAUCUGAUUCUUUAGGAGUCCUGAAGAUAAAUUACUUAAAACUCUAGUGAAGAAAAAUUCCAAAAUGAGGGAAUAAGGCAGUCAGGAAGCCUUCCGUCAUUUAACCCCAAGGGACUUGGUCAGGUUUCGUGUAUUCUUGCUACUAUGGGACUUGUAUGUGUGGGUGAAAACUAUUCUACUAGACAUGGUUUUAUGGUUUUUUACUUGUUUCUUUGGGGGUGAAAACUGUGUUGACAGUACAAGCUACUUAUUAUUAUUCCAUGGUCAUGUGUUCUUGUCAUUAUGAGACUUGCUGUCCUCUUGUUUAGUUGUUGGUUAAUUUAAAUGUAUAUGUCUGGAAAAGGGGGGCAAACAGAUAUCGGAGUAUGCCUGUCUUUUUUUUUUAUAGAGUAAACGUUGAGGAAAAAUAAGGGUUGGGCUCUGGAAGGGAAGGAAAUUAACAUUUCCUUUCUAAAAUAUGAGGUGCUAAAAUGGUUGCAUGAUACAUCACAUUUUUCUAUAUCUGGGUUUAAAGAAUCAUACCUCAGGUCUACUGAUUCUGGAGCUUUUGUUGGACACAUUUCUUAAUUAAUGGGUACAGCUUUUUGAAGGUAUUUUGCUGAUUCUUUGACAAACAUGUACAGUAGGCCAAAUACAUAAUAAGGUGUGCAAGAAGCUUCUUUGGGUGCACAAAUAACAUUUGUAUGGGUAAUGGUGCUAUAUGUCGGCUUGGUCUGCGUUAUGGUGGUUGCAUGCACGAGUGCAGAUGCUCUUAAGACGUAUACAUGGCGGCACAUAUCUGAAUUCAUGGACUUCCCACCUAUGAAGAAAAUUUAAAACCAAUGUCACUCUGAAUGUAUAAGGGACUUUAUAUUCUUCAAUCGUGCAUCUCAGAAACUAUUCUUGAAUACUUUCUGUGCUUCAGUUAUUUCUCUCAAUAAUCCCUUCAUAUUUCUUUAAAGUUGUCUCUAUAGAUACCCUGAACCUGACAAGAGUUAUAUUUGAUUGUAGUUCUGCUUAUGAGGAUGGAAAAUUCUGUGAAUCUUUUCAUCUUGAUGCUUCUGGUUGGAGAUGUUGUGAAUCUUGUGGGAAGGUAAGCCAGAUAUUCAUUGGUUUUCCAGGAUUUGAAUUUAGGUUCAGGGAAACAACCACAGGACCCUGUGGCUAAGUAACUUUUGUUGAUCUGUGCUGCACUAAUGAUGACUUUGUUGGUUUUCAAAUUUGAAAGCUCCAUCCUUUUUCUUCAAUGGGGUUCUAAAUCUUUAAAUUAUCAAAUGCAGCAAAUACAUUGUGGAUGUAUUGUCUCUUUCCAUAUGUUUGUCCUACUGGAUGCUGGUGGAAUUGAGUGUAUAACCUGUGCUCGGAAAAGUUUCAUCUUGGUAAGAGUCAUUUGUUCCAUUUGAUGGUUUCUGAAUUUCGCAUUUGCUUGUCUAUCAUCUAUUGCUUCCCAUAGCUUCCUUUGCACUCUUUUAAGCAUUAGGAAGUCUUGGUGGCAACCGUUUGAUAAGGGCAUAGACAGCUUAGAUUUAAUGAUGGAAAUCCUAAAAAUAGGAUUUAUUGUCUAUGUUUUAGAGAGAUUUAAUGAGCUAAUUAUUUCACCAUCCUUUUACCAAUUUAUGACUUGGAACAUAACUAUGAUUUAGACACUUGUAUUAUGCUUAUUGAGUGUCUAUGUACUACCAGUUUACCAAUUCAAAACUUGAACAUUGCUAUCUUUAGACAGGUGUAAUGAGGUUAGUAGCAUAAACAGCUCCCCUGUAUAAAAAUUCGUCCACGGAAAUAAGCACUUGUGAUUGUUAACUAGUAAAAUAGUUGUAUUGGCAUGAUUUUUUGGCCAAUAAUUUAGUUUUUAGUAUCUGUUUCUGCUAUAUCUUUUGACACCUUAGAAUCUCUAAGCUUGCACAAGUUUAAGCAUAUGAAAGAGUAGCCUCUUCAUCUGAUUGUGUUUUGUCUGAUUUUCCUCUAAUUAUGUAGUUCAGAAACUUGUUUAAAUUAAUAAUUUUGAAAAUUCAGUAAUGCUGUACUAUCCAUGACUUGAAUGUUUAAACCAUAAUCAGUAUUUCUUUCGUAUCCUUUCUCUAAGAUAUUGUUUUGCGGUUCUCAUUUUUUUUCUUGUCAUCUGUCUUGUAGACGCCAAAUCCAGCUUGGCCUCCGCCUUCAUUGUUCCUUCCUUUACAGCCUGAAAGAAUUAAAGAUAUAUCUGUCAAAAAUUGGAGUCCGAUAGCCGGUUCAGGUCCAGUGCCUUGGCGUCAAGCUCCUAGUUUGUUCAAUGGUUCUGCUAUCCAAUCUGAGUUGCAGCCAAGGGUUCCCACACCAAUUGAAUUUGAUGUAUCAGGUGGGGUUGAUAGGCUCCAGCUUAAUGAAAGAUUAUCUUCCUCUUUGGAGAAGAAAAAAAAGGAGGAAUCUUUUGAGAGGUUGAUGAAUGGGAGCCUGAGGAUUUGUUCUUCAGAAUUUGGGAGUGGCACUUUUGGUAAUUGAUUUCACUGCUUAGAGAUGUACUUGAAUUACAUAGUACAUAGAUAUAAGGAAUUAACAUUAUGUCCACCAAUGUAAUUCUUUGUUGCAGGAGCCAUGGGUAAGGAGCAAUCUUUUCCCUUUUCAAAUGCUUCCCCUGAAACUGGGUACCCAUCAACUUCAGAUUUCAGUGUAGCUACAGCUCCUGCAUUGGAAAAUGGAAGCAACAAUCAUACUAAGGUAUCUGGCACUCUUAUUCAACAGACAACCCAGCCAACACCAUCUGAGAAACGACCUUGUGGUCACAACCCAGCAGAUUCGUCUGAGGGUCAACCACGCAAUGGACGGGCCAGACCAGAGGUACGAGCACGGAGUCAAUUGCUUCCUCGUUAUUGGCCCCGAAUAACUGACCAGGAGUUGCAACAGAUAUCUGGAGAGUAUCCUUAUGAUAGAAAAAUCGUGAUAAGUUUUUGUGACACCUUUGACAUUGCUUUAGUUUUGGCUUUUGGUUUAUGGUUGGGUUGAAACUUUUACUUUUAUGCAGACAUGGCAUAAGCUUUCUCAAAGAAGCAUUUAGUUACCAGAAAUUGUUAAUGCACAUAUAAUUUUUAGAUGCUUGAGUUGACAAGCUGACUACUGCAGUUAAGCAUCUUGUUUUGACUUAACUACAUCUAGUUCAAACUCGGUAAUUACACCUUUGUUUGAGAAGAUGCUAAGUGCGAGUGAUGCUGGCCGGAUUGGGCGCUUAGUGCUUCCCAAAAAAUGUGCAGAGGUAAGUACUUAUUAGGUCCUCAGCUUUCGAAUUUUUAAGUGUUUCUGAUCUUUUAGUUUUCUAGAUUGGAUGUUCUUAACAUUUUGAUUGUAAAUUAAUUGUUUUCUAGAUUGGCAUCUGUACACUGUAGCCUAUGGUUGGGUUGUAUGUAAAUGCUGUUAGCUGAAUCUUCAUUUUCUGAUGUGCUACACUGAACAUUGACUGCUGUCAGCUAACAAUGUCACCAAGUUUUGAAAGUAUAUGACUUAAACUUUUUACUGCCUGGAAGUGUUACUUACUGUUCUUUAUUACUUGUUAGAUGGGGGCUUACUUAGAAUUUUCUGUAUAAAUAUUACCUUCUUGUAUUCAUUUCUGAGAAACAUAUGUACUAUGAUGUAGGCCUAUUUUCCACCAAUUUCUCAGCCAGAGGGAUUGCCACUGAAAGUACAAGAUUUGAAAGGGAAGGAAUGGGUUUUCCAGUUUCGGUUUUGGCCAAAUAACAAUAGCAGAAUGUAUGUUCUAGAAGGGAUAACUCCUUGUAUACAGUCUAUGCAAUUGCAAGCUGGUGAUGUAGGUAAUUAUUAUUGUUCAGCACUUUGAAAUCCUUGAAUAUUUCCCUAAUACCACGUGGAUUUUUAGUUCUUUGCUUAUGAUUAAUCAUGGAACCUGAGAGCUAAAUAAGGUUUUUCAUUUUUUUUCCAUGUGGGCUGAAAUGGGAAUGGGAAUGGUCAACCACAUGGUAAACAUCUAUUGUCGUCUGAUUCUAGAAUCAUAUUCCGGUAGCCGUGCAUUGUUUGGUCAGAACCGUCAUUUUAGUUUCUUCUAAUUAAGUAUCAAUUCUCUUACAACUGGUAUCAAUUUGGAAAGGAAUUUAAGUGGUGUUGCAUGGGUGCUUUUGAACGGUGGGGGACUGAGAAAGGUUAAUAAUUCUGCUUCUAGUAAUGUAUCGUACUACCUCUAUUUCAACUAUCAUAAAGCAUGAACAUGGACGACAAAUUUUUGUACUUCAAUAGUAUUUUCAUAAUAAUUAACUAUUUGAUGCUAAUAGCUUCUCCCAUCCUUUUUUCUUUCAACUUUUUUCCUACCUUUACUUUUUCUCCAUGAUUAUUUUACUAAUUGCACAGAUGUAGGGUGUGCCUCUCUCAUUAGUGUUGAAUCAAGUGCUGAGAGCAUAUUUUGUCAUUUUCCUGCAUUAAUUCAUAGGAUGUAGUAUUUGGAGAACUAUAUCUUUGUGUAUAGUGAAGCAUGUACUUAAUGCGAUUCUUUCUUCCACUGUUGCAUUUUGCCACCAAAUCCACCCUUCUCCCUUGUACUCACAAGAAAAAAGAACGCAAAACCUCUCACCACCCACCCAAGAGAGGAAUGAAAGAGGAGAAAAAGAAAACAUGAGUGCAGAAUUAGGAUAUUUGCAUUUUUUUGUAUUUGUAUGCUAAAAUAUCCAGACACUAAUGAUAUGUGAUCAAAUGAUUCAGUAACAUUCAGCAGAAUAGAGCCAGAAGGAAAGUUGGUCAUGGGUUGCAGAAAGGCUUCAUGUGCUCCAUCAGAUCAGGUUGGUCAAUUUACUACAAAAUGCAAAAUAGUGCUCUUUUCCAUGUUCAUGAUAUCCUUAAUUCAUUAUUUUGAGGAUAGAUGCACAGUGCUGGCUUGGCUUGUUUUCUGUUUCUUGUUGGCACAUAUCAGUAACCAGGCCUAUAAGAUUAAAGCUUUCUUAAUUAUUCUAUUAGCAUACAACUGGUGCAUUGGAUUCCUUUUAUCACAUAAUUGUUGUGGACAGGGAGGAUAAGACUGAUUUGCAAUAUAUUAAAAUUGUAGAACUUUCCACAUGACUACAAUAUUUCACACCAGAACUUGUCUUAGUUGUUAACUAUUAUGGUUCUGUUUUUCGCUAGAUUGAUCUUUCAUUAAGAAUACAGCGUCACAUAUUAUGACCUUUUUACAAUAUACAGGGAAAUGAAGCUUCUAAUGCUGGGCAAGGAUAUUCUUCAAACGGGGAUGUUGCGCCUAAGAGUAACAAAGCUGGUGAAAUAACAAAACCUGGUGAACUAGUAUCAACUAAUUCUCGUAUGAAAGGCUACUCAGCAUCAUCCAGUUGUCCAUCACUAAAUCGUGCUGCAGCAAAGUCGGGAAGUUCUUGGCCAGAACAUGAUAAACCAGUGCAUGUAGCCAAAGUAGUUGAAGCCAAGCCUGCAGUCCGUAGUAAGCGAAAAAAUAGCACUUUGGGUUUAAAAAGUAAACGCCUUAGGAUUGAAAAUGAGGACAUGUUAGAGCUGAAAGUCACCUGGGAACAAGUUCAAGGAUUGCUCCGCCCACCUCCUAAUAAGGCUCCUAGCGUCUUUGUUAUAGAAGGUUGUGAAAUUGAAGAGUAUGAGGUAUUCAAGUUGGUCUGUUUAGAUUUUUCUUGUACUUAAGCAUUGAAGCUGGCUUUACUUGAUUUGCUUUUCUAUUUUGAAAGUUUUAGAUAGGCAACCAUUUUCAUCUGUUACCUGCCUUAUUUUGUGUGUGUGUGUGUAUGUUGGUAUAGCUGUUUCUUUUGAGGAAGCACAAUGUAGAAUUUUGUCAUGCUGUAAGUUCAUGAAAAAGCACACCCUUUUUUGCACCAUAUAGCUCAUACGUGCUAGAAGCAUACCAAGAAGAUGGUAGGCUGGAAAAAGAGAUUAAUGGGUAGUACAUUGAGGAUGCACUUUUGAGUCUAAUGUCAUGGUUUUUGAGCAUUUAGUUGCUUUAGUUAAUGCAGCUUUAUUCGUGAAUGAGUUCAUUGAACUGAUUGUUGUUGCUGACAUUUCUUAACAGAAUAUUUUGUAAUUGCUGAUAUCAUUGUCCUGCAUGAAAUUUUUAAAGAAAAUUAUACUCAAAUUUCUAGAAGUUCUCUAAAUUGAUUCUGCUUCUUUGGUCAUCUGUCAAUGCUUCCUGAUAGUUGCUAAGUUAACUUAACAAUGGCUCAAGCUUUUUAAGGAUUUUGAAAUUCUGCAUUCUGACUUCAUUCUCUACAGCAGGACGCACCAGUUAUUGGAAGACCUACUAUUCCUGGUACUGAUCAUCAAGGGUAGGUUCUCUAUGUGCUUCUUGGAAAACUGGAAUUUUUUUUUGACUUCUGUUGCUAUGAUUUUAUACAGGGUAACAUGCCCAUUUUUUUAAAUUUCAUUUUGCAGCAAAAAGAUUCAGUGGGCUCAGUGUGAAGAAUGUUCUAAGUGGCGCAAAAUACCUGCUGAUGCUCUUCUUCCAUCAAAGUGGACAUGUUCUAAGAACUUGUGGGACCCUGAGAGGUAUGGUGGACAACCAAAACUAUGCUUUCUGCUUUGAGGGAUUGGCUGUUUGGAUGCAGCAGCUUGUGGCUGUUUCUCCUGUUGUAUUACAUGCAUUCCAGCCUAUGAUAUGAUGCAUUGCUUAAUUGAUGAUUGUCAUUGUGAUCUCCCACCAUUAUAUGUAGUUACGUGUCUAUUUGCUUGUUCUUUUGCGGUUCUUAGAGAAUAGUGAUUCUGGGAUAACUCUGAUAACAGCUAGUUAUGUUUUAAAACCAAGUGUUUUUACUAUUGCGGUGACUGCAGAAGCUCUCCUGUAAAACUGAAAUGGAGUUGAGUAUGCUCUUUAUCCAUGGUAAAAUAUUGGUGUCAAGUUCAGUAAGGAGGCAUGUGGCAGCUGAGAUUAACCUGUCUUAAUUGAGUGAUAGACCUAAUAGAACUUUAUUGUGUUUAUUUAGUCCUAUGGAUAUGGAUUAAUACCAUGUCUAUAUCACCAAGAGAAUCUCAGAAUUUAUACAGGCUAGUUUCUUGACAAGUUUGAUGUGAGCUGGUGAUAGUUGUUGGUAAUAUUGGUUUCUCUGGCUUGUAGAAUAUUCUCCUUCCCAGUCCUUGCAUCUUUCAAGUUCAAUAUUCUUGCCUCUUAAAUCAGAUCUUUUGCUUUUUAAAAAGUAUAUGACCCAUUUGUGAUUUUGGACCUGAUAGAUUAUUAAGUUCAGGCUAGAAUAUUUUGUCUUAUAACUGGUGCAGGACAUUGCUCUGUUUGAUGUGAAAAGGUUGCAAUGUAUCUCACUUUAUUUGGCACACUAGCCUAGAGCUCCAUGGUACAGUGUGUGAGCUUAUCCUGGAAUCUUACUGAUUCUUUCAACUUUGUUGCAGAUCUCUCUGUUCAACGGUUCAAGAAUUAUCCAUGGAGAAGCUUCAGGACCUAUUACCUGCUAUUAGCAAAAGUAUGAACUUUUUCUUGUUUCCUUCUUCUCAUUGCAUAAAAAACCCAGGUCUGUUUCACCCUUGAGGAGCCUUAGUCUGCUAGACGAGUGCUAGUGUUGUCAUGAUUUGUUAAUUUCCAAAUAAAUAAUAUUACUCCUUUGCAGCUGCUUCUAAGAAGAUAAGGGCUCCUAAGCAGGAUCCUGACUCAGUUGAGGCUUUGGAAGGGCUUGAUGCACUUGCCAAUCUAGCCAUACAGGAAAAAUCAGGGUCCUUUCAGGCAUCCCAGGCAACAACAAAGCACCCGCGCCAUAAGGCUGGUUGUUCGUGCAUUGUUUGCAUUCAACCGCCAAGUGGAAAAGGACCCAAACAUAAGCAACCAUGUGACUGCAUUGUCUGCAAAUCCUUGAAGCGUCGUCAUAAAACCAUGAUGUUGAAAAAGGAGAAAAAUUUAACAGAGAAAAUUCCAGAAACGAGUGACCAAAUGCUUAGCAUGCAAGAGUUGCCUGAACAAGUGCCUAAUGGCCUUGUGAACAAAAGUCCAAAGGAGGAAGUGGUAAGUGAUGAGGGUUGUAUUGACAACCCUGAUGAGAUGUGUUCUGCAUUGCCAUUUAAAGGUCAAAUAGACCUCAAUAUACAGCCAGAAAAGGAGGAAGAGUUGUCGCCUAGUUUUUGUUCUGGUAACAUCCCAAGAUCGAUGCUGGAGACUCGGGAGCGGCAUAACAGGUAGCAGAGGUUAUCAGCUUCUAGUGGUAGAGGAAGUUUAGUUGGCAAUCAGACAUAGCAGGAUGCAGCUGGACGGACAAAUUUCAGUAAUAUUGCUCUUCAUAGCAGUUACAAGAGAACUGAGUCUGACCUGCGUUGGUCUUCAUUGAAAGAGACAGUGGCAUCGUUGUCACCAGCCUGAUGAAGUGUCUUUCCUGCUGUCAUAUAGGGGAGUACCUGAACUACUUUUUUGGUGGAAGAGGCAGGUCUAACUUAGUGUACAUUCAUCUGCUUUUGGAAUUACAUAUUUGUAUAUAAACUGGUAGGAUGUAGUUCUAUCGCUGCAAAAACAAGUAGUACAUUUUUCAGGUAACUAUCUGGAUAUCGUGGCCUUCCUUUGCUCGUCUUUGCUCGGUAGUGUUUAGAUGCACUUGGAGAGGCUGUGGUUGAAGCUGCUCCUUAUGUGGUUAGGAGCUUGCUUUACCGCCCUUAAUGUGAGAACAUACUGCCAGUGUAAUUAAAGCAUGAUUUUUUUUUUUUUAAUUGAGUACAGAGCAAUUGCGUUGUUUAGUCCUAUUUGCACUUGUAAGUAAGUUAUAUUCUAGAAUUUCUUACAAGGAGGAUACAGACGGUCUGCCAGAUAGAUUGCUUGAUACAUUUGUGGGGGGGGGGGGGGGGGGGGGGUUUACAAAUAACUCGUGUUCGCAUCAGUUAUCUGAAUGAGAUUGCUCCGUUUGGCUGGAAUUUUUGGUUGUUUGACUUGUCAGCAAACGGAAUUUGGAACUAUACUUUCUAGUUCUGUUGACCAUAAUUUGACAGAUAAAAUAUCUGUGUGACUAGUAUUUAUGCCCAUCGCUUAAUGUAGCAAAGAUGCUACUCUCGCACUUGCAGGACAACACCAUGAAAUUCUUAUACUAUCUCAAGAUCAAAUGCUUGAUCAUGGUGCUAAUUUAUCAAGUGUUUUGGACGGCAAGGUGCUACAGUGCUAGUCCACCAUUCCGGAGAUAUAUCGAACACUCAAGUGCAACUAUUCUACUGAGGUCAAUGCCACAUUCUUCGGCAAGUUGUGCCAGCCGAAAACUCAAGAUUCCCCGGUUAUAUUUUUAUCACAUCUCAAGAAUUUCCAAUUGGGAGGUCUUUGCAGGUCAAGAAUUCCGUUAACAUGAAAAAGAAAGAUAUAUAAGAAUCAAAGCAUGCAAGUCACACUGCAACAGCUAUUUCAACGUAGACAUUAAUCUUCGUGCUCCUCUAGUUUUAAGAUUCUCCGAUACCUCAAUGGUAACUGGCAAAACAUGUGUGCUGGAAGGCAAAGCAGUUGACACACCUAACCUAACAGUACAUGGUUGGGAGGCCCAAAGGGUAGCAAAUCUGGAGGGAGCAACUGCCACCAAGGAAACCUCAGAGAGGGUCAUAGAAAUGACAUCAAAUUUUACAACCAUGCCAAGGAUGGACAGCGUGGGACAACCAUGCCUCUGUAGUUAGGGCCAAGGAUGGACAGGAAUUUAAAAGCAGCUGAAAAUUGAGGUAAAUCUUUUUCUUUUUUUCUUUUUUUUUUGUCGAUGAACUUAGAUAAACAAUAUUAACAUAUCAGAUAAAUAUUUCCUAUAGUUCAUGCAAGUUAAAUAGACAAACGAGCAGUUUUCUGAGUUUUACAUCAAUUAAGCUCCUUUUGAGCUCUUCAUUAAUUUACUUUUAUUGAAGAAAAAUAUAGUGACUCUAUGAAAUUUACAUAAUAUGCUUCAUAUCUUUACAACAUAUACUUGUGCUUAAAGCUUGUAGUAAGAUCCCCAACUAGGGUUUGUUCAAUCCCGUCGCCCUAAUUAGAAGGAACCACCAAAUCUUUGGCACCAUGGACACGGAGUUGGACAGCAAGAAGAAGCAACAGCACCAGAAAAGCCUUGGCACAGAGACGGAGAGCGUGGAGAGGAAGAAAGCAAGGGUUUGUAAUGAGCAAGAAGAAGGUGACAAAUCACGCAUCUAUUUUCUUGUCAAGAACCAGUCUUAUGGUACCUUUUGGUACAUAGACCUGAAUGAAAGAGAUGACGAGGGUCAUCCAUGUGGUCAGAAACUAAAUGCGCAGCGCCCUCCAUUCACAGCCUACCAACGGGUUGCUAUUGGUUCUUGUGGCUUGCUGAUUUACGCUUUGGGAGGUCUAACCGAGGAGUCAGAUGAUGAUACUGGUCUUUAAUACACGGUCUACUUUUAUAAUACGGCAAACCGGUCCCUUCAGAGGGAUGGUUUAUUUUGGAAGAAAACCGAUGAGAGCGGCGGUGAACCUUGGUACAUUGGUCGAGCCUCGGGCUUUAGAUUUGCUACCCUUUGGAAGGCACAACCUUGCUGCAUUAUGUUCGGUGUGUUCACUGCUUCGCCUCCGGCCGGCACCGCGGAUCACCCUCGUGAUUUUUCUGUUACCAUUGAGAAAUAUGAGCUCCUCACAAUAGAGGAUCCUCAUGGAAAUUAAGAAAGAGCUGCUGCCGUGUGAGUAACCCAGCUCUGAUGUCAAGUAGUGAUUGUUUAUUCCUAAAUGCUUGUCCAGUUUCCAUUUUGCUGAAAAAAAAAAAGUCCGAAAAUGUGGAGAUUACUUCGUUUCUUGGUGCUCGACAUGCAUUGACCGUACCGUACUGAUUUGUGCUUAAUUUGAUCGGUGCUCGACUUCAUCUUGAUUCAUUUUCAGGAUGAGGAAAAAUGAAAUUCUAGUAAAAUUCAUCAUUUCAUUUACGCGGUUGAAAUCGCUAAUGGAUAAUUUUUCUCUUCGAGUUCAAUGGAGAAACAACCCUAUAUAUUGUCAAGUUUUUUUUUUUUUAAUCCUUGACAAAUAAAAUAUCCACAUCGGGAUUUUCACCCAAUAGGUUCAAAGUGAAGAAAGAGAUUUUAUCUAAUGCAUAUUGUAAAGUUACAAAGCAUAUUAUGUAAUUUUAUGAUCAUAUGGCCAAAGUUUGGAAAUUAAACAAUUAAUUCAAAAUCAUUACGUUUUUCUCCGUUAGGAACAGGGCUACAACUUUAAAAGAGGCAAGCGAAUAAAGACUUUUCAAAAGAGCUUAAGCAAUGUAAAACUGAUUGACUUUUCAAAUUUUUUCCUUUUUUUUUUCGAAGAGGAUUAGUGUUUCUCCACUUAUCCCCUUCCUAACAAAAUUUGAGUUUUCAAAAACAUAAUCUAAAACAUGAUUUAAAAGCAUAUUAUAUGAUUAUGAGAUAUAACCAAAAUUUGAAAAUUAAACAAUUCAAAAUCACUACUUUUUUCACCAUUUACAAAAGAAGCAUCAACCUCAAAAGAAGCAGAUUUUUUUUUCGGAGACGACAAUAGUUGUAUAACCUAAUCUAUUCUACAUUAACGGAGAGGGGGCGGACCAAAGGAGACUCAGGAAUAACUCGAAGGGGAUUGAAUCACCAUCGAACCAAACGGAUGCACGAUACAUCCAUCUAGAUUUUUUUAAGCAAACCAAGGCCCUGUUUGGCACCUCAAGUUUUUACCAAAUUUGUAUAAUAUUAGUUUUUUAACAACUUUUGCUACAGGAACCCCAAAAAACUUAUCAAAGUUUUUAACCUACACACUUAAAAAAUACACAAAAAACUUUCCUUUCAACUUUUUUUUUUCUUCUUUUUCCUCCUCCACCCAACCCACCACAUCCUCCGCCGCUGGCCACCACCUCCACCACCACUUCCGGCGCCGGUCAUCAUUCCGGCCGCUAGUUCCGGCCUUCAACUUUUUUUUUCUCUCUCUAUCUCGACCCCUCUCCUCCUCUCCCCUCCCCCUUUGACCAAUCUAUGGUGUCUUUCUGAAAAUUUUUUCCUUUUUUUUUCUCCCUCCCCCUCUCCUCUUAGCGUCUGCCUCCCCCGCCACCCUCCCCCUCCCCCUCCCCCUCUCCCUUUGACUGAUCUGGUCACGCGACCAGAUCGCAAAGGAGGAGAGGGGAAGGGAAGGGGCGGCGGGGGAAGGGGAGAGGGGAAGAGAAGGGGCCAGACCAGCGGGGAAAGGGAGGGUGGCGGGGAAGGGAAGGGCCGGCGGGGGAAGGAAGGGGAAGGGGAGGGGCGGCGGGGGAAUGGGAGAAGGGAAGGAGAGGGGCCAGACCAGGAGGGAGAGGGAGGGUGGCGGGGAAGGGGAGGAGAGGGGAAGGGGAGAGGCGGUGGGGAAAGGAAGGGGAUGGGGAGAGGGUGCGACCAGAACGCGUCGCGAAGGGGGAGAGGGAGGGUGGCGGGGAAGGGGAGGAGAGGGGAAGGGGAGGGGCGGCGGGGGAAGGAAAGGAAGGGGAGAGGGAGAGGGAGAGGGAGAGGGAGAAGGAGAAGAGGGAUGGUGGGGAAGGAAGGUGGCUGCCAUGGAAGAGAAAAAAAGUAAAAAAAAAAAAAAAAAAAGGAAGAAGGAAAGUUGCUGCCAUGGAGACUCGGAGAGUGAACAGCGCGAGGGAAGCUGGGAAUGGAGAAGCAAAACGGGGAGAGAGCGAAGGAAAAAGAAAAAAGAAAAGAUUGAGAAAAAUAAAAAAAGAAAAAAAGAAAGAGAAGGAAAGAAAAUGAAAAGCGGAAAAAAAACUUUUUAUCUUACAAAGUUUUUUCUCAACUUCUUACAGUGAUCUACAGUAAGUUUUUAUACAAACACCCAAAAAAUCUCCACCUUCCAAACAGCCCAAAAGAAGCAGAUCAACAAAGACUUCAAAAAGACACACACACACUCAUUAGUUGUCCUUCAACUGACAUAAAUGAUAUGACAGAUGACCAGAGGUUCCUAACAAAAUUUGAGUUGUCAACAACAUUACUUUAAUACUACAUGAUACUAUUAAUGGGGAAUAAGAAGAGAAUGUUCAUAGUUCUUUUAAUUUUAAGCCAUUAAAUUGAUAAUCAAGUAUACUGUUUCUCCAAAUCUACAUGUUAACCAUUUAGAUUUAGCAUAAUAUCAACCCAUUGGUAGUCAUUUUAAGCAAUCGAAGAAUAUUUAUUAAAUAUAGUAUUAUAGAUGAAAUACUAUGAAAAGCUAUAUAUCUUCAUAAUAAACCUUAUAAUUUACUAAACCUUCAAUCCAGCCCUUAGACACGUACGUCUUUCAUGAUUAAUUUACUAACUGAACCUUAUAAUUUAGACAACUAACGACGUACAUAUACCAAUUUCAUUUUUUCUAAGGCAGUACCAAGUUCGUAUUGGACCCAUGCCGGCCUCAAGAGUAGUUGAAUUAAUCGAAAUUAGCUGUAUAAACAUUAUGGUUUGUUAGACUCUAAAAUCUUGCUAAAUUCGUUGUCGCAUUUGUGACCUUAACCAUGGCUUCUCAUGCCAACCCAGAUUCCAAUUACAAUGACUUCAACCAAUUUCUUGGUCAAAUAAAUUCAGUUCCUCAUCAGAGAUUGAUGAAGAGGAGGAUGAAGCUCCUCUUGGGAGCAAUGAGGUCUUGAUCAAAUAGAACAAGAAAUAUUUCAAAGAUUUGCCUAGCAAAUCCAUCUGCAAUUAGUUUGUAUUAAUUUGAUCACACAUUUUACAAAACUCUCAAAAUCCAGUUAAUCAAAAGAGGAAACUUGUCAGAUAUGUUCAUGUCUGGUUCCUUCAAGAAAUACAAGGAUUUGAAGAAUCAGGCUUCGAGGGACAACAUGGAAAUUGGUGGAAGGCUGUCAAAUGAUGCUAGCCAUCUCGAUCGUUUUAUGCAUGAACUCGAGAUCGUGAAGGAAGACGUGAAAAGCAUGGAUAAGGUCCGCAAUAGGCUGAAUGAAACGAACGAGGAGAGCAAAACCGUCCCGGAUGCGGCAAAAAUGAAAGAACUCAGAGCCCGAAUGGAUUCAGAUGUUGAUCAUGUCUCGAUGCUGGCCAAGUCCAUCAAGAAAAGAGUCGAAGCUCUAGAAUUCAUGUCGUCCACCGAUACCAUUGACCGAACCAUGAUUUCCGUGGUUAUGGGGCUUGGAAAAAAACUAAGGGACAUGAUGGAUGAAUUUCAAGGGCUGAGAGUCAAAAUGGCAACUGUAUACAAAGAAACUGUCGAGUCCAAGUACUACUCAAUCACGGGAGAAAAGAAAUUUAUAGAGGCCAUCGAGAAUUUGGCAUCCAGCGGACGACUUGAGGAUUCUCUGGAAGAGGCAAUCCAGGAGCAUGGGAGAGAUAGAGUAGUGGAUUUUUUUCAAGAAGUUCAAGAAAGGCGUGAAGGUUCGAAGAAUAUGCAGAGGAAUUUGGUUGAGUUGCAUCAGGCAUUCUUGGGCAUGGCUGCUGUAGUUGAGGGAUUUGGUCAGAAGGAGAGCAAAAGUGGCGGCUUGGGUCGGGAAAACCAAGUGGUCCGUGAGAGUUCCUUUAUGAAAUCAACUGGGGCGGCACAAUUGCUAGACCAGCCUGAUCAUUAUGAUAUGGAAGCCAGAAGGCGUGCUAAAUUUGCUAUAGCAGGAGCUGUCACUCUUGUUGUCAUGAUCCUUAUCCCACUCUUCGUUAAUGAGUCUUUUAGGGAUUUGGAAUAGAUAUAUCUACCUAAGAGGAGACUUAAUAUUGAGAUGCCCGUUGUGUGUCCAGCUUUUUUUCAUGAUAUUCGUCAUUUGCAAGAAUAAAUCUCCACAUUAUUGACUCACUAACUGUGGGAUAUAGUUAUUGAUGUAUUCCAUGUUGGGAAGUUAGGGGGAAAAUGAAAAGAAAAGUGAUAGUAUAUCAAAAUGCACCCAUUGACAAAAGGUACCGAUUGAUUAAGGGGGUACCUAUUAUUCAAAAGGUUUCUAUUUAUUGAAAGGUAUAUAUUGACAAAAAGUUACCUAUUCAUUAAGAAAUGUUGAUGAAGAUGUAUGUACAUGUCUAAAGAGACGUAUUUUCAUAAAGGGGUAUCUAGACUAUAAAAAAUAAAAAGAUCUAGACAUCAUUCACUCACUUUUAACUUUUACUUUCAUUUUUCUUUCUUCUUUUACUAAUAAAAAAAAAACAUAAAAUUCCGUAAAUAUUCUUGAGAGAGUUUCUUUGUAUUGGUGCAAGGAAAUUCUAGUUUCUGGCAUUGUAAUUCUUAGAUGGAAUUGCCACAAACUCGAUAGCAAGUAGCGGGGGCAAAUUUCCUCAAGAAAAGUGAAUCUAUUCACGUCAAAACCACAUCUUGUAUUCUAUAUUUGUAGUUAUUUUUCUAACACAAACCAGGGGACAUUCAUUCCUUAAAAGAAAAAAAAAAAUUUACUACCAUGUUUCUUUUGAAAUAUUGAUGAAACACACGACUACCUCUCCAAUCAGAUGUAAGGUGUACUGAAAUCUGUAGUAAUUGUUUAGUUGCUCUCCUCUCUUUAUAUUAGCUUUGUAGACAAAGAACAGUAUUAGAUAAUCGUCCAUUCUCAUGAAAGGUCUAUCUAUUAUGUUCAAUCUUAAUACUAGUUCCAAUGACCAAUGCAAAGGAAGCAGUAGAAAAUAGGCGUGGCCAAUGAGAGGGUUGGCAAAUUUUGCACUUUCAAUCAGACAUAAAUUGGAUCGCGUGUAUGAAUACCGAGAAAGAUUUUACAUGCAAAAGUAGGCAUUCCAAUCUUUAUUGUAUAACUGAUCCUGGAUUUGAUAAGAUGGCAAAAGUUUCAGAAGCACCGAUAAAUAUGUUGAAAUUGAUGUGGAUUCUUGAUCGCUCCGAUGACCAUUGACGUAGCAGUUCAAACCGACCGCCGAAAACUUGGCUUCUGGAUUUAACUAAUUUUAGCCCAUUUCGUUCGCAGAAUUUCAGGAGCGAGUAGAUCAUCAGUGUUUGGCUGUUUUUGGGCUGCCAGAGAACGCUGGAAAAAAAAACAACAACAACAACUUCUUUUUGCUUUUUUAUUUUUGGAAUUGCUUUUUCUCAAUGAAUUUAUCUGUGACUUCUGACGUGAAAAUAAUAAAUAAGAAGUAAGGUUGACUCAGUGUUCAGUUCAUAAUUCAUUUAUUCCAUAUAUAUAUAUAUAUAUAUAACUAAUUAAGUUACUGUGCUGUACAAUCUACAACAUUCCAGUUAAUUGACAGUUAUAUCAACCUGUAAUUAUUUCGACAAGAAUUUAGUCUAAGAAUCUUAAAACCAAGAUACCUUGUCAUAGUUUAUUCCUAGAAAUCCUUUUUUUUGUUUUUUAGCAGAAGAGGGUUGGGAGAUUUGAAUUCAGAACCUCUAAUUUCUAAAUCUAUUUAAAUUCGUUUUCUUUCCCAAUCAAGAUAUCUUGUCACAUUUUAUUCUUAGCAAUUAUUUAUUUAUUUAUUUUUUGAGAAGGGGAUGGUUGUGGUCUAUUAAGUUCUUUUUCUUAUCCGAUCAAGUGGUCCAUUAUGUUUUUUACUUCUCAUGCCAAGUGGCUUUCCGUGUCGGGCCUAACGAUGCAACAGGUUAUGAAUACGGAUGACUAGCCAGUGUCACAACCCAAAUGGAGGAAAUUAAAGAAAAAAUAAAGAAAAUAUAUGCAUAAUAGCAAGUAAAGAUAAUACUCCAAUUCAAGUAUUCAAUAACUAUUAAAAAGUUAAUAGGCUACUAAGUUUUCAUUGAUGUAAAACAUAGAUAAUUAACAAAAAAAACUUUGCAUGUUCAUGUACAUAACUCUUUGGUUGUAUAUGUAAUUGGUCCCUGUCUUAUAUCCCUAUACCAAUUAGACAUGGAAAAACAUCACUGAACUCCCAACCAUUUUAACAAGUCAAUCAAAAACUUCUAUACACAACUUUUCAUUUUUUUUUUUUUUGGGUUUUUGUGUCAAUUUUUUCUUUGCUAAAAAGAAAAUCCUAAAAUUAGUAGUAUCAAAUUUAAUUGGCCCCACGGUUGAUCAUUUCCAUGUACUGGUUCAACGACUCUUGCCUCUGCAGCCUCAUAUCUUCAUUGAAUUUCUUGAUGAAUGCUUCGACUCGGCGGUUCAACUCGUCCUGACCCGGCGAAGGCUCCCUACUAAUCCUCCCAGGAACCGGAGACAAACUCGCCGGCGGCCCGGUGGUUUGUGCGUCAUAAUAAUUGGUGCGGUCUCUGAAGGUCUGUGAUUUGGGCACGUGGUCCGGAGUGAAGUCAUGCUCCGAAUCUAAUGAUGGGUUUACCAAGACCUCCCGCCCAUGAUUCUCCCACGUGUCAGAUCUCUUCAAGUGCCUCGUGAGCGGCACGUGACGCCCAUCCGUUAUCAUCUUCCACGUGCUCUCCAGCGUUUCAUCCCUCUUUGGCCUUGCCACCCUCAGCGCUCUCCCACCUUCCAAAUCAAAAUAAAAAAGAAUAAUUAAUAAAAAAGAAUAAGAGCUAAAUGGAGUAACUAUUUGACCACCUAACCUAACUACUUCAAAUGAAAUUUUAGGCAAUUAACAAAAAUUAGAAGACAAGAAACCUUUGUGGGCCAAUAUGGUAGCAACUACUAAUAAGUGCGUGCUUAUCUAAUGUAGCCAAACAUAGCAAAUUUCUUCUGUCCAUACGUAAACACAAAAAAAAAAGUAAAGGACAAAUUAAAUUUCGUAGAGUUUUUCCGUGAAACUUCUGCAUUAAAAGAUGGUCAAACUUAGGACAUCCUUAAAAAUGGCUAAUGUUUACAACCAUCAAGGAAAAGAAUGAAUGCACAAUUACAAGAUGUAAUAUUACCGCAAAAUUUCAAUUUUUUUUUUAAAUCUUUCAUAUUUUCUUAUUCAUAUCCUUUUCACCUCUAACUGCUAAAUUUCAAAUUCGAACUCUCUGCACCGACCUUAUAAGCACUCUAACAGUACACUCUACAAGUUCUCUCCUGAUCAUUAAUGGAUCAACUGCAGCUGUUACACCACAAAAUUUCGUUGCGUGAGUCCACAAUUUAAAUCUAUAUAGCGUCCUUAAUAAAUUACUGCGUGGUAGUUGACUUGUCUUGCUACCAAUAGUAGGGUUAAAAUUGUAAUAGUAGUAGUAGAACUUAAAAAAUGGGAAAAAAGUAGUAGUAAAAUAAAAGACGGGAAUUUUUAAUUAGUAAAUUGAGUUUAUACCUUCGGGACUGGUUUUGAUAGGCUUCCUGUGACCAAAUCUCGACGCAGUUAGCGGUUUCUCUUUUUCCGGCAGGAGAAGAUCCAGGGGAGACUCGGGAGAAACCAUCUUCUGAGACGGAGUGGCACUAGACUCCGAAACCACCCAUUCAUCAUUCGCCACGUCAUCAGCAUCUUCAGUUCCUCCAACGGCCUCAAAUUGAACACCGUUCACCACCACGGGCUUCAGCUCCACAACCUUCUCGUCCUCAUCUUCCUCUUCAUCUUCAGCUUCAGCUUCAGCAACAUACACCUCCACCACAGGCGGCGGAGGCAGCGACAGCGGCCCCGGAGCUUCCACUGCAUUCCUAUUCAGCUCAUCCUCCCGCUGAGCCAAUACUACCGCGGCCACCACAUCAGACGGCGGAGGUGUUCUAACAGAAAUCAGCGGCUCACGUGAUUGAUAGGAAUCCGAGUUUUUGGAUUGGUGAUGAUGACUGAAGCGGGAGGAGGCGGCGAUGGUGAUGAUAAUAACGUUGAUGAUGAAGUAGAGGUAAGGAGGCUUGAGCCAGGUCACCACAGAUUUCCAAACUACAGGAAGGUCAUAACAGGUGAAAGCUGUAAUCGAUGGAACAGAGAAUAUCAUCCCCAUAGCCAUGGAAAUGGCUCCCGUCGAAAUCAAGAUAAUUUUCAGGGAAAGUAGCAACGUAGUAGGAAACGACAUUAUUUUUUUUCCCUCCGAUUUGUAAUUUCCAACAGACCAGAGAGUGGAGUGUAUAUGCUUAGCUUUGAGUCUGGGGAACUUUUCCUUCCAGGUUGCAUGGUUCUGUGGGAGGUGGGUGGCUGGGGAUAUAAAUAGGGGUGGGGAAAUGGAGGGGGGACCGGGGAGGAGACGUGGUAAGUGGGAUUUGAUGGAAUGAGGGCCGUUGGAUAUAAACAUGGGGUGGGGACAUGGAGGAAGGACUAAGGAGGAGACGCGGUAAGUGGGAUUUGAUCGAAUGAGGGCCGUCGGAUGUGGGAAUGGAAUGGAGUUCGUGAGUUGGAGCUGCGGGGUGCAGCAAUGCAACUUGCUGAGGAAAUUGGGGGGGUGGCCCACGUGUGAGAAGAUGAAGUGAUUAAUUAGUCAAAUUAAGGAUAAAGUGAUUUCACUUUAGUUAAUUAAUGAAUUUAACGAUCAAAUACUUUGUAUUAUGAAACUAAGAGACAAAUUGACAGUUUGUAGUUGUUGCACAAGAUUCACACUGAAUUUAAAUGUUUUCGGGACCACAGAUUGCUCAUACGAUUUUUUAUAGAUUGCUUGUUAAUACAGUUCUCACAUCGAUAAUGAAAUUCAAACGCACAGAUCUUUUGCAUGAAAAUAAUCCAUUCUUUUAUAUUGGUGGUGAAGCUAUCAAUCACUUGUUAUAAAAGUAACCAUUACUCCGAUAUCCAUCAAAUUUGCUUUAAAGCAUAAAUCAUACAGUAUAUUAUAACCUGUCAAAGUGUCUUGUUCCAUUUGAGUUCUUGAUUGGUCUAUGCUGCUAUAAGAACUUUUGGUCAAAGGUAAAAAAUUUUUAAUAAGAGUUGAUUUUACCAAAGGAAAAAAGGGAUUUUGUGUUCAAAAUAUGCAUAAAUUUCAAAAGUACCAGAUAUAAUUAAUCCUUUUAAGAUCGCAUAUUUGCAAAAGUCUGCCAUAACGGUCAUAUAACAGACUGUUUGAGUCGAGGGCUGGAUCCGGGAUCCUGAUAGCCCGGUCCCAUGGUUGCCCGCGGGCUCAAUUGGUGGGUAGGGUACACCCCUGACCGACCAUUCUUGCGAUUUUUGUUUGCCACAAAUAAAGGGUUUCUCUCUUCCAGCUGGAAAAUUUUUUAGAAAUGCUUUUCAAAAGUAAAAAAGGGGAAUUAUUAAUCUAUUUCCGUUAUUAAUUGUUAAAGCUAUCGUUACUUCGGUUAAAAGAGAACAAAAAGCCAACGGUUUGCAAUCUAAGGCCUUGCUUGGAUUGCUUGUUUCCGUCGAAAAAUAUUGGGUUUGUUUGGAUUGUAGUUUAUUUACCAAAAUAUAUUUGUUUACAUCAUCAUUACAAUUUCCAACACACAUUUUUAUCUUCCCAAUUACCUUUUUAUCUCACAUACAUCACAUCACAAAAAGUGCUACAGUAAAAAUAUCUCUAAUAAUUCACAAUCCAAACAAACCCAUUGUCAUUUUCUAUGAUCACAUUUCCUUAUCACCUUUUUCCCUCACAUAUAUCAAAUCGCUACAGUAAAUUUUUCAUGAAAAAUGACGGAAAAUGCAAUCCAAACACAACCUAAAUUUCGAAGCCGAGCCUUGAUAUUCUAUUGAUUUAUUUUGCUUGUUCUGUCCCAAAGCAACAUGGUCCGAUAAAUUAGUUAUACGUGUCUAAUCUGAAACAUACGCCACUUAACUAAACAUAAUAUUAGUAUUAAAUACCACCCAGCUUGCCUGGAUUUGUAGCGUAUCCCUUGGGGAGGAUCCAAUUUGACAUAAAUUUGUUUGUAAAAAGAGAAUUCUAGUGACGCUGGUAGUUUUUUUUUUCCCUUUUCUAUAAGAUUACCUAUAACCAGCGACUGUGGACCAAUAAAAGGCAUAAAUUUGUCUGUAAAAGAAGAACUUUAGUGACGCAGGUAGUUUUUUUUUUUUUUUUUUUAAUAAGAUUACCUAUGUGGACCAAUGCAAGAGAUUGAGUUUACAACUAAUUUAAACUGUAACUAACCCCUACCAUCGAUGGGAGAAAUAUUAACAUAAAGUUAGGAGAGACUCACACUUUGGUGAGAUUUAAACCUAUAAUAUGUAAAUCCUCGUAACUCAAUCUUGAUCAGUAGACUAAGGUCUUGUCGACAUUAGGGGUACUGGCGAGUUCGAUCAAACGCUCAACUCAAACUCGAAUUCAAGUUCGAAUUUCAAUAACUCGAUACAGGAACCAAGUCGAGUUUUAGUCUCUCUUUGUGUUAGUUGAGUGCUCGUCAAGUAACCCGAUUAAGUGUUUAUAUUAUAUAUUUAUUUUGAUUAUGAAAUGACCAAUAAAGGUUUAUGUUUUAGAUAAUUUACGUGAAGUUUCGUAACUUGAUAAGAUUGGAGAAUAGUAUCGAACCUUAUUAAAUUGAGUUCGAGUUUUAAUUGUUCUUCUCUCAAAUUGAAUCGAGUUAUAUAAAUUUCUGCUCGCUCAAGUCGUGCUCGAACUCAAAUAAGCUCGUCUAUCAUCAAAUUCAAACUCAAGCAUAGCACUAUUAGGACUCGAGCCGAUUCGAUAUCAUCCCUAGUCAAUGUGAAAUUGGUAGUCGAUAAGAUCUCCUCUCGAAAAUUGUUAAGUAUUUUGGUUAAUUCUCACUAAUCUCAUUUUUCCUUAACAUUUAAGCAUUUGGAAUCAAUCCAUGCAUUUCUUUCGAAGCAAUUCUUUACUCAAUUGACAGGAAUUUAUCCAUAUCUCUCAAGGGAGAUUAGAAUUACUUUAUAACGACAUUUACAGCGUUAUUAACUCAAGCACGUAUAGUCAUACGCCAUUUAAUUUGAUAUCACAUCGUCUCAUGAUGUAACAGUUUUAGUACGCCUUUUUCAGGGUGAUACCUACUAGUCACCAGCUAAAUUCCCGAAGAUUAUCUUGCGUUCCGUCUGGCACCGAAAGGAUAGCUGAGGCAGCAGUUUCGAGUUUUGAGUAUAAUAGUCAUUGAAAAUCUAGGACUCGCAUCAUAUCUGUAGCGUACAUUUGAACCCAAGGUUGAUCAAGUGGUGGUGAUUAUGCUAUUAAAUAAAAAAAAAAAUCCAGUAAACGUGGAGACAAAAUUAAAUCGCAAUCUUGGCAUGUUUCACGCUCUGCACCGGGGGGGGGGGGGGGGGGUGGGUAUUCAAUGGCUCAUCUAAAAGAAACCACAUCCUUAGUUGGAAGUAAGCGUAUGACAUGUUGAUCUUGACUCAGAAUUUGGAUGAAAAUAUUUAUUAAGGGUAGUGAAAGAUUUAAUUUAAGGAAGCCUCGUCACAACUCAACAUAUAAAAGCAUUUGGUACACCUAGGGGUGGGCAAAAAAUUCGAUCCAAUCCGAUUCGAAAAAUAGAAUAUCCGAUCCUAUUUUUCUUAGCGGAGACAGAUACGGGUAGGGUACCUGCAAAAACGGAUACGGAUACGGAUCAACAAAAUAAAAACCCGCGGGUACCCGACCCGCAGGAUAUAUUAUAUAAAUAUUAAAAAAAUAAGGGUUCAUUAUAUAAUUUUACAAUUUUUAAUCCUAAGUGUAAGUAAAGUGGUUCACAAUCUCAUAUUUUAAUUUCAUAUGAUCUGCCUCUCCUCAUCUUGUCUAAAAAAAAUGAAUAUUCUUGGUGAAACCUAAACCAAAUGAAUAAAAUAAAGAAAAAUUUGUGAAAAUCUAUCAUAAAAAUUGUUUAUCCCUUUCAUUCUUUUUCAUUUUUAUUCUACUUCCAUCGAUCUUUCCUACAAAUUUUUCAUCAAUUCAAUCAAAAAUUUGUGUUUGGAGUUCCAAUUUUCUGUUAGCUAGAUAAUUAAAACAUUUGUGUCUUUCAUUUAUUUAUUUAUUUUAUUGCAAUUGUGUCUCUUAAAUUUGUCUCCUUUAUUUUAGUGCAAGAAAUUUAUUUUUCUUUUUCAUCACCUUUAAUGUAACAAGGUCUAUUCCAAAGAUGUAAGAAAGUUGGGAAAAAUUUUUUAAAAUUAUUUUGGUUAUACUUUUUUCAAAAAUUAUUAGCUCUGUUCAAUUCUUUUCCGGACUUGAUUCCACAAUCGACUCAUUUUGGAUGCAAUAUUGUACCAUAAUAUCCUUAAGGAAGUUGGAAAAGUUUCCAUAUAUUUAUUAUCCUUGUGUUUGUUAUGUUUUAAAAGGAUGAAAUGCGUGAGAAUUGUGAUGUACUCAAAAUUAUCAUAAAAUUUCGUUUUAUCCUUGUGUUUGUCAUACUUGGAAAAGUUGGAAAAGUUGUCAUAUACUUAUUAUCCUUGUGUGUGUUAUGUUGUAAAAGGAUGAAAUGCGUGAGAAUAGUGAUGUACUCAAAAUUAUCAUUUUAUUUAUUAGAUAUUAUAAUUCUAAUAUGUACUAAAUUUAUGAAAUCGGUUUGAUUAUUGGAUGAAAUGUGAGAAUGGUGAUGUAUGGAUUUUGAUGAUAAUAUCUCUGCCAAUGUUAAUUGGAAAGCAUAUAAUUGAUUAUACUUUCUUUAUUGGAAAACAUGUUGAUAUUAAGUAAAAAAUAUUUUUUUAUUGAAAAAUAGUUUUUUUUUAAGGGCAAGUACCCUAUGACCCGCCCCUUUUUUUUUCGGAUAGCCGAAUAGCGCAUACCCGAAAACAUUAGGAGCGGAUUAGGAUCGCAAAAUGGUCGAUCCGAUAUUUUAGGGUCAGGUCAACCAAAUCUUGUUAGGGACGGGUAGCCGACCCGUGCCCACCCCUAGAUACACCAUCACUUCUCUGCUUAAUCAGAGAAGAAAUCUCAAAGAUUUCUUGAUAUCGGUGUAUAAUUCCCUAUGAAAUUUUCAUUCCAGGCAAUAGUCAUUUAUUUUCAAGAAAAAUGUGGUCUUGAUCUGUUUGGAUUGUGUGCGUGGCUCUGUCCUUCACUAUGGAAUCACCAUUGUCAUUAUCUGAAGAAAAAAAGAAAUAAAGCAUGAAUAAAUAAAAUGAAAGAAAGAAUAACCGUUCAACUUUAGCUUGCUUUUUUAACCACUAAUUAAAACGAAAUUCACUCCUGGAUAAAUCUCAAGCCUUACUCCACAGGAAUUGCCAUCCCCAUCAACUUGUAUUCUUUUUUCCUACGUUGAAGCUCAGGGAUGGACGGUGGUGGGAGCCAAAAAAAGUCAAAGACUCCACAAAAACAAAUCCAUUAACCGACAUACAAAUAUGACUCAUUUAUCUCAUGAUCCAUCUACUAGUAUUAAUUUUCUAUCUAUGCAAAUAUUUGCAUGGGCAUAUCUAUAAUGCAAAAAGGUUACAUCGAAAAAAGGGACGUCACUCGUGCAAUCUUUCGUGAGAAUCUCCAACAACUUUUUUUUUAUCUUUUGCUUUAGUUUCUCUGAUUGAUUAUUUUUGGUCAUAGUUAAAGCAUCUUUUUGACUAACAAAUAACUUUUAACCUACAUUUGUAAAAUUUGGCACACAGGGGGGUUCUUGCAAUCAUCAUUCUGUUAAAUAUUUGUACUCCAUCAUAAGCCCCCAAGAUUCUCUUUUUUUUUCUCUUGACUGUGAAGCAUAAUGGAAUAUGCUGCAAGUAUACAUAUAUAUGAACUAGUCAAUAAGGGCCAAUGUUUCCCUCCUUGGGCUGUUGGUGAGGAUUAGCGAAAAAAAUUUAAGGGUCGUGCCAUAGCAUUUCUUUGGUCUAGUUGAAUCUGUAUAUUCACUAGUCCCUACAACAGUCUCCUUAGGCUCCCCCUCCCCCUAGAUUAGGAUAGAAUAGGUUAUACAAAUGUAUCGUUGCUGACAAAAAAAAAAAAACGAUAACGUGUGGAUUUUUACAUACGUACAGUAUAUGAACUUGCUUGCUUGCUUACUUUGGAAGUUAAUUAAUUAAAAAGAAAAAGUCCAAAUUUCAUACCGACAUACUCAUUCUGAAUAUUCGAUUCAAUCCUCCUAAACCCCUAUCUAAGCUAAUUAGUACCAGAGGCCUUGGAUAAAAUAAUUAAAUGUCUAUUAGUAUCUGAUAAUGAAAGGCAACUAAAUUGCUUUGGAACUGGAAUCUGAUUGACUUUAAAUAUCAGAUCAAGUCAACCCGGACUCGUAUGAGUCCCAUUCAAACCGCCGGAAGUAUCCAACCGCUACUCAUUUGAGUUGGCAUCUUCUUAUGUUUACAGCGAAGAAAUUUACCUGCGUCGGUUGCGGAGUUGGGUCCAUUUCUGUCGUACCAUUAGCGUACAAAACGAAGUCUAGGUCAGGUGUAACAACAGUAUUGGAACGUUUAAAUCAGAUAUUUAUGUUUUUUUUUCUAAUAGAAAAAUAGAUGGCUCUUCCUGUCUUUCAAGCUCCAACUAAACCAGUUAAAAGAUGUCAAUUUGUUUGUUGGAAAAGAUUCCCAAAAUUACGUGUUGUGAAGCUUUGAUUCAACAAAGAGAAACUUAGGAGUGAAUUUGAUUUUCAAUUUCGUCAAAAGUGAUUUUCGAGCGACUAAUUUCUAAGAAAUUUGCCUGCAAACGGUGGGCUCGAAUGAUUUGUAUGGUAUAGUAUGCACGGUUAGAGUGGCAUAUUUCAACAACAAAGCCAACCACUUGUCAUCUACCAAAUGUUGAUAAUUUACAAAAGAUUAACUUAAUCUACUAUGCCUUCAGAACAACGGGUAAAACUCUUAAUUAAAGUUUUACAUGAAAAUAGCGUCACUAGCACGCGAUGAGAAUGGAAACUGAAUUUAUCCAAACUCUUUUUCUUUACAAAAAUAAAAUAAAAAAAAGAUAAGCAUUUAAUUGCCACGAUAAAGAUUUAUAAGAUCUUAAUGAACACAUACAUAUAUACAUAUAUAUAUAUAUAUAUAUAUAUAUAUUUUUUGUCCUCCCAUCUCUUCACGCACCUUUUUUAUUUUUAAUUAUCAAAUUUAAAAUUUAAUUAUCAAGGGAAGGUUGUUAGGCGCUUUUCCGCCGUUAAAUUUGGAGUCCGAAUCCCAUGCGUGAGAAUUGGGGGUGUGAGUGAAUCAACCUCGCAGAGAAGUCUAUUAUAGUAAGUACAUCUUAAUUUCGAAGAAAUGUUUUGAAACCAUAGCCAGGUUGAGAACAUCACUGGGGACCCAAACCCCAGCAUCUAACCACAGCACAGCUUUCUGCUGUGCUGUUGCAAAUUGCUGAACCAGGACAACCGCGUCCACUGUGCUUGACACAACUGAAUUGCGGCCCCUUUCCAAAUAUAGACAGGCCUACGGUCACUGCCAUUGUCUACGGAUGAGAUUGGACAGUGACAUCUUUGUCCAUUUCCCUGCUCUAGCCCACCACGACCAGCUUCGUGGGCUGACCCCCCAGCCGACCAUUUGUUCUUUCUAAAUUGACACCCACCCUUUUCCAUGUGCUGCCUAUCUGUCAAAAUCGACCCACGAACGGACCAAAAAGGGCAUUCUCCAGGCUCUGGCUGCCGGGUCCUAUGCUAAGGAAUGACAUGACAGUAGUUUCUUUCAUCACAAUUCCCUAUCUUUUUCUUUUUCGCUAAGAUACUACACAUAAAUUUAAAAAAAAAAAAAACAUUCUUGGUUAAUGAAGCACCGUUACGUCCCGCGUGAAUGGUCCAGCGGCAGCGCCUUUCACCAGUGAAUCUUGAGGUCACAAGUUCGAGUCUCCGCUCCGCUGGAUUCCUCCACGCACUUAACGUGUUUGGACCGGGUUAGGGCGCCGGGUCCGGACCGCAGGAAAUUAGUCGGACCCCGUAAAGAUUGACCCGGACAUCCCUGUGUCGACAAAAAAAAACAAAAAAAAAAGAAGCGCCGUUACCUUCGUUCCUCUUCUACCGUGAAAAAAAGUAGUAAUGAAUUACCUUAUUUUCUAUCUAAGAUAAACAAAUUUCUCUCAACAGUGUUUAUAUCUUUUAAUUAGCAAUAUCAAGAUUUUUUAAGGCAGCAGGAUUGAUCGCUUUCAUUAAUAAGGAAAUAAGCCUGUAGAAAAGGUUUACAGAGAUAAGAUUAAGGUUUUAAAAACAUUUUGUUGCCAUUUUAGGAGAUAUUUAUCUCAUUUUGAUGGUUUAAUUUCUAAAUCUUCCGAUAGUGGUUUGAUUCCUUUUCUCCAAAGUCUACUACUAGUCGUCUGUUAAACUAAGGUUCAAUCAUGACUGAGGUUGGAGUAAGAUUAGUCCCUAAGGAAGGAAGUUUAGACAUAAUUGCCUCCCAUCUUUUUAACCUUUUAGAGAAGCAUCAAUAAUUACUGCACAUCUGUAACCUUUGAUCUUUGUCCUUUGGAGAAACAUCAAUAAUUACUGCACAGCUGUGAUUUUUUGAGCCACCCACAAAGGCUAAUAAAAGCGUUGCGCGGAAUACAAGUCAAGAAAUGAAGAGCAGAAAAGUCCAUAGAUGGAACUUGUAAAGCGUACACGGAAAUGAAGACUCCGAAGACUUUACUUUUUCUUGGAAUAAUUUUCAAAGUGGGAUAGUAGUUGAGAUAAUAAUCUCCAAUCUGAUUAUUGCCACAGAGGUUGUUUCCUUUCCCGUUUGGUCUAGUAUUCACCCUAUCGACAAAUUCUUGAGGAAGACGAGGCCCCCGCGUCCACCAGUCCAUAUAAGGUGAAUUUGAAGGAAGUUUCUCCCGCAAGAAAUUAUGGACGUGCUUGAGGUCUUGUCUGGACCUUCUUUUUUUUUUUUUUUAAUGUCUGGACAUGACUCUCUGUUUUUUUUUUUUUUUCAUUUUGAUUUUGACAAAUGGGCAACACUAAGACGUGCUGAAUAAUGGGAUUUACUUAAUGUCUAAGUUUUUUAUUCUUUUUAAAACAAGAGAAGAGUGGGAUUGAGAAAGAUUUGAAACUAAAACCUUUAAUUCUUGGAGUUAUAAUUCUAUUUAAGUAAAAUUAGACUAUUUAAUUAAGAUAUUUUACUAUCUUGUUGAGAAUUAUGCCAAACUACACGAAACAUAGAAUAGAAAACUUUUUUUUUUUUUUUAAAUAUGAUAAAAACAUAGAAUAGAAUAAAAACUUUUGUAUGUAUUACAUAUAUAACACGCAUGUUCUAAGGAAACUUCAAGCGAACUUUCAAGAUAAAAAUUUGUCAUACACCUAACUGAAUAUGCUUGGACCACUUGUACUUAUCCGGUAAUUCAAUUUCAUGUAUGACUUUUCGCGGGUAAAGAAGUGUAGGGUUUCGAACUCUGAAUACGACGGUAAACUGUCUACCGUGGGAAAGGAAGAAUAGAAUAGACAACUCCAUUCCUUCGGCUGCCAACCAUUCUCCGAAUACAAUGACAAAUAUUAAAUGUAGGAGGGCAACAGCAACAUAAAAGAAAUUACGUGUGUCCAUGAAGAUUGAGAUCGGAGGGUCGGACGUUUGAAAAUGGAGUGAACGUUAAUGGUCGAUCCAAUAUGCAGGUAUGGGUAAGGAAUUGGGGGUCCCAUGCAUGAGAGCAAUAGGCAGUUAUUUACGUUUCAACUAACAUAACUGCCCGGAAGAGGUGGCACCGACUCAUUGCCAGGAAUUCCAAGUCUCCAUCUCCAGAAGUUACGGAACGAUGUUGCAUGCCAACCCCUUCAAUUAAUUUCUCCUAAUAUAUUAAGCUUUGGGGGAGACGAUCAGAAGUGUGUAUAUAUAUAUAUAUAUUUCUUGCUUUCAUCUCAUCCGUUAAAUUGACGAUAGCAGUAGUCAUUCUUCUAGUGUCGGAAAAGGCACCAUUCUUAUUAAUUAGAGAAGAAAAAGCUAACGUCCAUAGCUGGACAACAGCGUUUUGGAUAAUGUAUCAUGUCGAAAAGAAUAAAAAAAAAUAAAGCCAAAGACUAUCUUUAAGACUAUCUUUAAUGUCUGAGAUUUAAGGUAGAGAAUCAACGUUUAUUGCUGGAUAACAACGCUUUGGAUAAUGCAUUAUGCAUAGGGAUGGCAAUGGGGCUGGGUGACCGCGGGCACCCGCCCCGUGGGGGGGCUAAUGGGGCGGGGACGGGGGCGGGAGAGUGUACCUCCGCCCCAUCCCCUGCCCCGCCACCCGCUUUAAAAAAAUAAAUAUAUAAAAUAUAUAUAGGUAUAUAAUUAUAUAUAUAAUAUAUAAUUUAAUUAGUUAUAAAUUUAUGAUAAUGAUAUUAUUAGUUAUAUGUAUUAUAUGAUGUCUAUUAGUAUAUAUAAUAUAAUUGAUAUUAUUAAUUAUACUAAUAAUUAUAUAUGUGUACUAAUACAAAUUAUUAAUUGGUUAUACUAAAUUUACUAAUAUAUUUAUACUAAAUCCCUAAUUACACUUAAUACAAUAACAUUUUUUUCUUAAAAAAAGCACAAGCACAAUAAUGAAUUAGUGAUUGUAUUUGUACCAAAAGUGAAAACUUGACUACUUUAGUUAUAUUUAUUUCAUUAUGUUGGAUUGUAUUCAAAUAAUUUUUGUUUGAUUGUUUUUAUAAGUUUCAAUUGUAAAAUUACAAUGAAUAAUAAUUUAAUGAUGUGUUGAUAUUUUAGUACUUGAUUAUUUGCUAAAAUUUAACCAUAAUAAAAUUAUAUAACAAAUUUUUAUUAGUCCCGCGGGGAUACCCACGGAGGAAGCGAGGCGGGAGGAGCGGGGGACGGGGGACGGGGGAUGGGGCGGGGGCGGGGGGAGUUUGUAGGCAGCGGGGCGCGGGAUGAGGGAGGGGUCCUUCGCCCCAACUCCGCCCCGUCGCCAUCCUAAUUAUGCAAGUGUGUUUGGAUAGAAAACUGUGGAUGGUAGAGAAUCAAGGUCAGUUUUUGCCAUAUUAUCACUUAAAAUAUUUUUAAUGUUUGAGAUUUAAUUCGAUAAAUCAAAAGAAUUUUUUUUUUGUACGAUAGAAAAUAAAAGUGAAUGCUUAUCAAUGGCCAAUAAAUUAAGCUUUGGAGUAGAGGUAUAGAUGGUAUAUUUCUUCUUGCUUUCAAGUUUCAUCUUAUCAAAUUGGGAAUACACUACUAAUUCUUCUUCGAUUCCUCACCUGCGUUGAUUAGCCAAAAUUAGCUUGUAAAAAAUUUGUAGUACUAGUGUCAAAAAGGGUACUUUAUUUUUCAAUGGAAAAGACUAACGUCUAUAGCUGGGUAACAACUUGUUUUCUGGAUAAUGGAUUAUUAUAUCAAAAGGAAGGGGGAAAAAACAAGAAACAAAGAUGUAUCUCACUCUUCGACAAAGAAACUAGGAUGGUAAUUUAAAAACCUUGUAACUGUUGCUUUCGAUGAUAGCUGGCUUGAAUUGUUCGAGUCAAGAAACCAUCAAGUGGGGGUGCAGAUGCAAUAAUUUCACUUUAGAUAUUUAUAUACAGUUAAAUAUUUAUAACUGGUUUUAAUUAAUUGUUUGAGGCUUUAACUAUCCCCGGGGGGGGGGGAGCAUAUACAAUAUUUUCUCUUUAAAUAUUGAGUAAAAUUUUUAUAUAUUAUCAGUGUAUAAUUAUUUACACUAUCAAAUUGAAAUCAUAUUACAUAGCAUGAAUUUAAACUCAAAAUUUAAAUUAUGCACAUGCGACAUACAUUCAUAGUUGUUAGUGUAAAAAAAAUUACUAUACUAUUAAUGCAUAAAAAGUUAAUUCUUAAAUACUCUCUCUGUUCCACUUUGAUUUGAUAGAUUUGAUUUUUUUGCCACACACAUUAAGAAAAGUUAGUUAAUUUUAUUGGAAUAAUAAAUCUAAUUUACUAUCUUACUAAAAUACCCUUACAUUAAAUGGAAGAUAACUAAUUAGCUUUACAUUAAAUAAGUUAAGUUAUACUCAAGAAGAGGGCUAGAUUGAGCAGUAAGAUGGUAGGGGUUGCAAGUAAAACGUCUUUGGUUAAAGUCCUCUCAAUUAUCAAAAAAAAAAAAUUAAAUAUGGAUAUUUUAAAAAGUUAUAAUUUAAUUAUGUUUUUCAAUUGCAAAGUAAAUUACUGUAAUUUGAAAUGAAUGAAAGAGAAAAAUGAAGACGUGGUGAGAGUAGUUAAGUUUUGAUUGUAUAGCUCAAUUACAAAAUGUAGCGUUGAUGACGAAAAGGACCAUAUCUCAGUGUCGGCCCGAGGCCAAUGUGGCAACCUGCAAUUGAGUUUAAGUCUAAGGGACCAUGUAAUAAUUUAUGCUUUCAUAAUGGCGUUUGUACACUUUUCUUGACUCACAUGCUUAAGUCGUCUGCAUUGACGGGCCAUUGCUGAACCCAAACAAUUGACCGCCAUUAUGAGUCAGUCUACUCGGGCCAUCCACGAGAUUACCUAAUCAAUUGAAACUGAUGUACCCAGCGUAACUAGAGGAUUAAAAACAUGGAAAACGAGGAUGAAUAGUAAAAUUAGUGGCGAAGCCGGAACAUUAGACCAGUGGAGCAAUAUUAUAGUUAAAAAAAUGAUAUAAUUAUUAUGUGAGAAAAAUAUUGAACUUAUAAUUAUGUAUUUAUUUUGAGUUAUUUUUUUAAAAUUUUUUACUUAUUCAAGUAGUAUUCAAUUUUUUGUUUAAUUAGUUUUGAAUAUUAUGUUUAAUAUUAUGAAUUUUUCAAAAUAUAGGGAGUGAUUUCAAGGGAGAAAUAUUUCCUAGAAUUGAGAGGGAGGGGGGACAAUUAUGAUAAAAGCCUACAAUUCUGUAAAGUUUUCAUGGCUAUGCCAUAAAUUGUGCUAAAUUGAAGUAAGGAGGGAUAAUUGCCCGGCCUCUUGUAGUAAAACAAAGUGUUUGGAUAGCAAAUUAUCCCAAAUAAUAUUUUACUUGUAUCAUAAACAUAUUUUCUAAUCUACCAUUUUAUAUUUCCAAUCAUCUUUUUAUCUCACAUAUAUCAUAUCACAAAAAGUGUUACAGUAAUUAUUCCAAAUAAUAUUUCAAAUAAUACUCGUAGAAGUGUUGAUAAAUUCAAAAUGUUACUCAAAUUCUAAACUUUUGAUUAAUUCUCUUAAUAAAUCCAACAUGUUAAGCUAAUUAUUUAAGUUAUGCAUAUUCUGCACGUAAAAUAAAUUUUUUUUUUUUGGGGGUGGCUAUCAGGCCUAUAGCUGAUGGAGCCUUGUCUAAAAUAAAACUGUCAAGAAAAAGAAGUUAAAAAAUGUGCCAAAAAGAUUAUUCAAUUAUAUAUAUAUAUAUAUAUUCACUGUUUGAAACGACAAAUUAAACGAAGAGAGGAUACGAGUUGAGGCUGAAGGUUAACGUGUGAAAGCAACAAUGGAAGUGGAUGUAUGUAGCUAGUUCAGACCUUAUCACCGUCAAUCUUCUAAGACUCUGCCAAAUGUGCAGCGAGCAAUUAAGAUAAAUGGCUGCAUGGGUUUGGUGGGCGGGGGGUUAUAUUACAUGUACUUGGAGUUUGAAAGCUACCAUUUUUACUGAAGCGUACGUCACAUUUGAAGCUUCAGAACUGCCGACGAAUCAUCAGUACACAAGUUUCAGGCAGGUUGCUCAUCAGUCAAAAACAUGUAUGAUAACCUAGAUGCUUUACCCGUUUUUUGAUGGGCUCAUCUAUUUAAUGACUUUGUACCAUUUGAUUUCGAGUUCAUACCAGCUGUACAUUUAGAAUGGAUGGAUUUGUCGGGCGAGUAGGGAAGUACUUUUAGAAUUCCCUCAUACGCCACUUUUAGACCUAAAUCUUGGAUAUGACAGUUAGGGAUGAUGAGGAGCGGUGGAAUGUCAAACAAAAAAAAAAAAUUAAGUGGCAUGUGUUAAACUCACAUGUAAAAAUUUUUAAUUUAUUUGAUAAUCAAAUUUAACAAUUAAAUUUAAUGUAUUCAAAUCUUAAUUGUGUUUAGAUUGUUUUUAUAACAAAAAAGAGUGCCACUUAAUUGAUUAAGUGCUUCUGAAUUAUCUAGGUAAAAUUGAGUUUAGAAAAUAAGUGAUAAGUUUUUCAUUUAUCACUUAAUACAAGAUAUGCUUUUACGCUAGGGUUUAAGUACUUUUUUUUUAUAUAACUAACUCCGAUUAGAUUAGCUGUUUUUGGGAGGUGUUUUUGAAAAAUUUUGCUGUAGCAGAGUUUUUAGAUUAUAUUUUGGGAUAUUUUCAAAAAAUAUUUUGAAAUAUUUAAGAGUAGAAGAGUUUCUAAAAUAUAUUUUGAGAUAUUUUUUAAAAUUUUAAAAAAAUUCAAACUAAUUUUAGAUUACCUUUUAGAGUGCUUUUUAAAAUUUUUUAUUAUAAUUAAAAAACUAAUUUUUGAAAAACACUACUCCCAUCCAAAAAAUAAUCCGUAUAAUCGGUUGUCUUCUCCCACACCCUCUCUCCAUCAUCUCUUCCCUCUCUCAUCAACAUCCGAUCCUACCUCGCUCACCCUUCCCUUUCUCCUUUUCCAUUUGGCAUCAUUAUGGAUAAUUAAAAGGAGUUUUCCAUUGAAGUGUUCUCUCAUAUAAGCUAAAGGUAUGCGUACAAGUCUGUAGAUAUUUGUAUCGUUUCUACUCCUGACAGCUAUAUGAUUCAUCAUUAGUUUAUGGUUUGAUUACAAAAUUCGUUGAAGACAUCACAGAAAAUAUAGAACACAAAGGAGGAUCUCGACAAGUUGAUCAAGGCUUUAUGAUCAACUUCCGUGAGCAAAUUAAAAAUCAACAUUUUUAGCAUUUUAGAUGAAUUAUAUUUACAGUAUUUGUAUUUUGUCAAAUAUAUUUAUUCCAUUAUAAAUUUUAUUUCAAUUUUAAGUUCAUUCUUUUUCUAAUAAGUAAUUCUUAUUUUAAAUAAAAUUAAAUCAUAUGUGCUACUAUUAAAAUACACCAAUAUAAUAUCAUUAUUUAUAAAUAAAUCAAUAUAAGGACAAAAUUGUAAAAUAAAAGAAAUUCGGCAUUCAGUUGUCUACAUACAUAAUACAUUCAAUGUUCAAAUUCAGACAAAAAUUUGUAUUAAAUUUACCACUUAACAAUUCAAUAACUUAAUGAAUUCAGAUUUCAGACUUCAAUUUUAUCAAACGUGCCCUAAAUUUAGAGAUCAAUUAACCUGGUUGUUGUGGCCCAAGAGACCCGAAAGACAAGCCAAGGAAGACUACUUUUGAGCUGGAGAUUAUAAGUAAUUGACUAUCAAAAGUCAGAGAUUUUGCAAUAUUUUCUGAAGUUUUUGUAAAAAAUAUAUCGUAACGAUUUGAUUUGAUGUGUGUAAAGUAAAAAAAAAUGAUUAAAAAUGUAUUUACGAAAAAUGUAAAAGUUUUUUGAGAUUCCCAAAUCAUAAUGUUCUCCUUUGUGGAAUCAAAACUCAACUCCAGCACCUUUUGGACGAUAUUCUGAGAGAGAAAAGCUUGAAGCCGAUCAACAUUCCACGAGUCACCCAAGAAGAAUUCCGCCACCAGCAUUGGCGGAAAUUUUAACAAAGUCUCGCAAAACUUUUACAGAACAAUAUAUAUGUAUAUAUAUAACAAUUUUAGUUUUAUUUUCUUCAUGUUGGUGCCAUCAUCCCGAUUACGGGGAUUUACAUCGAUAUUUGCUUGCUGCUUUUUACAACCCCCUUUUGCCCCCUUUCUGAUAUAAAUCUUGUUUCCUGCUUUCUGAAUCUUUCCUAGCAUGAAAACAGACAUCCUUUUGGUUAUUACAGUAUCGGGCAACAUUCGUGUUUCAUUUUCUUAUUACCAGUUGCUGUCGAUGCCCCACAUCGCAGGUGAUCCACUCCACUCAAGUUAGAAGCAUUGUGUUUCUUAGCAUAAAUCAUUCUCGGCAGUUCACAAGGUAAAAAUCUACUAUAUUUAUGCUAGCAAAAUUAAGAAUUGACAAGCUAAAUGCCUUAACAUAAGAAGGGAUAUAGCAGGUAAAUUACAAAUAUUUGCAAUAUACAAUCUGCUGAUAAAUAAAAGAAUGGAGCCAAUUCUGAACAUCAGUCAUUAUAAUAAUUGCUUCAAACCAAAAGUAGUAUUUAACUGUGGAUAUGCUAAUUUUGUGCUCUAAAGUAACAAAUGAAUUGGGGUGGUGGAUCACCGUUUUGUAAACAUUCCCUGCACUAAAAAAGAGAAGUCAUAAUUUGAUGGGGCACUCAAAGUUGAGUAAGGCCUGCCCAUCCCCGCAGCUGAUAUUCCACCUACUGGAGCCAUUGGUGUUGCAUUGUACAUGCUGGCAAAGGCAGAUUCUGUAAGUGUUUGAAGUUAUUUCCGAAAGGCUGAUUUCAAAUUACUGGUAUCUUUCCAUUGAAUAAUGCCUAUCUUCAUGUUUUCAAUGUAUUAUUAGAAUGCCACGCAGGGACUGCGGGGAUUUGCACUUUCUUGAUUUCAUCUUAAAUUUUCACAGCGAUUCUUGUGAGCUGCAUUUAUUGGAUAUCAGAUUGCGGGACAUCAAAUUUUCAUAAAACUAGUAGAUAUAGAACCAGAGGACAUUUGAUUUGGUUACAUGCCCUCAGAUGCUUGAACAGGCUGGAAGAAUGAUUCAGGUGGAAUUUCUAUGCCAACCUUUGCAAUAGAUUGAGAUUAUCUAUUAACGGAAGUGAUGCAAACGAAAGGGCACACACUGUAUUUUGCAACAAAACGACAGCAGGUCUCUCUUCAAAUAAAGCUGAAAACUCUGAUGAAGGCUGUUUAAGAAAGGUGAAAGACACCUUUUGAUUGAGUUGUUAUUCAUGUCUAGAUGUCAUUCUAUGAUCUCAGAUUUCAGAUUAUUCAGUGGAUAUUAAAGGUAAUUUCUCCAACAAUUAUGGAUGAAGAAAUUCACGCAAAAGACGUUCCAUAGUUAGUAUUACCUUAAAUUUGGACUUGCAGAAGCAGCAGCAUAGUAGUUUAAAGGUUGAACACUUCCCAUCUUGUACAAGAACAUAAAAAUAUAACAAUAGUAAGAAGAAAAUAUGCUCAAAAAAAAAAUUAAGAUUAAGAGAAUACAUUCAGGAGACCAACCAUUCUUCCAGGUGCCUGAUAACUAAUUCUUCCCCAGUUUUGAGCAUUGGAGGUGGCUUGAUGUAUAUUGUUGGGAAUUGAAUGAGACUGACCCCAAGGCCUUGGUGCAGCAGCCAUGUAACUAGACUGCUGUUCAGCCAGCAUCGUAUGUUGUUGUUGGACGGGCAAAGGUGACACCAUGCUAGACUGUGAGGGAAAAAAAAAAAUUAGCAAGUUAAGAUGUAAUCUUAACUAAGAACAAGAACUGCACAUGAACACUUAAUAAACAUAUAGAUUUGGCCAAGAACAUACGUUACAAGUACAACAAUUUCCAGGGACUGCCCAACAAAUUUGAAUUGAACCUUAAAAUACAGUUAAUGUUCUGAAUUACCUUGUUCCUUUUUUAUUUCAGUGAUUAUUUGUCAUCAAAAGAAAAUAACCUCAUAAUAUGGCAGAAUAAACUUUAACUGAUUGUCGCAAAAAGUCAUAUACCUUGUCAAUGAGGCUCAUGGUGUCAUUCUUCAUAUCAUCUAAAGGUUUCCCUACAACAGUUGGGGUAUUCCACUGAAAAUCUCUAAGUAAUUCUUCAAUACCAGAGUCCAGCUUGCUCUUGUUUUCUGCAACCUUAGAUGGAACCUUUUGCUCAAAGCAUUGUGUAGCUUCAGCAGCUGCAACAAGACAAUUAAAUCAUUAGUGCAAGGCAAAAAGGUUUUAACUUAUCCAACUAUAAAUGGCUUCUUACUCCAUGGCGAUAAGAAUUACAGCCAUCACCACCUCCCUAAAAAAAUAAAAGAAGGAAAUAAAAAGUGCUGGGAGUAGUCAGUAAAAAUGCCUGCAUGAUACCAAAUAAAUCUCAGGUGAAGAACGUACUCUGCGAACGUCCCAAUGAAAGAUUAUUAGCAGCAGACAAUUUGGGGUCAUUUUCUUUGGCUUCCUCCAUAGAAAGCUUAUUAAGAAAAUCAGUAGCAUAUUCAACCUUAGCUUCUGAUUCCAUUGGGGUGGCCCUGCCUCCUGGUUGUCCUUUCCUAGCCUGAGUGUCUGAUGGCUCCAAUUUCUGGUGAACUUCUUGCAGUUUCACAGCAGAAGCAAUCUGUCCAACAGUCCAUGUCAGUCUUUGGGAAACAAUUAUCUCUGGUAUAGAAUAAAAGCAAGCUACCAAAUCCAGAUCAUUCAAAUAUAUGCUCAAAGAGGGCAGAAACAUGUUCAGAAAAAGGAUGGCUCAAUUUCCAAGACAUCCGAAAAUGGAAUACAAGGAAAUCAAAGUCUAGACCUCUGUAUCUCUUUAGUGAUAGUGAACUCAAAAUUCAGAAGUCUCCUGACUGACAAGUAUUAGGUUGUAAAUGUGGCUGGAGGCAUGUGAAGGUUCACCAUCAUAUGUGGUUGCAGAGUUACAUGUGCUUAACAGUGAGCAAUUUUCCCCCAACCCCCUCCAACUGUGAUAAAAGUACUUCAUAGGCAUAAAAGUGCUAACCACUUUUCAAAUUUGCAUCCAUUUGGACCCCAUUGUAAGAUUCCUUCCUCUAUCACAUACUGUGCCCUCUACAAUUAUAGUUCUAUAAAAUUCAGGAAUUCAAUGUAGACUCACUUUAAAGUAAAAAAGUUCCAACAUGUUCACUUUUUUAGAUCCAAGCAACAAUUAAGCUCGAAUGAUACACAACAACUAUCAAAGAAUACAGUUCUUUACUCUUCACUAUCAAAUCCAGUCAAAAGGGUUGCUAAACGCAGCUACCGUGCUAUGACUCUAUGUACAAAAUUAACAGGCUUCAACUGAUCUCAUCGGACUCGUGGAAAAGAAGACAAAAAUACAAAGUAAGAUCUUCAGAAGUUGCAAAAAUUUCGAAGAAAAGUACAAGGACAAAAGGAGAUGAAGGGAGGGAGGAACAAAAGACAAAGCAACCAAGAAAAGAACAUCUUUUAAGUUUGUUCUUUUAACCUGCUCGGAUACUUUAGGAGGCGCAGGGUUACAGCCGUUUUGAAUGGAGGGGGAACUUGUAACAUUAUUCAGAAGUUUAGAGUUUUUCCUCUCUUCCGACAAAUUAUCUGUGCACUUAAGGUAUCCAGUACUUCUACUUCCAGAUCCCAUCUUCUUGUCCAAAAUUCUAUCUUCUCUCACAGCUGGAGAUGCUUUAAAGUUUCCAUUCCUUGGGAUCCAUCUUUUCUCGACAUACCUAACAAGAAAUUGAAAAAUAGAAACAGGAUAAGUGCCUAUUAGAAUUCCACCACUAGGGAGUAACAAUGAAGCUGGACAAAGUCAUUGGCAUCAUAGUUGGUCAAAGUACCGAUCAACCACUAUCAUACUUUGCACGGAUAAAAUUUUCAAUUCCAACUCUAUCAAAUUUUGGAGGCAGCUCAGCUUCCCAAUAGCUAUUUGACUUCUCAUUCCCCAUUGCUGCAAAGAUGAACAAACAAGUUAAGUCCAAAGGAACCAUUGAAAAACUUAGUUUAUCUGUCCACAAGAGGUGGAAAGGAAUCCUGCUCACAUUGAAUCAAUGCAACUUGAUCUGGAAGCCAUGUGUCAAGAGUAGCAGAUCUCACCUGCAACAAAUUAAACAAGUUUAGUAGGCAUAGCACUGAAGACAUUUUAAGGAAAUACAAUUAAUCCAAGACAAGUAGCAGGGGCAAAAGAUUUGCUAUCCAUCUGAUAGGUGCACAAGUAACUCCCAAGAGCUAAAAUUUCCCAUGAAUAUCAUACUACUCUUUCAUUACAGAUGAACAGUAUGAUACACAUCUUUUCCAAAUCUUGAACAUGUGUCAUGCAAGUAUGAUACACGCACCUUUGAUAUGUGUACUCCAAGACCUCUAUGGAUUCCAGAACAUUGCAUGCAUAUGAAGAUUCCCAGAUUCACGCUAGCCCAUCUAGGGCCUCUUCACAGAAAUUAAAUGUACCAUUAGGACAAAAAAGCAUGACAUCUAAUGUUUGAAAUAAUUAUAUUGAGACUAAUUGCAGAAUAUACAGCUCCCAGGUACAUACUUGCUCUUGCAGUCAGCACAGUAUUGGUUCUCCGGCAGUUUGAGUAGCCCCUCAAGAAUCUGUCGGAAGGACACAACAUAGAAAUUCUUCCUUUUAGCCUCAGUAUACUAGAGAUAACUGGAUCUAAUUUUGCUGGAUAAAGCAUGAUUGUAGGUCAGAGGCCCUCAAUCACCACAGAACAGAGGCAUCUUUGAUCAUUAUAGUAUCUACUCGUCAACAGAUAUAGAUUUUAUCUUAUUGUCAAAAUUGAAUGGAGCUUAGACAUCAUGGAUAACAGAAAAGUCAAAAUUGAUACCUGAGAUUUCAGUUUUCUUGGCACAGAAAGAAUUGGACAACAGAAAAGUCAAAACUUUUCCCCAGAGAUCAGUGAACCAAAGUCUAUCUAGUAGAGAGAAGGAAGACUCCAUCUUUAAUGCAUUCAGGGGUGCAAAAACCAGUUGAAGACAUAGAUUAACAUAGAUCUAACAAAUAUGCUCGUAGUUGUCUACAGUCAAAUGCCUUUUCAAAUUUAGAAAAGAAUUCAAUCUAUUACUCAUUUUGAUAUGCCAUUGUUCUGCAUCUUUUGCUAGGAAAAUCAAAUUCCAUAAAUGGAUUAAUACCCAUAAAAUUUGUGGAGAUCUGCAUUAGCUCAAACUAACAUGAAAUUUGAUUUCAGAAAGAUGCAAAACCAGCUCUUUAUUGCUUGUCAACCAAAAAAGGGGGGAGGAGGUUUCCAAACAUUUCAUAUGCUGGUUCAAGUAUAAGCAAUCAAUUCAAGCUAAAAUUGGCAUAUGUUGAUUGCUUGGUUCUGGUAUUGCAACUUCCAGACUCUUAUGUGUCAAGCCAAAAUCUUUAAAUGAAACUUAUUAAUCUCACAGUAUUCUGAAUUAAAGCACAUGAACUGCAUGUUGGAAUUACCUAGAACAUCAUAGCUCCCCAAAUGUUUAACAUAUGUCUAAUCCAUGAAAAUGAUAUUCCUUCAUAUCAAUCAUGACUGCCUUUCCUGUAAAAUCUUAUCUAGCACAAACUUCUUUGUGCCAAUCCAUUCUUUGCCUGUUUGUUUCCUCAUCGAGGUCCUAGAUGUUCUGUUAAUUCUUUCUUUAGCACUAAAGGAAACUCAUACUGCGAUAACUCUUUCGGAUCGAUGCCAAAUCAAAGACACAGAUGGAGGAAGGGCUAGUUUUAAGACACAAUUAAGAGUCCACAGGAACUUUUAAUAAAAAAGCUAGUCUUUUCAGGGGCACCAAUCUAAUUUUGCCAACAUAUAAAUUGAAAUACACCAAUAUAGUGCUGUAUGCUCUAGAUUAUGGACUUAUGCAUGUCAACCUCAACUACUUUCCCAAUAUGUCCAGCUAUGCCGAAGUAUCAUGGUAAUAGCAGAAUAUCAAUGCUAUAAAAUUGUGUUCCAACCUCCAAUGUGGGGCCUGAUGCCAAAAGAAAUAUUGGCUUAUAGAACCUUUGACAGGUAUAGGAAUAUAUAAAACUGAAUUAAGACCCAGCAUUAGCUCAUGAUUGUGGAUAAGUCUAAUUAUUUUGAGCACCAAAUGGAACACAGAAUAAGUUCGUCCUAUGUCAUCAAUGACUUAAAAAAUAGGAAGUUUGUUAACCAAACACACCAAAUCAUACAUUGGCACUUGGCAGCAAAAUAGUCAAGCACCGACUAUCAAUCUAUUAGACCAAAUUAGUUAGACAUUCAUGUUCCGUCCCAAAUUGAAAUUCAACCACAUGCUAAACCCUCGAGAAAGGAAAAGAAAUAUCUCAAGAAAAGAUGUUCUUUUUCUAAGCAAACCUAAAGAAGAAACUUAAAAGCCUAAAUUCUGAAACUAAAAUCUAACUAAUAACAGAAAUAAACGAUGUAUUUGUCCAUAACGGACAUAGCUCUGCUAUGCUUCUCAAGAACAAAAAUUAACACCUUAAUAAACAGAGAGAAAAAAAAAUAAUUUAAAUUGAAAAAGAAUAAUUUAAAUUACAGACCCAUCAUGGUAAGACAAGAGGAAGUAUUCAAACACAAGGAAUACAAAUUCAAACAAUCCUAGCACAUCAAAUUUCAAAACCCACGUAAAUUUCAGCAUCAUGGAUGGUUAGACAUAUUUCAUGCUCCUAAAGAUUCAAUUUUUAACAAUUUUUUUUCAAAAAAAUAACUUGACAUGGGAUUGAAAGAAAACAGAUGUAUGCUUAUGGAGCAUGUUGACAUAUUAUUGCUGAACAGGGAUACCAGAACAACGAAAUUUCCAAAACGCAUUAGUUAAAACUUAAAAGACAUAGUCACAUAUUACUUUGUUAUGCAAGAAUUCAAGCUUUAUCAAAAUCUUGGACAUACAGACUCCAGCAUGAUUGAAGACACAUAUAUAUUGAUGAAAGGAAUCAUAAAAACACGAAAUUUUGAAAACAAAGAUGAAUUUCAGCUCCAUAAAAAUUCGAACUUUGACAAUUUCCCAUGAUAAGGAGGAAAAAAAAACCUUACCUUUAUGUGCUUUGCAUUAAGCUCCUUGGAAACGCUGGCUUUUCCGUUCAUGGCGUGGUGCUCUUCCCUUGCUGGGCUGCCAAACUUUCUCUUGCUUUGUCUUUGCGUAGUUGCAGACAAUACAAGGAGGAUAAAACUUUUUCUUUGUUUUUCUUAUUGGACUUGUGAUACGAAAGGAUCAAGAAACUGCUAAGGAAACUGAGCGUAAAGAGAAGGAAAAGAAAGAGACAGAGGAGAAGAUAUUCGCAGCCCCAGCGGACGCAAGUGGAGGUGGCUAAGGCUGUGAGUUGUGAGUCAGUCCCCUGAAUUUGACUUUUUUUGAAGUUCCAUUCCGAUUCCUUCAUUGCUUUGCCGUUGUUUUUCGAAGCUGGCGUGUGCGGCUGGCUGGUCAAAUCCAAGACGACCCCGCUUUUUUGUUGGUUCUUGAAAUUGUGCCUGCCAUUUGUUUCUACACAAUUUAUUUGUUCUAUGCGGAAGAAGUGUUCCAAUUGAUCUUGUUGAUUACAGUGCCUGGUCGGAGUAUCAAUUAUUAGUAACACUUUUGGUCUAUUAUGUUUGUUAACUUUAGGUGGGGAGUUUUGAUUGAUUUAAGGACAAAUCUGAAACGGGCUAAAGAAAAAUGAGUUAAAUUUUAGAAGGCAUUAAAAGUUCCACUAUCGUACCUGAAAUUUUUUUUUUUUGAAAAAAGAAAGUUUCAUUAUGAGCCCUUGUGAGUAGAAAAUGACCCCUUCGGUCCCUAACAGUACUUUUGAAAAACAAUCCAAUCUCAUAUGUUUGGGAUUUUAAUCAAUCAAACUCAUUCCAACUUUUGAAACUCAAUCCAAUCUCAUAUAUUUGGACCGUUCUUUCGAUUCCCGCUGAGUGUUUAAUCUAACUGUGUGUGUGUUGUUGAUCCUUGACUAGAGGAAAAAAAAAAUCAAUCAAACUCAUUCCAAAGAAAAGUUUAAUACAAGUUGUGUAAAAGAUGUCAUUGGGAGGUAAAAUCUUUGGCAAUGGAUGUGUGGACUUUUGCAGAACUAUCAUAAACUUUUGUUUACGAGUCCUCUUUUGGUGUUUCAUUUUACUAUAUAUUGUUGCUUUACAAAUUCAGAUUCUAAUAGGUUUAUUAAAUACUUGCAUGGUUGUUCGAUCAUAAAAUGCAAGCACAAUAUGGUCUAAACUGCAAAAUACCUUUUAAUUCUCAAUGAUCGAGUAUACAUUAAACUGUAAUUUCUGGUCCUUUAAUUUUGACAAAAUUGCAAUUGAUGACUGAGAAAAGAUACCUAAGAAAGCAGACGUGCAUCGAGAAAGAACUCAGCAAGUCAUGCAUCGAGAAAAGCUUGUUCUUGUGUCAUCACUCAAUUAUCAAAGUUGUUUUUGUUUGGGUUAAAUAAUAUAUUACUAAUAAUUUCCUCACCUUUUCAAGCUGUAUAACUCCCCACCUUCUAAAAUAGGAGUAUAAUUGUCAACAUCUCAAGCUUUAUGAUUCCAUAUUUUUGGUUUGAUUAAUCAAUGAUUUGAGCUUACUAAUCACUUUCUUCGCUUUGCAGCUGGCUAAUCGAAAAAGCGGUGGAUUAACAAGAAAGGCUACUAACUACCCAAUGUGGGGGGCACUCUUCUACUGUAGCAGUCACUUUGCUCAUGAAUUGCGACCAUGAUCUCAACGAAAGUCUCAGCAUAUUUCAAUUUUAACAUCUAGUUAGUUAACACCUUUUUCAUUACCUAUCUUUAAUUUCUAUUCAAUGUCCAUAAUUGGCCAAAAUUUUGAAGUAAAAAGACCAAAAUGGUUUUAGCAACAUUGGAAGGGACCAAAAUGUAAUUCAUUUCAACAUUAAUGGGAAGCAAAGUAAUUUUUCUUUCCCCUUUCAUUACCUCUUAAAUGUUUGUAAUUUGUAGCUUGUGCAUUCAUUAAGCUUUUACCUUCCGGAGCAUUUAAAACUGGCCUGGGUUUCUACGGAAUUCUUCACAUCUCAUUAGAUUUUAAAUAUAAUAUUAUUGUGUACAUGAAUGAUGAAUUGUCAGAAGAUGUCGGAUCCAUUUUACCAACUUCCAAUACUAAUCAGAAUGAGAAGAAUAAGAAUAACCCUUGUGGAGGUUGCUAUCCCACAUCGGGGUUGGGAGGGUUUGGGUGGUUAGUAUAUUAGUCUCCUGUGAGACCUUCAAAAGUUGCCGGCUUUUGAGGAUUCUUACGGGGUUAUCGGUUAGUAAAAAAGCGUCCAAAAGUCUGUUGACUUUGACAAAAAAAACAUCAGCCUAAUGCACGGGGGGUAUGGGUUCCCUUGUGGAGGUUGAUAUCCCACAUCGGGGUUGGGAGGAUUUGGGUGGUUAGUAUAUUAGUCUCCUAUGAGACCUUCAAAAGUUGCCGGCUUUUGAGGGUUCUCACGGGAUUAUCGGUUAGUAAAAAAGCGUCCAAAAGUCUGCUGAUUUUGACAAAAAAGAGAAGAAUAAGAAUAAACCACUGGGUCAAUGGCUCACACGCCAUCAGGGACAGACUUAAGUCCCUCCUCUCGGGUUGUAGGUGAGGGUUCAAACUUCAUCUGCAGUAAAAAAAUUUUAAGAAUUGUGUUGCAACAUUUCUUUGAUCUAGUUGAGUUGCUGACAAAAAAAAAAACAAAGAGAAGAAUAAGAAUAAAUUGUCGAGUAAAGUAAUGAAAAACGAAAUUUUGAGAUUAGAUUACCAAACAGACGGAGAAUGGAGCCCUCCAAAAGUUUGGAAAAUUACACCUUAAUUGUGAACAACAUUUUUAUACACCAUCAUUACUUUGCAGAUUUCUAUCCUAAAUCAAUCAUUAAUUGUUUGUGAUUGAUGAUUAAUGCAUAUAUACGCACACACACAAACACACUAUCAGAAAGUUACUCACACACACUGUCAAAAAGUUGUUGCAAAGUUUGUCAUAAAAUAAAAAGUUGUAUAUAUGCAGACCCUAUAUAUAUAUAUAUAUAUAUAUAUAUAUUAUGUUUGUAACUUUUUUAUGACAAAUUUUGCAAUAACUUUCUAAUUUUAUGCCCAUAAUCAAGAUGGGAGCUUAUUUAUCUUUUCGCUCUCUAGUUAAGUUUCUUUGUUUAUUUACUCAUUGAAAGAACCGAAAUAUAUCAAGUAACAUAGAACUAACCUUUUAGCAGAGCGAAAGCUUGUACUGUACCAGUUUUUUUAAGAAAGACAAGACUCUUAAAAUUUGCAGCUCUGAAUUUGCAUAUUGCCUUUUGAAUUGGGUACUAAUUUGCACUUUAAUAAUUGUCAAAUGACAAUAUGGGCAGGCGCAAAAUUAGUACCAUAACACCGCUGUAUGCUAUUCUACUUCUUAUAUGCGUAUGCGAGAAUUUUGGGAUUUUUGGCAACAUUAAGGGGCAGAUUAGAAUUUUUAUGGAAACACAUUACGUGGAAAUUGGACGUGAAAACUGACGUAGCUUCAACAUACUGAACUUUCAAGUGAUUUUGUGCUUGGAAUUGAUGAUUGGACUUCUAAGAAUUACAUAAAGAAGAGACAAAGCAAAGAAAACAAGAAGGUAUUUAAAUGUCUAGCCAAUUCCACUAGAGAACCACAUACGCUUAGAUUUGAUAAUACUGCUUAUGGAAGUGGAAUGAAGAUUCUGAUUUGAUCGAUGUUGUAGUCUAGUAAUCUGCUUCCUUGCAGAUUGUAUUCUGACGAAGGACUGGUCUCGCUUUGCACCUCUCACUUUGUAUUACCUUUUUUUUUUUUUUUUAAUUUUGUACUUUGAGUUUUAAUUUUAAACACGAUCUUUACACUUUAAACACGAAGGUCAUUGAUAUUUUCUAUAUAGAAUUAAAGCUCAAAGGCUUCAAUUCGAAAAAUUGCAACACGAUCACUAAUUUCAUCAUUCUUUUCUUUUCUUUUUUUCUUUUUAAACGGAACAAUUUCCAGCCUCUUUUCUUUUUGUCCAAUCCAAGUUUCGGUCUCCGUUAAAUCCAGUUUGUGCAGUUUCAAAAACUCCCAAGAAGAAGAAGAGGAGGAGGAGGAGCAGCAUGUUUAGUCUCGUCCAUAAAAUGUUCUCACCAAGUGUAAAUGUCGGCCCCAUCAGUUCUGUUUGGAAAAGACUUUAAUUAUUGGCAAAGCUUUUUUGGAAUACUCUUCUGAUCAUAUAUUUUCACAUUUCGAAAUUUGUUGUUGUGAUCUUCUUUAAUUACGAGUUGCAAAACCUGUCAUUCCAUACUUUACUAGAGCCAAGAAAUAUCUCUCAUAGCAAUAGUAGAAGCACUCCCAUUUACACCAAAAUCUGCUUCAAGCAAAUGAGGAUUGCGAGGAACCACCAGCCCAAACCAUCAAGCCUUUAAGGCUUGGUGAGGCGGAAAGUAAGGUUUUUCCAUCAAUUAUUACAUUAAAAUGUGAAUUUGUUUUAAAAAAUUCAGACGUGUACGUGUCGCCGUCUUUGGAAAAAAAAAAUGAAGAUUGCGAGGAAAGAGGAGAUGAAUAAUACAACAAACAAAUAAAAUAUUAAAGAUGAUGCAGCAGCACUUCUUUGAUGAUCAUCGAUCGUCUUUCGAACUAAUCUGAUUAAUAUCAUAUUAUCAUUACGAGUUAAAGUUUAUUGGAUUUUAGAGAGAGUUUGGAAAGAAUACAGAAGAAUUGCCAAAUGACUUUCAAGGCAAGUAUGCAAAGAAAUUGCCAAUCGACUUGAUGCAAUUCUGCAAAAUGAGUGGAGAGCCAGAUGAAUCAUUCAGUGCGACCGGCAAGAAACAACUUAAACCUAACUUUAACGAAACGACCCUACAUGGCUGUGGUCAGAGAUCUUCACGAUGAUCAGGCAUGACCCAUGCUUCAAGCCCUUUUCCUACCGUCUUGAUUGAUUGAUAGGGGGCGGCCGGUGGGGAGAUGGAUAUGGAUGAUGCACGCUCCAGAUUACAAUAGUACUACCACAUCUUCUUCCGUUUCAACUGACUUCUGCUCCGAAAUCCACGCUUUGGUCGUACAAUCUGAUAAUGAAAAAGUUCAUAUUCACCAUCUCAUCUUUCUUUAUGCACUUUUUGUAUUUCUUUGAUCGCAGAUAAAUAGCGAUGAAGCAUCUGUCCGAGGUAGUAAGUGGGCAUUUUAUCUUUUCUUUGGGCUUGGGGUGGCUGCUUCAACUGUUAUGCUCUCUUUUUCACUCUGCCGUAGAUGACCUUGCAGAUGUGUUUCUCGGUUCUUGUGCUGCUAAUUUUUGCACCAGAAACUGAAAGCCUCCUAAUCAAAGCUAAAACGCCUCCUAAUUCAUGCACCAUUCUCUCUACGCCCCAAAUUCACAGUAGCAUGAGCUAUGACUGACUGUAAAAUGCAGCUUUCCGUACUUUGGGGAACAUGCAUAGAUAGAGUAGUGUGUCUUUUGGCAUGCAAAGAGCCGGUCUCGAGUCAAGCUCGAAUCGAAAUCGAAAUCGAACUCGAACUCAAAAUAUUAAGCUCGUCGGCUCACGAGUUCGAGUAUAUAUAUAAUAUUUUUUAUUUUUUUAUUUUAAGCAUAUAUAUAUUUUUUUAUUUUAAGUAUAUAUAUAUUUUUUAUUUGCUUAUUUUAAUAAUAAAAUUACAUAUAUAUCCUUAAUAUUUUAUUAUUUAUUAAGAAAAAAAUAUUAUUUUAUUUAUUUUUUUAAAAAUAAAAAAAAUUAUUUUUUAUUUUUUUCGAGCUCGAACUUUAAAUUGCCGGCUCCUCGAGCUCGAGCUCGAGUUCGAGUUUGGUAAAAUUUAGUCGAGACUCGACUCGAUUAGUUCAAAACUCGACUCGACUCGACUCAUUUGCAGUCCUACACAAAAGGCACCAUCCUGCAAUUCUCCACCUCUAACACUGACCCUUUGUAUUUCUUGACAGCCGCCUCUUAAAAUACACCGCCUGUGCGUUUAUGCAGAUUGUCGAGAAAAAAAAAAAAAAAAAAGCUCCUUCUUGCCUUUCUUCUUCUUUGUGAAAUGCUUGGAUAUGGUGUAUUAUUUUGGAGAAGUUUGGCACACAUAUUGAUUGGAUAAAUAACAAUUAUAUAAAUUUUGAAUUUGAAAUUCAAUUUUUACACAUAUGUUAUAAAUCAAACGGGUGAUAAUAUAUACACAUUGUCAGUGUUUUAAUAAGAUAUUAGUAUUAAUAUGUGGUGUUCAUGAGUAUUUAAAAUAGGAUGAUAAAGAUUUUUUAUUUUAAAUAUUUUGCAAAAAUUUUUAGAGCAAAUCCAGAAAUGCCUCAUCUAGUAUUUCUCAAAAUAAAAUAUUGCUCUGCUUGAAUUAGACAUAAACAAAAAAGAGGCCAAAUGGAAACAAUAAGGCCUCGAAUAGAAUUAUUUUAGAAUAAAAAUGUAUUAUUGCUCAUUAAUGACAAGUUGAAGACUUGAAGUGCAAUUUGGCUCGUUAGCCACAAAGACUUCACCCAUCCCAUUAUCAUUCCCAUUUCUUCCGCAAUCUUAUCUUUCAACGACGUCGUACAGGCUCCAGUCUUUCUCCGUACCUUGGAAGCCUCACAAGUCACAACCCGAAGAGCCAGCUGCCAACUGACGUUUUAUCCAUCAAAAUAAAGAGAACAAGGUGAACUUUUUUAUGCCCUUUGUAUUUCUUUCUUGUGUGCAAUUUUGCAGAAUUAAUUGGAACCUGGGCCACCUACGUUUUUUUUUUUUGAGUUUAUUCAAAUAAUAGUGAUUGAUAGUUCAAAGACGGAUUAUUUGGAUUUAAACAUAUGGUCUGUGGAUUAUUGGGUUUCAGAAACUGAUUUGGAAAUCCCUUCUUUUAUCUGAAUUUUUCAUUGCAAAGUACAACUUUGAAGCUAACAGAACCAGGAAAAAUGAUGGAAUAGCAUAAGAUAAGAAGUCGAGGGAGGGAGGGUAUUGCAAUAUAGCAAGUUAUUUCUCUUGCUAGACUAUAUAUAGAACCCAAAUGAUGGUCCUGAUGCAGUCCUCGCAGGCAUUUUGAUCACUAGAAAGCAGUUUUAUGUGUGUUGUUUGGUGAUGGGCAUCCCAGUUUCCCCAACAUGUAUAUCUUGCUUUAGUUUUGGAUUCACAAUGUGCAGUAGGGAAAUGACAGCAAGUAUCAAACGGAAUUUGUUCACAAGUUGGUUCUUGAUAUCCUGUGAUCUAUCAUAAUGGCUGGGUGUUACUUUUGUAGUUUUAGUUUGCUUUUUUGUUCUUGAUGUGGAGUAUUCUGGCUUCAAAUAGUGGUGUUUUGCAGGGCAUUGACCAGGUGCAUGCCUUCUCCCAUUUCGAUAAGUUGUUAUGCCAAUGCCUUUUCUUUGCCUUUUACCUUUUCCAGUUUGAUUUUUUUGGGCGUUCGGUAAAUAUUAGAACAUGGGGUUGUAUUAACUCGAUAGACCAACCUUUCUGAUAGCAAUUCCCUUGGUUGCAACUUUUUAUGUUGUCUCUAAUUAAAUCACCAGGGACUUGUGUUGCCACGACUUCUUGCUCUUUCUCUGGCCUUUCUGUUUUAUUGUGCUCCUUAGUGUAUUCUGCCCGAGUAUCUCUUCUAGAAGUUAAGGUUACCUAUUGCAAGCUCUGACUUACUGGAUAGUGUUUGAUUCAGGAGCAGAAUAAACUCUUUAAAGGGUGACUAGGUGAAUAACAGCCGACAAGCAAUGCCUGUAAUAGUUCCAUGGCCAUGAUGAAGCUGUUUGAUGCUCAUUGUCACCUACAAGAUCCGAGGGUGUUCAAUAUGGCCCCACAGAUAAUCAGGAAAGCGCUUGAUAAUGGGGUUGCUCAUUUUGCUGUCAAUGGAGUCAGUGAGAGUGACUGGCAUUUGGUUAAGGAGAUGAGUGAUAGGCAUCCUUCGGUGAUUCCAAAUUUUGGGAUCCAUCCAUGGUUUGUUGCUGACAGAACUCCCAAUUGGCUGAACACUUUGAAGGAAUUCUUUGAGGCUAAUCCUGCAGCUUCAGUUGGAGAGAUAGGUUUGGACAAAGGUUCACGUGGGAAGCAGAUUGAUUUUACAGACCAGGUUGAAGUGUUCCGACAGCAACUUCAGCUUGCUAAAGAGUUGAAAAGACCAGCAUCUAUCCACUGUGUGCGAGCUUUUGGUGAUUUACUUGAUAUACUGAAAUCUGAAGGACCAUUCCCUGCUGGUGUGCUUUUGCAUUCUUUCUUGGGUUCUGCCGAAAUGGUUCCUGAAUUUGCUAAGCUUGGUGCGUACUUUUCCUUUUCGGGGUUUCUUAUGUCCAUGAAGGAAACCAAGGCAAGGAAAAUGUUGAAGUCUGUUCCUCGUGAUAGAAUUUUGUUGGAGACAGAUGCACCCGAUGCUCUUCCAAAAUCAAACAAUUCAGAUUCUCUUCUUGUGAUUGGAAGUCCUGAUGAAGAUUCAACUACCAAGGACGGUCCCUUGUUUGAGAAUGCAUCUCUAAAGGAAACCAACAAAUCAACUUUGGAGACAGAAAACCUUAAUCAUCCUGCUAACAUUCACCAUGUACUGUCUUAUGUAGCAUCUUUGCUUGAUAUGACUAGGGAAGAACUUGCUGAAAUUAGUUAUGGAAAUGCGGUAAACCUCUUCACUUAUGAAGGUUCCAAGAAAUAUAACUAACAGGUAAUUGUAGUUGUUUACUACUAAUUAUACAGGGUAAAAUUUGUAUUCAAAAAGGGCUCUUAUAUGUUUUCUCCUUGCACGUAUUGAGAAAAUGUAAUUGAUCAACUUCAUGCAGCACAUUUGCUGUACUUGCAAUGCAAGCAUGUUUUGAUAGCGUUGAGUCUCUUUCAAUGCAAUAAAAUGAACCGAAAUGUCAAUAAACCAUUCACAAGCCAAAAGUACUUUCUGCCAUCUUCAGCCUAAUGAUUGCCCCCCCAAAAUUUCAGGGAUGGGUCCGAUGUAAAUUCUAUACCUUUUGCACCUGUAGGCAAUAGAUGCUGAAGCUUUACAAGUUGGAUGUUUCUCACUUCUCUUAGAUCAGCCUUUUUUAGUACGAUACAGUAGCAUCAUAAACAGAAAUAAGCCAAUAAAGUUACUGGUUGUGUUGAAAGGCAAUUCGUUUUGCUGGCUGGUUUCAACAUUAAUGUUUCUGCCUUCCCAUUUUAUUGUGACUCCUCGUGAUUUAGCUCGAGUUUUUCUUUUACUUUUCCCUGUGACAGGUAUUAGUGGCUGGUCUAGUGCCUACUUGUUCCACAAUAUCAAUCCAACGAAGUGGAGUAAAAGAGACUUGGAUGUCUAGAAAUCGAUCUGAAGCUUAUUUGUAAUUUCUGUUGUGACCGACAUAUUUUUACUGGUGCAUACUGCAAUAAACCUGCUUACCAGUCAAAUAGGUUUACUUCUUGAUGUGGCUGUCGCUAGAGAAAGUUCUGGCUAACUUGGAGGACAUUGAACUACUACCAGGAUAUCAUCUUGCACUCUUUUGUAUGACUUGCAAUUUAUCAUGGUCUACCAGUAAUGCUACGUUUAGGUACAGAAGUGUUUAUGUUCUGCAGCAGCAUCAGCAAAAGCUAUAUCUUUUGUGCUAUGUCUUUUAUGUUUCUAAAAUCUACAGGUUCGUUGGAAAUUUUUUCUCAAUUAUGGUGCCCUUGUACAUAAUCGAACAUAAAAAAGAUUCGCAUACAUAAAUGGAUCCUGCACUCAAUGCCACUUUUGCUGCUACAUUCCACUACUACAUAAAAGACCACUUCCUCAAGAUGCUCUCUCACAAAUUCUUGGAUCCACAGCCCAUCACUCGUACUUCUUUCGUGAUUUCAAAAGAGCUUCCACAUCUCCAGUAUAAGGAGCAACAUGGUAUGCAUACUGCUGAAUAACAGAGAAGGCAACCAUCUCCACACAGAUCAAUAGAUUCUGAAUAGCUUCCUCAACGUGUUCCACAUCUAACCAGAAAUGCUGAGAUCUAAUGAUGCCUGCUGCAGCUAGGAUAUCAAGCACCAUGCCCUAAAUAUGUUGAAAUACUAGCUUUAGUAACCAACAGUAAUCCCAUCAAGCAUCAAGGAAAAAUAGUAAAAAGAGGGAAACAUGGUUUUAAGAAGCCUUUUUUUUUUUAACUCUCUUGUGCUGUCAACAAGUCAUGCUUAAUUCUACCUUUAGAUGGACAUCAUUGGAGAUUAGCAGGGGCAUGUUAUUUAAUUGACUAUAUAUGCAUAAACUCAUUCUGAUUGCAAGAAAAAACACAGAGACAACAAAAAUGUUGGUAAAGAAGCAGUUAAUAAAUUAGUAUUGAACAAGCAAAAUUAUCUGCAACAGCAUCAGACUAGCUUCAAUAGGAUCUGGGAGGUAAACAAAAGAAGUUGAAUGCUGCACAAUGCAUGCAAAGUAUGUACACGUGGCAACAAGAAUAGCAGCAAAAUAAUAUGUCUGUACUCUUAAUAUAGGCAUUGUGGCUUAUAAACGUUGACAAAGACGAGCCUUUCCUGCUAUAUAGUAAGGCUUUAGAAAAUAAAAUACAGUAUAAGAGCAACUGUUAGACAAUCUAAAGAUGCUCAGCUUCAUUACUAUAACCAAGAAGCAAUUACCUUCACCUUCUGCUUUAUGUUUCUAGCAUACAGCGAACAACAUCUCACAAAAGGAUGGGAUUUGGCCAAUACAUUUCUGGUAGUUCAUAUCUUUAAUUUUUUGACCUUUGAUGGCUUCUCUUUAAAGCAUAAUGCUGAUAGUUAAUCCCAGAAUUAUUAGAAGACCAAAUGCCCCAGCUGUCAGGCCUAUAUGCAUAAGAACCUUGUGUAGUUUUAGCAUUGAAAAUGCUCAGUCUUUCUAGAGCCAAAACCUUCCCAACCCCACCCCCCCCUGAGAGAGAGAGAGGGAGGGAGGGAGGGAGGGGGGGGAGGGGAGAAGAUUUUUUCUCUGGGUCUUCAUAAAUUUGGCUGAACAGCGGGUAAAAUUUGGCUAUUGAUACAUCUGGACUGACUUUCUUUUUGGGGCACAGAUGAUACAUCGUGGGUACAAGACAAAGUGAUAGUUGAAACCAAGCAAUUGCCUUGAGAAACACUAGCAAUUACCACCAGUACAACUAUUGUGCACUAAGCCGGAAUAAUUUAAUGAUACAACUGUAUCAUGCAGUUAUUGAGAUGGUUUACGUCUAUCAUAAUUAUUGGAUUCUCUCUUUUCAGGUAACAAUACAUUUCUCACAAGCACAUAAACAGAUAGACAGUUGAAAUCCUGGCAUGUAUUAAAAGAUUCAUCAAAUUGAUUUAACUCCAGGGGGUCAGACACCUGCACAUACGUUGCUCAUAUCAGAACAUAGCGAUAUAGGGAUGCUCACAUCUCAUCCAUGAAUAUAGUCUGCUCGUAUUAUGCUUACAUAUGGGCUCUCUCUUCUGCUUAGAGUAAUGUUUCUUAUCAAGCACAGACACAACAGAGAACACAAAAGUGUGGCACGUUACAAGAUACACAACAUUGUGUUUAACUGCAGGUGAUCAUUGUCCUAAAACUAUAGGCAUACACAGUUAUAAGAUAAUUUCUGCUCAUUACAAAUGCAGAUAAAGAUUCAGCAAUUUGAGAAGGUAAAACAGAAAUGCAAACCUGCCAAAAGCUGAAGAAAACAAUCCCCUUGAUGCAAAUGAACUUUGCAAGUGGCUUGUGUGGUUUCAAUUCUUUAGCGAAGACAUGGUAGAAGGCAAGUAGCGAAUACAUCGCUAAAAAGAAUGACAUGUUGAGAAUAAUGGAGAAUGUCCAACUGACCCAUCUGGGAUAAAUGCCAAGAAGCUGUAGUGUUAUCAUUAAGAGGGAGCAUACAGGGCGAAUGAUGACAAACUGCCAUGUCCAGUACUUGAGAAGCUUCAAUGUUUGAUGGUUCAAUCGAGUAGUGCGAGGCUGAAAUGCACAAUCAAUAUUCAGUACAAACAACAUGUGUAACACAUUUACCACUCAUCUAAACACAAUAUGAACAAAGAAAUCCUACAUGCUAUGAUCUUCAAAAACUGAGCAGAAUCCUUGUUAAAUCAUGUUUGCACUUCAUUCCAGUACAAACACACACACAGAGAGAUAUAAACACACACACACACACACACAAACUUGUAACGAAUCGGAAAAUGUUUAACAGACUUGUGCAUAUAAAAUAAAUUUCCAAUGAAUACAGGGCAUUUUGUUAUGGUAUGGUUCAUGAUAAGUUGCAAGAUGGCUGGAUUUACCGAAAUGGUGUGUUACUAGACGUAAUACAAGACUCUUAUAAGACUUUGUUUAAUUUUGUUUCAGAUUUAAAAUGUGCAGAAAUAAAAUAAAUUAGAACUGAUGCAAAUGGGACAUUGCAUAACUCAAAUAUCCCCUAUCACAUUUUGUCAAGAUCAUCUGUUUUGACAUACCUUUAGCAAGAAGAGAAAGACUCCGCUAACAAAACCAAAUGUUGCCCACCAAAAUUCUAAAAUAGGAAAAUUGUACUCCUGUUCCUAUACAAUUUAAACGCUACUUCUAUGUAAUUAACUCUUUCAAUAAAAGCCUUACAUUUUUACUUUUAUAUCUUCUUGCAGCAAGUCUUGUACAAAGUUACACUGAAACACGGUUAAUAAAAAGCAGUAGUAAGUCUCACCUGGAAAAGAGUCAUAGGAAAAGAAUGGUGAAUUUCCCUCCCUUUAAUUUCAUCCGGCACUAUAUUCUUGCCAAUGGAUAUAUUCAAAUAGCUAUACAUCAAAGCCAAAAACUUUGCAAUCACCUAAAAUUCAACACAAGACAGGGCAAAAUUAACUAUUAUCAGCCCUGAUUUCAACUUCAAUAAGCAAAAGUCAAGCCCCAAAUAACUGAAAGAGGCUCAAAAUUGAACACCCCAAAAUCAAGAAUAUGGACUUACGAAAGCUUCAUAGCACUCCUUAAUGGAGUCCAAGAACAUGAAAAAUGCCUUGCUACCUUGAAAAUCCAACAGCCCCACAAAUGAAUCGACAGCAUAAACAGGAGCCAUGAGUAUAAUAAUGAUUAUGGCCUUUUGUUCCUUCGGAUUUUUCCAGUAAAACAGGUGCUGUGAUAAGAGCUGUACAGUAUAAUGGACAGUCAGCAAUACGCAGAACCCAGAUCCCACAGUAGUAAUCUGGCCUCGAUCCAUCUUUGUUAUGUCCAUUUUUUCAAUAGAGUAACUUCAGCAGCUAGCUAGCUAGCUAAAACCAAGAAAGAAACACCAGUGCUCAAUCAACAGAAGCCCAAGUGUCCACCAAGAAACGGUAAAGAAGUAUCAGAAUCUUUGAUGUACUAAUCAGCUGAUCAGCCUUUUUCGUAAGGGGUAGAGAAAUGGAAGAGUCGGAUAAGGUAUUGCGAUGAAUCCGUUGUUCAAUUGCUCAAAGCAACGUAGCUGAAAAGUCAGGAGUUUAUGGAGUGACUGGCGCGUGAGUCUCUCGAUUGCGCGAAAAGUAGCUGUUUACUGAGAAAACUGCUAACGCAGGUUACACAAUUACAGAUUCGAUCAAGAGGAAGAAACCUACUAAGAGAGAAGUUUCAGUAUUAAGCUUUGAAAUCUUUUGUGCCUCGGUCCUCCCCUUUUUUUUUUUUUUGUUUUAAAAAAAAAUUUGUUUACCUAUCAAUUGUUUUUAAAAUUUUUUUACGUGGGGAAAGGGGUAGAUUUACAAGACUGGGAGCGAGAAGGGGAAAUUGAACUCAAUACCUCAUAUUUCUAGAGCUUUAGAAAAAACGUUUGAUAAUACAUUUAAAUCCAGUUUGUUUAAUUAUGAGAAAAAUUGACUUCGAACUUUUUUGCAAUCUGAAUUGUACAGAAUUUUUGGAUGGUCUUCACUAUAUGUCAAAUUAUGAACAAAAAUAUUAGUGUAAUGUUAAACUAAUUGAUAAGCCCAUAUCCAUAAGCCUCAUGAUCCAUUGGACCAUGGAAUGAAGGAUCCCGGUACAUCUAUGUGGAGUUGAAUAAAGCCCAAGCCAGCGUAUUAAUCUGUCCAGAUUUUGCCAAGAAUUUAUUAAUCUUUCAAGAUUUUGUGUUCAAGAUUGAAAUUUGAGCAUUGGAUGCCCAUGGCCUUGAAGUCUUGUCGUUGCAUAGUUUGUAAGGUAGCAAUUACAGUCUCUCAUACACCUCCAUGGCUCCACCAAAUAAAACAAAACAAAAGCCAAUGUAUUCAAUGCAGGAGCGACCAAAAGGGGAAGACAAUAUCAUUAUAACACAUCAAUCUCUUGGAACCAUCGUUCAUUGUCAAGAACAUGGAUAAUGUGGACUGCCUAACCAGAUGUAACUUCAUGAUCGAAUCAUCCCAAAUACUGCCAAACGUAUGGUCCUUCUUAAAUAUGUCAAGGAAGGAGGCAAAGGUGGGGGCUUGAAAAAGUGGGCUGCAGAAUAAAUAUUCCUCUUUUUUGAACCGAACAAAUGUGCAGAACUAGAUUCCGCAAAAAAGAAUUAUUGUGCAUUGAUGCUAGUGUUGUUUUAUGUAUAAUCAUGUCAAAUAAAAGCAUUAUUUAUACGAGGUCUGAGUUCAUUGACUGUUAGUUGCACUGAGAUGCUGAUGGGAAGAAUGAACAUGAGAACCAUAAUUACCCUCUUGGUAAUCUUGGUCGUUGAAGGCUGUUAUUGGGAAAGAGGGGUUUCAACAACUGUAACUUAUGAUCAUAAGGCAUUGGUUAUUGAUGGAAAGAGGAGGAUUUUGCAGUCAGGCUCCAUACAUUAUCCACGAGCUACACCUGAUGUGAGUUGGAACUUCAUUUCUGAAGUUAACUGGUAAUUACAUGCAAUUGUUGUUUUUGGCUGAUUUUGAGGCAAUGCUACUUUUACUGGAGAACUCCAGUUGUGGCCAGGCAUCAUUAGCAAGGCGAAGGAAGGAGGAUUGGAUGUGAUCGAGAGUUACGUUUUCUGGAAUUAUCAUGAACCUGUUCGAGGGCAGGUAUUAAGUAAAUCAUCUCUCGCUUCAAUACUGAAUAUAUUACUCUUCUUUACUUAUUUGAUGUGAUUAUAGUUGAUAAGAAACAUGACUGCUUGGUUUAGUAUGUCGAAAUGAGUAGAAUAUGAUGAGAGGAGGACAUUAUCUCAACUGCUUGUAUCAUUAAUCUGUGAUAAUGCCGAACUCUGGUUGUUAUGUUAAGUUCUGUUUUGUGUUUGUGCCUUCUGUUUGACUUCGUGGUUUGAUAUCUGUUGUUGUAAUGAGUAUUAUCUCGGUCUCACUUGUGAUUUUGUCUCGUACAUUUGUAGUAUUACUUUGAGGGCAGAUUUGAUCUUGUAAGGUUCGUGAAGACGGUGCACGAAGCUGGCCUUUAUGUCCAUUUAAGAAUUGGCCCCUACGCAUGUGCUGAAUGGAAUUACGGGUUUGAUUCUUAUGCAAUCUCCUUUUGAUUCUGCAACAAUUUGUCCAUUAUUUAUACUUGCAAAUUUUGUUUGCAACAUUUUUUUUUUCGGCUUUUUUAGCCUGUAGGUAGUACUCGAAAUAACUCAUUACGUUAUGAUGUUUAUGUUCUUAAUUGACCAGUGUAAUAUUUAUUCUGGUAUGUCGAACUGAUCAAGGCUAAUUAAUCUCUGACAUGUUGUUUGAAGCUGAGAAAUGAAUUUCAUUUCUUUGUAUGCAGUAAGUUUUCAGUGUGAAGGUGUCCAUGCUCUUCUUGACUUCUGUUUUUGACAUGGACAGGGGAUUCCCUGUUUGGUUACAUUUUAUUCCUGGAAUUAAAUUUCGAACUUCGAAUGAACUUUUCAAGGUAAUGGGCACAUAGACUUUCUAAAGAUCUUUCAAUUGUUUAACUGCCUAGUUAGUUUCUCGAUUUACUUGCGGACAAAACCCAAGAAAAGGAUUAGACCAAUUUAAUUGGGCCAAUCUUCAAGAUCAAGAUGUUUGUACUUUUCUGUAAUCCAUGCAGAGGGAAAUGAAGCGUUUCCUGAAAAAAGUAGUCAACUUAAUGAAGGAUGAGAAUCUAUUUGCAUCUCAAGGCGGUCCAAUCAUUCUUGCACAGGUGGUAAUCUCUUGCCUUUGUCAUAGACUCUAGAAGUGAAUUGUAUGCAUUGGCUUUUGAAAAUAUGGUUUCUUUUCUUACUGGUUUGAUUGAUUGGUUCGAGUCAGUAACCCUUUUAUGUAGCCUUUUGGACUGUUGAUCGAUUGUGUGAAUGAUUAGUUGGUCGUGAAGACAAUAUUUACUAUAUUGUGGGCACAGCAUCUGCGAAGUUUUCUUGAUCCCUUCUCUCUGUAACAAGAUCAUGUAUCCUAGGAAUGUGACGAUAAAGACUUUGUCAGAAGAAUAUUGGAAUUUUAAUUAGUUCAAAACUUAUCUAUAUUUUGGUGUCACGACCCAAACAUGCAGGCUGGAAAACGAAUCAGACUGAUCCUUUGAAAGUUCCAUAAUCUAUCUGAGCAACAAGAUAUCCUGUUGAUAGCAACUUAAUCACUUUAAAAUAAAUCUUUUUUUGGGUUCCCGAAGAAAGUUUGGAGCCCUAAAGUUGAAAAAGAAAAGUGACCCUUGUGUUGGGGUUGGGAGAAGUGGCUUUAGUCUGUGAAAGUUUGCAUGGCAAUGAACCUAGGCCUUGAUCUCCGGUAUAUCUUGGUGCUUCCUGCUUAAUGUUUUACUAGUUCAAAGUUAGUACUUGUUCUUUAAUUGGAAACUCAGCUGGAGAGGCAUAUAGAGACCGAAAGCACCAUACCAUGUGAUCUGUCAGAGUAAAAGUGCAGCAUGUUUUCAAUCUUAAAAUAACCCAACUUCUCUUUCGAAGUGUCCAUUUCAGUGACAUGCUUCUAGCCUAAUUUUUAUGCAAGAAAUGACCAACAUCAUGAUUCGUCAGUAACACCUGUUUCAGUGCUUGAGAAUAAGUUCUAUGAAUCUAAUUUCUUUUUUAGUUUUAGUUUUUCCUUUUUAUUGGCUUUUCUUGGCUUGGCUACUCAUUUUUUCUUCAACUUUUUUUACUCUAUAACAGGUUGAGAAUGAAUACGGGAAUGUUGAGGAUGCCUAUGGAGUUGGUGGAAAGUUAUAUGUCAAAUGGGCUGCUGAAACAGCUGUUAGUCUAAAUACUACAGUCCCGUGGGUGAUGUGUGCUCAGAAAGAUGCACCUGAUCCAAUUGUAUGCAUGCUAGCUUUCAAUAUUUCUCUACCAAGAAUUUUUCCUGCACCAUGUACUAAUAUACUUGUUUACUGCAAGUUAAAUAAACCAAAGAUCAUGAAGAUGGGGAUGACUUUUUAUUAUGCGUCAGACAUCAAAACUUGGUUACUUGGAAUAAGUUAGUUUUUGAAGGUUCAGGCUGGUGCAAAUCAUAUUUAUCUUCUUGCUUAUCGGGAUUGAGGGGAAUGUUGGUGCAUUCGAGGAAUAUACUAGAUGGGCGGAAUUUCAUCAAAGCCUACUAGAAAGUGAAGUCAUUAAGCAUGAAGUCAAUUACCCAAGGAAGAAAAUAUAAGGAAAUCAUAAUGUAGUUGGAAGGGUACGGUCUUAACUUUGUAGUUAAUAUACUUACAGCUGGUAGGUUUGAUCCCAUAUAACAGUUAUAGAAUUUGGCAGUUAGUUAUUUUAAGGAAAAGAAGAUUUGGCAACUAAUUAACAGAACUCUUGAGAAGUCCUAAAGGAGUCAGAGAGAGCUCUACAUGUAUGCCAUGGAGCCCCCUAACAUGUCAAGUCCUGCAGUUAGGUCCUAAGGUUUAUAUGCAUAGGAAUAUUGAAAAUUUAUUCAGUGUGCCCCCCUCACUGGACUCGCAGUUUCUCUUGUACCAUGGUCUUCUAGCAUUAGUUGCCCUCCUCGCUCUGCAGAAUUUUGAAUUCAAGAGUGGUUGGUAAAUGAUGAGAAUAAGAACUUAACAGACCAGAGAUGCAAGAUUCAUUGAUUACUGUUUUGCUGUUUCUGAAUUAGAAUGACUGUGGACAUGGAGGAGGAUGUUGUAAAAACAUACACUGAACUGCUUCUUCAUUGGCUUAGGUGAUAGAAACUCUGAUUAUUCACUCUAUUGUCUUAAUUUUAUGUGCUUAACAACAGUAUUUUGGUAUUUCUUGAAUUUCUCAAAGGUACGUGCUAUCUAGUGAUUUAAAGGCCCAAUGUUGUGGCUAAGCAUCAUAUUUGAUAUCUUUAUUACAUGUUGUGCAUGAGUUUUGAAGAUCCCAUAAUACUUUCCUGAUGUACUAAACUUUAAGAAUGCAGAUAAACACAUGCAAUGGCUUUUAUUGUGAUGGAUUCACCCCAAAUUCCCCUUCCAAGCCAGCAAUGUGGACAGAAAAUUACCCUGGAUGGUUGGAGCACGAGUCCUUCAUGCCCUCAAUGAAUUAUUUACUGGCAUAGUUGUACAUUAUUUUGAUUUAUUUUCCAGUUCAUUAUUUAGGUUGGAAUUUCUGAGAGCCUUGUCUGGCUUGCAGGUUUCUUGCAUUUGGUUAUCCCAUCCCUUAUCGACCUGUUGAGGACAUUGCUUUUGCAGUAGCACGCUUUUUCGAGAAAGGCGGAACUUUUCAAAACUAUUACAUGGUAGGUGAUAUGUAUGUAAAUUUGUUAGUACAACUGCAAAAUAAUCUGGUGCUUUGAACUUCGAUUUUAUAGGACUUCAACUUAAUUUCUUUUUCAGUACUUCGGUGGCACCAACUUUGGGCGAACUGCAGGAGGUCCUUUGAUUGCAACAAGCUAUGAUUAUGAUGCUCCACUGGAUGAAUAUGGUAAAUUUUCUUAAAUGUUGUUACUUGCAAUUGGUCUUAUGAAGGGAUGUGAAAUAGUAAGCACGCAAUAUUAUUAAUGGUCACCUUCAAUGUUGGCUAUCUUGCACAGUAUCUUAUUUAAAGCCAUUCCUGUAAAAACUAGAUGGAGUGCAUGACAAUGACAAUGUAACAGAUGGAACUUAGUGAAUUGCCCACAUUAGAAGCUACCACCAGAAUACUCAGAACAGGAAAACUAACUUGAAAUGGAGAAGUUUUGUCAUCUCUACUCCCUGUCUUUUUAUCCAAUGCAUUUCUUCUUUGAUUCAUCUAUAGAAAUGUAGGGGCGGGGUGUGAUCUGUAACCGCCACUCUAACAAAUCCCCUGGCUGAUCUGAUAUAGAAAACUUCUUUGAAUUGCUGCCUCGGUAUACACAUCAUCUGAUCAAUUUUAUGCUGUUAAAGUUUAUUUCAGAUACUGGGUUUAUCAGUUAACACGUUGCCUAAUCAUAAGGUCUCAGUUAACUUGGCUGCAUCAUUGACUCACUGGCAUAUUAUGGUGAAUCUUUGUUCUGUCUGCAAUGUGAUCAUACAUCCAUCUUUUUAGCUUUGACUCAGUAAUUUCUAGAAGUUACUCAAAACGCCAAGUCGACUGGGAGCUGCCGGCUCCCAUUACAUUAUCGUUCAGUUUUGGCUAGAUUUUUUUCACAAAAAAAAAGAAGAAGAAAAAGUGAAGUGUGCUGUCAUCUCUCUAUUUGCUUUAUUCUUCUCUCUCUUACAAUUUAGCAUCCCGACUCUUCGUAUUUGCUAUAGCUUUCAUGUUCAAGUUGCCUGCCAAGAUAUGGCAUAACUAAUGUGACAGGAAUUUUCUCCACAGACAUUGAAUUUCUUUUAUCUGCUUUAUAACAAUGUGGUUGAAAGAAGAAUUGAAUUGAUAGAAAUCCUCAUCCAAGGAGUUUCAGUUACUGGUCAGAUUACGAGAUGACAAAUGAUGCAGGUUUUAUUAGACAGCCAAAAUGGGGACACCUGCGUGACUUGCACAUUGCAAUUAAGCAUUGUGAAGACUAUUUGGUUGAAGCAGAUCCAUCUAGAGUAUCACUUGGUAUGAACCUUGAGGUAUGCAAUGCUCCAACUCCCUCAUGACCGAUUAUAGUGAGAAACUGAAAUUGCCAAGUUUGGAAUAAUGUUUUGAAAGGCAUAACUGGUUAUUGAAUAGUUAUAAACUUUGGUGAGGAUAUACAAUGUUUCCUUUCAAGUAUCCUUUACCCAGGAUACAUUUUGGAAGGUAGAAGAAUUUGGUUGCUGAAGAUUUUGUAUUGCUUUUGGAACUUAUAAUGGAUGUCAUGAUGAAUUAACCUGCUUAUGUUUCAGGAUAUUCUGCCCCACACCAGCACCACCCCCCUCCCCCCCGAAUGUUCUGAGUGAUUAGGUUACCAGCUAACUGAUUUUGCCUCAUAUGUACUUGGUCCUGUAACUUGCUUAUGAUGUUGAAUUACAGAAUUUUACACCUGAUGUAGGAAUAAAACGUAAAACCAGAGAAAAAUGUUGCUGAAUGUGCUCUUUUUAAUUCCAUCAUCUUGACAGGAUUAAUUUGUUUGAUCAGGCACACGUGUACUAUAAAACUUCAAACGAUUGUGCAGCCUUUCUUGCUAACUAUGACAGCAAAGUAGAUGCCAACGUCACAUUCAAGGGGAUUUCAUAUUUCCUUCCUGCUUGGUCUGUGAGCAUUCUUCCAGACUGCAAAAAUGUUGUUUUCAACACAGCAAAGGUAACUUGUGAAACACUUGCAUUAAGUUAUACGCAGGAUAGACACAGCGAAGGGCCAAGUUUUAAAUCACAUGUUGACUUUUUUGGCCUAAUAUCUAAUCCCACAACGGUGGGAUUAGUUGUAGGUGCAAGGCUUGAGAGUUAUUUUUUGUAACUCUCAAGCCUUCACAAUUAGAUACACCAAAGAGACACCAAAGAAUUAUUUGUAAUUCUUUCUUCUCCCAAAAUUAUUAAGAGCGGGUCGCUUAAGCGGUGUUCGGAGAUUAGGCAAAAUUGGCCGAACUCCGUUAUCAAUUUUCGAGUGCGUUCUUUCCUUAUCUCUUUUAUUUAUUCCGCAUUUAUUUAGUAGUUUCUUUUCAAUUGUAGUAUAGUAUUCAAUAUAUUUGUCAGGUUUAUUUGUAGUGUUUUAUACGGUUCUUUUGAGCAUAUUUUUCUUAUUCGUGUGUCCGUCUAUUUAUGUAUAUACGAAUCUGAUUGUGAUAAUAUACUAUGCACGUAAAUUCUGCCAUAGGAAGAUUGGAUUUUAAGUGGGACCGCUUGUGACUCCACCAGCCUUUCCUGGGAAUUUACUUGGAAUAGUAAUUCUGUAGAUUGUUUUAACGAUCUUUCUUGGAAAUUACUGAAUCGGUUUAAAUCACUAGUUGAAUUUUUGAGUGAAAAAUUACCCGAUUUCCCCAACAUCACAGCCCUGCUUAAGUUUAGAAAUUUUUGCAACUCUUUCAAGAUUUACUUAUAUUGAAUGGAGAUUGUACUAGUGCUGUAUCUUCUUCUCGUCCACUCUGCCAAAGAGAGAAAAUCUGUUUAGCUACGAUGACGGCCUGCUUGUGAAUGAAUGGAGCUUCUUUUUCGGUUUUGGAAUUUCUUGUUAACAAUUACUGCUGACUAUUCUGCCAAGCAAACAGAGUUCUCUAGUUGGUUUUGAUGCGCUUUAUACAGGAUUGCACUUAACCUGUAAAGAGUCUAUGGUUCUACUGAUUUAGAUAAAAGCAUUUAAUGCCAAAGAUAAAGUAAAAACUUCGAAAAAAGACUACUGAUUUCACAGCCAAUAUCAUAUACAUGAGUUCAAGACUGGAAGCACACCCGGAAGGAACUACACUAAUUAAACUGCACAUUUACAUUAUGACCAUAGCCUUUAUUGCCAAAAUCUGUUACUUGAGAAUUCAUUUGAAGCUUUCGAAUUUGACUUUUUACUUUUUCUUUGUAUGUAUUAAGUUUUCAACUGAAAGUUGACAGGACAAUAGCUUGUUAAAAUAUUUUGGUGCACACAAUCACCAAAGAUGUAGGUAACAUAUAUAUAUAUAUAUAUAUACACGCGCGCGCGCAUAUAUAAAUAUCGUUGACAUAUGAAAGUUUCUUCAUUGACAGUCCAAUUGCUGUUCCUCAGUUUCUCAUAUGUUUUAUUCAACAAGAGUUUCAGUCCUAGUGCUGUGUAACAUGAACCUUCAUAUUUCAGUUGCAUUAAUUAUGUUUAGCAUUAUGCUUGUUAUGAGAAGAUCUAUGACUCGUAUCACAUUGAACAUGCAAUUAACUUGUUUCCCUAAGAAUUUUUCUCUGUGGAUUUCAAUCUCAUUUUGGUAAAUUUUUUUUAUGUUUCAAUGCUAGCGUUGCCCUGUUUCAUGACCAUCUUGAUUAAACACUCUAUAUAUUUUUUUUUUUGGUGAUGGCCAAGGUUGUGUCCCAAAAGACCCUUGAUGAUGUUUCAUUUGUACGUAAUACGAUUACAAGGAAGUCUUCUUUGGCGUCAUCAGCAUGGGAUUGGUAUAAAGAGAGAGUGGGCAUUUGGGGCAGCAACUCAUUUACAGCAUCAGGUUUACUAGAGCAGAUAAAUACAACAAAAGAUGCGAGUGAUUUUCUAUGGUACACAACAAGGUAACUACUACACCAGGUAUCUUGCCGGUUAUGAUGGUUUAUGUGAGUUGGUUGGCGCCUAAUACUGUUAUUGGCUCGGUGAUGUACAUUUCUGGGAUAAUAUUACAGAACUUCACCCUCCCCCGUCCUGCCCCAUCUUGUUGUGUCUUUGUGGGAGACAUUAGUGUCAUAAACGCAAACAUGAGUUUCUGGGUCAUCGUAGAACUAGAUCAGGUAUUGAUGGCUAUAGUUUGUUUGUUAGAAUGUCAAAUCUUUCAAAGUUUCUUCUGGGUAGUUUUUGUUUUGAAUUGAGUUUUCCUUUCGAAACCCAAAGCGAAUUAUCAAGUUUCACUGAGUUUAACUUCCAGAAGCAACUGCUUGUACUCCUAAUUUCAUUACAAUUGGGAUGCAGGCUUACUAAUUUUUUCACAAUUUCUUUCUGCGUCUUACGAGACAUUUGUCUAAUACCUUUUUCUCUUGUUGUCAUCAGUGUAAAUGUGGAUGAGAAAAUUGAACGAGAUCACAAGAAUGUAGUAGUCUUGAGUAUUGCAAGUUUGGGGCAUGCAGCACUCGUUUUCGUGAACAAGAGGCCAGUAGGUAACCACGCAUUGCUCAGAUUUCUUGACUUCAAAAAUUUUGCAGUACUCGGUUGUUCUGAAAGUUACAUUAUAUACUUGUCUUCCAACAUUGACGCUGGUAUAUAUCUUUGAUUAAGAUGACCAGAGCAAGUUUGCAAUUCUAAGUGCUAAUAUUACUUGUAGAUCAGAAGACUGUCUAUCGUAGCAAUUUACUUUUUAAAUACCCAUGAAACAUUAGUUCUGACAUGUUGAGCCUUGCAUCAUCUUCCAAUAAAAUCACUCCUUUUCAAAUAUGGUAUGACUAAUUGGUAGCAUACAUGUUGACUAAUUAAAUGCAUACAUGUGACAUUUGUAGUUGGUAAUUUUUACUGACGUUACAUCAAAUAUGUCCUAGUUUAGUUCAGGAUCAUCAUACAGAUUUCUACUGUAGGUAUGGCAUCCAAAUGUUGGUUAGAAAGUGCAUAUCUGUGAAUGUAUGUGUAUCUGCAAACAGUUUUUUUUUUUUUUUGUGGUCUUUUCUUGUAGGAUUUGGUUAUGGUAAUCAUGAUGAUGCCAGCUUUGUGCUUAAAAAGAAAAUUAGUCUCAACCCUGGAAACAACACGUUGGAUGUAUUGAGCAUGAUUGUUGGUUUGCAGGUAUGCAAUUUUUCUUUUGUUUUUCUUUUUCUGUUUAGUUAUGAAAUUAAAGAUUGCAUUGUAUCCUUGGCUGCUUUUCUUUUUGACAAACAGUAGAAUUUUGAUGUAAACAUGAUUUUGCAGGUAAGAGGAACAAAUUUAAUGUGUACAUGUGCUGCAUUGUCAACUUCUGGGUUGCUAGAUUCUUUUAUGUCCAAAGAAUUAACUUAUGAUGCAUGUUUUCUUGAUAAGAAACAUCACCUUGAAAAGUUGUUGGCCGCACCAUUUGUCUUCCUAAACUUCAUCUGGAAGAGGAUUUUUAAUGUUGAUACAAAAUGACAAGAAUGGUACCUCUUGUGUAGUGAUUUGAUUUUGGGAUGCUAGUUUUCUUUCUCCAUUCAUUGUAAAGUUGUUCCCCUUUUUCCUUGUAAACCAUGUGAAAAGUAGAGGCAAAUCUGGUGCUUUGCAUGUUAAAAUUAACUCACAAAAAGCUGUCUGAGGUCCAUGGCGGCAUGGAUUUUUGUCUUCCUUCAUUGCAUGAUUGAUGGUAGCCUGCAUUAACCAACAACUUCAGAAUGUUACAUAAAGUCUGGCACUUUCUGUCUUGUGCUUUUAUAUCGUCAAGCAAUUCUCUGACACUAAAACAAAUCACCAGAACUAUGGACCAUGGUUUGACAUUCAAGGUGCAGGAGUUAAUUCUGUUGUUCUCAGUGGUUUGAAGAAUGCUAAGGAAAAUCUUUCUUCAAAAAGAUGGAACUAUCAGGUUCUUACCUUUGCUCUCACGCAAUAUGUUUCAGUAUCCAUUGGUCUUAUUCAAUGUUUGUAUUGAUAUUAUUGCACUCAGAUAGAUAAUAUGAUUAACUUCUGUAAAUAUAUCGAUCAUGUAACUUUAUUUCAUUUACUUGUUAACCAGAAAAACCAUGAGCACUCUGUAUGAUUUCCCACUGCAAUAUAUAAUGUCCAAUCCUAUUAAUGGAUAAUAUAUAUGGGCAAACCAUCUUAGGUUUUUUAUGCAUUUACAACAUUAGAUUCUAGUUCAGUUAAAAGUUAUCCAAAAAAAUAAUAAAAUAGAGCAUUAUGAAACAGGUUCUGUUCGUCAAAAGUAGCAUGCCAGAGUGGGAAAGGCAAGGGCAGUCAUGCCUCUAUGUAUAAGAGAUCAAAAUCAUAUGAAAUGGUACUAGAAGUAAUGCUGGUGAAUGAUUAAAACUUCGACUGAGUGACAUUGGAUGAAUGUUGAAUGUAACAUUCUCACAAAUGUAAUAGUAGAUUUUGAGAAUUGGAGCUUUAUUAACUCAGUAAAUACUCUAUGUACUGGCAACUUCAGUAUCCAACGUUGCGUUUGGACUCGAAGAAACGACUGCCAAAAUUUCUGUGACUCUGUCAUUCUGUAUUCCCUUGCCAGAAUUUACUAAGCUGUUGUUCAUGGAAACUGUGAAAAAAGAGAGAACUUAUCUUGGGUUUAAUGAAGCAAAUUUGACCAAUUAUGGACUUGGCAUGCUAUUUUCAGGUGGGACUCGAAGGAGAAUCCCUUGGAUUAUAUAAAGUAAAUCUUCAAAAUAGUUCACUAUGGAAAAAGGGAAAUGCUUUACCGACCAAUCAGAGCCUAAUAUGGUACAAGGUAAGUCAUGUGGUUGAUGUUUUCUAGUCUAUUGAGUUGAAAAAGAGAUAGCAAACUUUAAUGUGUGCAUAGCUGUAAUCUGACAGUAGAUAUAGCAGAAACAUCAGCUGUCACGAGAAAUCAUUCCAGCUUAGUGUAAUUAGGUGAAAUUGAAUGAAUAUUCUGGCAUGGUAGUUGGUAAAAUGAAGUUUUUCCCAAAUAGUGGACGGGGGGUAAAAUAUGCUAAGUACCUCUGCAGCAUGCUUAGUUUGCUUCUAUUUCUCUCAGGGCACCUUUCUUGCUCCUGAUGGAAAAGGUCCAGUAUCCGUUGAUCUCUCCAGCAUGGGGAAGGGUCAAGCAUGGGUAAAUGGUCGGAGUAUAGGGCGAUACUGGCCUGCCUAUCACUCUCCAUCAACUGGCUGCACCGACAAUUGUGACUACAGGGGAAGCUAUAAUGCGCGGAAAUGCUUGAAGAAAUGUGGUCAACCUACUCAAACAUUGUAAGUUCGAAUCACACAUAUGGCCUCUGAAAUUGAUUCACUCAUGUUCUGUCAAAUUUUAUCCACUAAUCUAUGAACAUUCCAGCAGUUGGCACUGUUUAAAACUGGACGCCAACAUCUUUUCUGUUCUUCAUUUGAUUCUGUAUAAAGGGACAAAUUUCAGGACUAAUUAUGUAACACAUAAAUUAUGUUAGGUACCAUAUACCACGCCAUUGGUUACAUGCAGGCGAGAAUAUACUCGUUCUCCACGAAGAGAUAGGAGGUGACCCUUCAAAAAUUUCUUUGGUCACACGGACUGGGCAAGAAAUCUGUGCAAGUUUGUCAGAGGCUGACCUUCCACCUUCUGAUACUUGGAACCCAAAAGUAGGAUUUUCGUCUGAAGUCCCUCAAGUUCGGCUGACCUGCGACCAAGGUUGGCACAUAGCUUCAAUUCGCUUUGCCAGCUUUGGAACUCCAGAAGGAGAUUGUGGAGCAUACAUGCAAGGGAGUUGUCAUGCCAAUGUGACUUCCAUCUAUCAACAGGUGAGAAAAUUUUCUGUUUCCCAUGUUUGCCAGGGUUUUUACCAAUGAUAACAGCCUUCAAGUUAUUCAGCAGCUUGGCAAUUUAAAACCAUUGUGUUUAGUCCUUACAAAGAGCCGAUCUUGUCCUUCGCGAAUGCAGCACAAUUAUCAUGCCCUUCUAAGUGAAAAUACGCAAGUGUUGGUGAUUAUCAUGUGACAUUCUUACUCUGCAUCUUUUGCCAUUGUGAUACCUGGCGAAGCUUUCGAAUACUAAUUGUUCUUUACUAAUUUGCUUCAAUGUUGUCUGUUAAGAUUGUUUUUGACAUGCUUCAAUGUUGACACUGCAGGCUUGCGUGGGCAAACAGCAAUGUUCAGUUCCUGUCUUUGCAGCUAACCUCGGAGACCCAUGCCCUGGGGUGCUGAAAAGGGUGGCAGUUCAAGCUCUUUGCAGUGUUUGAGACACGAAUCAAUCCUUCUCAUGAUUACUAGACUCGACUCAGAACGGAUGUUUGUCUUACAAGUUACCAUUUCGCUAUUUCUUGAGCUUGUCAAAAGCAGAAACUGUGAGGAAACCAUACCGGCUUAUGUCUAUAUUACCCUGCCGGAAAAUGGCCCCUUCAAUUUCGGUAAUGCAUAAUUGCAUUGAGCUACUUCAAAUCUUUUUAGAGUCCUGAACUUAGAAUUCGCUCCUAAGCAAGCACUUCAACAACGCGUCUAAAGGGAACACCACCAUAAUUUGAGCUUUACUACAUCCAUGUCUUGCCUAAACCUAGAACAGUGAAAUGCAGACAUAGCCAGAGGAAUGAAUCUCCACAAAUGAGAAAUUGGGGUCACUGCGUUUUGACUGAUUAACAUGUAGAAGUUCUCCUCCUAGCAAGCAUUGAGGCCAAAAAUGCAGCAACUUUUACAUUUAUUUACUUUAUACAAUGAAAUACAGAUGGAGCAGGAAAUGCCUAUGCUUUGAAAAAAGGCACAGUUUUUAAACUUGAAAACUUAAUAGCACUAAUUUAGUGAAAUGAUAAAAAAGAUGCAGUGCACCUUAUUUAAUACAAAAAAAAAAAAAAAAAAAUUCAUAUCCUUGAGGUCCUAUCCUAUGUAGCUUUUCUCAGCAACCCUUACUAAGGGUUAAGCUCGUUGAGGCUUAAGUUUAAUGAAUGGGAAAGGCAAUGGCAGUUCCUAUAAGUAUAUAUGCUUCUAUGAUCAUGUUGAAACCAUGCUGUUCCGUGGGUAUAGUCAUUCAGAAGUAAAAAGUUUACCAUCUAUUACAAACGGUUUGUCAUGCAAACACACACAGCAUUUUUCCAUUAUGCACUGCUAAUAUACGAGAUAAUCCGCAUGUAAAGAAGCACAAAUUAUACAACAAGGAGUAUCUUCCCAAUGUGCUUGCUGCCUUCCAUUAGCUUGUGACCUUCUGAUGCUUGACCUAAUGGUAAAUACUUGUAAACUACUGGUAUCACCUUGCCUGCAGCGAUUGCUGGCCAAACAUUCUUCUCCACUUCACUGAUGAUUAAAGCUUUGUUUUCCUUGCUUCUAUUGCGCAAUCCAGCAGCUGCAACAGAAUAUUUAUGGAGUUAAUGUCGUAGAGAACUCUACCAUGCAAGGAGACAUACUUUAAAAUUUUAAUCCAUGUCUUGCAAUGAGCCACCAGCAGAAGAUAAAAGAUUUCAGUCAUCAAUUUUGAUUCAGAAAAUACAAGGAAAUCUCCUCAGCAAAGUUCAUAUUUAACUUGAUGGACAAAUAUAUAUACAUUCAACUGCCACAGGGCAGCUUGCGCGCUCUCACUCUCCCACCACAUCUGAACUUCAUGCAUGCAUAUAUACAACCAUAGCACAGAUUGAUGGAACAUUCACCAAUAGCUACCUCCUCCCUUUACCCCCUUUCCCUCCCCAAACUUCAUGCAUGCACAUGUAUAGCUUUAGCAACAUAUCAAUGCCUCUCCUCGCCUUAACUUAUGCACGCAUACAAAUAGCCGUAGCAACAUAUCAAUGCAUCAUUCACCCAACUGUCAAUGAAACUAGAUAGUGGUGCACCGAGAUGACCAGGAACAGAAUUCAGGCAAAGAAUGGCUUGCAGGAAGUUUACAAUUGUCAGCAGAAAAGCUCUGAUAGGGAGUUGAGAGUUGGCCAGAUAUGGAAGAUUAUCAGGUUUCAUUCUUUGAAUCUAUUGGAUGCCAUUCACUAACCAUUCACUAACCUAUGCCCCACCAUUCCUGUGGCAGCUCCAUGUCAGCCACAAUUUUAAGUUUUAUUUAAAGUUUAACUGCCACUUUUCCUAAGUCCAAUUUACAUGCAAUCUUCUCAUAUGAAUGAACAAAAUCCAGAAAUUCUGAAAGAGUAAAUGGAAAUGCAACGCCUGCUCCAUGAGAUGCUGCGAUUUGAAAGCAUGAAAAGCUUCAAGGCACAUUUUCAGGGGAGUGUGUUCCCAAGGUCCAUUGGGUGGAGUUGGUAGCAACUAAAGUAACUUUUGUUGCAAUCACAAUGGUCAGAAUAAAUAAAUAUGUAUCUCCGCAUUUUUAUUUCCUCAAAAUGCUUCCAUUCAUACUCGCAAUUCAAAGACAUGCCCUGAACCAUUAGGGCAAAACCAAAAAUGUUUUUCAAAACAAAAAAGUUAAUAAAAAAGAAAAAGAAAAAAGAAAAAUCAUGCAGAUACUAAAACUAUGUAUCCGACGGGGAGGCUCAACAUACCUUGCACUGUGAGACGUCUCGCAAGCAUACCUGAAAGAUUCACUUCAGUUACCGUCCCACCCAUAAAGCCAAUAAUAAAAAGCCUCCCACCAAGAUUCAGGCUGUCCAAAUUCCGCUGGAAGUACGACCCACCAAGGUUGUCUAGUAUAACAUCAAUACCUAUCUCAUAGCACAUAGAAUCAGUUUUUCCUCCAGAGGAAUGCAAAAAGAGAUGAUAGGGUAGAAGUAUUUAUACCUCCAUGUGAAUAAUGAUAAUGAUAUUAAAAAAGCAACUGCAAAAGAAAUAGUCAACAUGAACAGUAGAUAUUCAUAUUCAAACCUUUUCCUCCUGUUUCUUCCUUCACACAGGCUACAAAAUCCUGAGUCUUGUAAUUGAUACAAACAUCUGCCCCGAGAUCCUUGCAAGCAGCUAGUUUUUCAUCACUUCCUAAUGGACAAAAAAAACAGUUAACUGAAGAUCCAUAUGAAACAUCCACUGAUAAGACUAGCUAGUCAACCUGCUGUGACAAAUACUUUGGUCACUCCAUAAUAUUUAGCAAUUUGGAUGGCAAAUGUACCAAUUCCACUAGAACCUCCAUGUACCUGGAAAGAAAUAUAUAAUUUAACUGGCUUGUUGCAUCACAUCUCAUGAAGGAUUUAAAUUUCAAUCAAACGAAGCUUAUCCAGAAAUGAUGGAAAGUCCCUUAAACACAAAUAUUUUCCCCUCCAAUCCACCACCUUGAUAUGAUUUCAUCCUAUAACCUAACAAAUUCUUUGAAGUUGAGUCCAACUUUAAAGAUUACAAGAACUUGGAGAUGACCAUAACUCCUCACCCCAGACCCUACUGCUAUGAUCAAAGAAGUAAAGUUAGGUGUCCAAAGGACAAAGUAUUUCCGAUAUGACUAAUCUUCUGUGUUCUAAAUAUCAUAGUAUACAAUCUCGCAAAAGUACCAUAAGUUCCUUGACACUGACAUGGCAUUGCGAAAUAAGUGACAAUACAUCAGAUUUAUAUCCCCAAAAGACACAAAAGAACCUGUUUUUAAAAGGAAAUUGGAAAAAAAAAUACUAAUCAAGAAGCUUCAGUUUAUGAAUCACCAGAAGAGUCUCCCCCGCAGAAAGUCGGCUCAUCAUGAAGAUGGUUGACCAAACAGUGCAAGCUACCUCAGGAAAACUAGCUGCAUCUUGCAAAGAAACACCAGAUGGAACAGGAAGAACUUGUCCUGCAGGCACAGCUACUUUCUCUGCGUACCCCCCUCCACUAACAAGAGCACAUACCUGCAUAAAUCCAACACAUUUUUGUCAAUGUACUCGCACACAUAUUACCACCAGAAGAAUUAAAUUCCAGUAACAUGUAAGACAUCCUCCUAUCUAAUUCUUAAUUUGGAAAACCUCCUGUUACCCAUCACACGUAACAGUGUGUGAGUAGGAGGAAAGGGGGAGAGGAAAGAGAGAUAGACAGAGACAAGAGUGGAAGAGAAAGAGAGAUAGAUAUAGACAAGAGAGGGAGAGUGGGCCAGGAAGUGCAGAGAGUAAAUCUAGGUAUUUGUGGUAACAUCUGUUCAAGCUAGGUAGGGAAGUUAGAAAUUUAUAACUUAAAAGGCCAGCAAAACAGAAACUGGCGUAAUAACGAAAGAUUCAUGAAAAUUUCUCGUCUAAGGCAAUAGUAUGAAAAAAACCUGGCUUUUUUCUCCAGAGUUCAUGAAGUUUAACUUGAAAAUCUAACAAGUGCAACUGUAAAAGCCUAUUAGCCCAUUCAUGUUUGGCUAUGUAAAAUGCUUUUUUAUACUACACUCUCUGACACUAAAUAAUUAGAUGGAAUUACAUUUGAUCACAUCUUAUUUGAUAUCCUCAUUCUAUACUAAGUUCUUGUCUCUCAAAUCCUCCUUUUUCUGAUUGAUUAUCAUAAACAUAACUCUUCCAGCUAUCCAGUAAAUUUGCCACAUGUCCAAAUCAUCUUAAUCUAUGUCAACUUAUUCUGUUAUGCCGAGAGGUUAUGUCAUCAAACUACUGAAAAUGGCUGGAAGCCCUUGUCCUAAAUCACUCACUAACUCAUUCAAUACUUCCUUAAUAACAUGUACCAGCAAGCUCUCUUCCAAAAGUAAUCUUAAAACUCACUUCAUUUUUCCCAAUCGCCUGAUGCAAUCAGGACAGUCAAAUAUUUGAUCUCAAUGAGAACAUAUACACAACUGAACUACUAGCAUCGUUCUUUUGCAGUCACAAAAUUUUAGGCUUCAUGACCGCAUAAGGAAACCAGGAGUUUUAAAGUAGUUUCAAGCCAGCCAAAACGUACAGCCCAGUGCAAUGUACAUAAUUCAGGAAAGUCCUCUCCAGAAACUAAUAAAGUUCCAAUCUUUACGCUGAAGACCAUAAAACCUCAAGAAAAAUAAAACAACCCAGUUAAUUAGUAUGUAGUCUAAAUAUCAAAGAAAUGCUUUAGCAACUUUAUUCGAUUCCUUUCAUUGAAUGAAAUUCAUUCUCUCAAUAGUCAGCAGUCACAGAAAAUUAUACAAGCUACACGGCCUGCACUAUUAAAAGUAAAAUCCAGUAAAAUCCUCUCUAGAGAUUCAAGUUUCAAUUUUUAUUCUCAAAACAAUCAAAUUUCAAGAAAAGGAAACCAACCCACUUAAUUAUUCAUAAAACAUCACAGGAAAUGCUUCACCAAUCAUAAUCCAUUCCUAGUCCAAUUAAUUUGAAAAUAUUGUUGAAGAUUUGCCCCUGACCUGAUCACCAAUUUUCCACCUAGUAACAUCCUUGCCAACAGCUUCAAUGGUACCAGAGCAUUCAAGACCAGGGUACUCACUAUCACCCUGAGGGGGAGGGUGUUUGCCCUGGCGUUGAAGGGUGUCUGCUCUGUUGAGAGCAGUAGCUGCAACUUUAAUCAAGACCUCGUCAUCUUUGAUUUGUGGGUCUUCUACUUCUUUCAAUUGCAACACUUCUGGGCCACCGGGGCUUGUGAUCACCACAGCCUUCAUCGUUCCUGAAUUGUUUUCUUUGGAGUUUGGUGUCCUUCUCAGUGUGCGAGUCCAGAAGCGGUGUUUGUUUUGAGUUUUGACAUGAAGGUUUUUGCUGUCUCUUGACGUGGAUUUCUGUAGCACACUAGAGAAGUUUACACGACCGGGCGGCUGUGACUAGGGUCCAGGGAUGACAAUGGGGCGGGUGCCCGCAAGGAGCUAAUUGGGAGGGGUUUGGAGCGGGGGUGUGGGGAAUUUUUUUCCCCUGCUUAGAAGCGGGGCGGGGGAGUACCUCCGUCCCAUCCCCUGCCCCAUCACCCGUUUUAAAAAAAAUAAAUAUAUAAAAUAUAUAUAUAAUUAUAUAUAUAAUAGAUAAUUUAAUUAGUUACAAAAUUAUGAUAAUGAUAUUAUUAAUUAUAUAUAUUAUAUAAUAUUUAUUAGUAUAUAUAAUAUAAUUGAUAUUAUUAAUUAUACUAAUAAUUAUAUAUGUGUACUAAUACAAAUUAUUAAUUGAUUAUACUAAAUUUACUAAUACAUUUAUACUAAAACCCUAAUUACAUUUAAUACAAUAAUAUUUUUUUCUUAAAAAAAGCACAAACACAAUAAUGAAUUAGUGAUUGUAUUUGUGCCAAAAGUAAAAAUUUGACUAUUUUAGUUAUUUUUAUUUCAUCAUGUUGGAUUGUAUUCAAAUAAAUUUUAUUUGAUUGUUUUUAUAAGUUUCAAUUGUAAAAUUACAAUGAAUAAUAAUUUGAUGAUAUGUUGAUAUUUUAGUACUUGAUUAUUUGCUAAAAUUUAACCAUAAUAAAAUUAUAUAACAAAUUUUUAUUAGUCUCGCGGGAAUAUCCGCGGGGAAGCGGAGCGGGGAUAGGGGAUGGGGCGGGGGCGGGAGGAGUUUGUAGGCAGCGGGGCGGGGGAUAGGGGAGGGGUCACCCGCCCCAACCCCGCCCCGUUGCCAACCCUAGUUGUAACUGGCCAACUUUGGAGUUUGGACCGACUCUUGUUUCCUAUCCAUCAAAUUCUACAAAAAAAAAAAAAAAAAAAGAAGAAGAAAGAAAUACUCCUUCGUCCCAAUUAUUUAGUCAUAUUUAGGUAAUUCAACUUUUUAAAAAUAAUAGUUUGAUUGUGAUGUUUGUACUUCUCUUUUCAAUUUUACCCCCAUAAAUUUAAAUUUGAAAUUUAAAUGGUAACAUACAUAUAAUUAGAAAGAAGGGUUAUAUUGAAAAGAGAAACUAAAAGUUUUUUUUUUUACUUUUACAACAUGACAAAUGUUUUGAAACAUUCUAAAAUAGAAAGUAUGACACUUUUAAUGGGAUGGAAAGAGUAAUAUAUAUCUAGUUCGGAAAGGGAGAACUACAGUUUUUUCAUUUUUUUUAAAUGAACUUAAAGUUUUAAACAUAAAACUUAUCUGUCGAAUCUUUUGUUCCCAAUUCUAAUUUCUAAAAGAAUAACCAAACGCUCUCUAUUUCCCAUCCUCAAAUUCAAAGAUCGUUGUUUUCUUUUGUAAUUCUAUUAGAUUUUGUUUAAUUUUAGAAGUACCAAUGCAUUUUGUUUAAUUUCAAAAUAUGGUUGUGGUUUGUGUAGGAUUUAAGAUUUUUUUUGUAGUAGGUACAAUUGAAAUGAAUUUAUUUAUUUGAAUUUACAAUUUUAAAACUUUAUUUGCGUUUAAAAAUAUUUGACAUUUUAUCAUGUGAUGUUUUAAAUUGGUUCAUGGGAUAUCCUAUUCUGUGCACAAAUGUGUGUGCGUGUGUGUAUAUACAUAAUCAUCGAAUCAAGAUUGAAGCAGUCUGACUCACUGAAUCUCGACCCGAUCACUUUCCUAAUUCAAUUAACGGUUCGAGUUUCCAAGACAUGGCUAAUGCAUCUCAAUGGCUUUUAACAGCAUGACAUGCCAAAGAGCUUUUACGUUCAAAACAUAAUUUCAUUCCUAGUUGUAAAAUUCAGUCUAGCCUGACGGUUGAACCAAUCAACUCGGUGAGCCGGAUAUAUGAUCGGGUUGGGUUACUAAUUAAAUCAGUUAAACAACAAAUUCGUUGACCAAUCAAUGACUCAACGGUUCAAUUGAUGAAUCGGAUAAAAAUCAUCGGUUGAAACACUAAACUUAAAAAUUUUAUUAUUUUUAUAGGAGUAAAUCUUAUUUACGCUGAUAAUAUAUAUACAAUAGACUAUUAUGGUUGGAUACUCGAUAUAUUUGCAAAUUUUGGAUUUCAAAUUCAAAUUCGAGUUAUGUGUCAUGCAUCUAAUGGUGAAAGUGUACACACUGUCAGCGUAUAGAAAAUUAAAUUUUUUAUAAUUUAAAAUAGAUUAUUAUAUUAUAUUAUAUAACUAUUGUGCAACUCAUAGUUGAACUGCUCAACCUACGCUUGACCGGUGAGCCGAUGACUCAAUCACCUCUCUGGGUUGAACUCAGGUCGGAUUUAUAUUAAUAACUAUGCUUUCAUUUUCUCUCAUGGGUUGGAUUGAAUCAGCGAAUUUGCUAUACUAUGGACAAGUAUAGUUGACAGACAGCUUAGUGGAGAUUGAAGUAUCUGUCAUCAAAUGAAAGCAAAUUCCUCGAUCAUUGGCACUUGUUGCAAGGAAGUUGAGCUUUUGAGCUGUCUUUUCAGCUCAUGAUCAACCGCGACCAUCAAUCAACCAUUUCCAUUUACCAAAAUGCUGUCCACAUAUUCGCAAAAUGAAGCAGAUUUCAGAUGUUUAACUUACGAAACACCUGCAUGGAGAACCUCUCCAGUGAUCUACUAAAUACAUCUAAACGCUCGACAGUUCGAAGACUACAGUACAGGUUCGUGCAAAAUUACAGAUGAUGGAUGACCUUCAACCACAUUUUUGCCCUAUACCAUCUGAAUCAACACAAUUUGAUCCGAAUCACUGCUGAGAUUGAAACUUCACCUUAAAUUAGGAAGAUCAUUGAGAUUGUGACCAUGAUUGUAGGAUCUUACAAUCCUAAAUUCUACAAUCUUGAUACAAUACUAUCGAAAUUAAGUAGUACCGUUGCCUAAAGAAGAUUUUUUUUCCCCUUAAACUAUUGAGACUAAAUGGAGACUAAAUACUAAAAUUCAGGACAAGUUUCUAACUUAUCAAAAAUCAAGACCCUGCAUUAUUUAUUCCACAGCAAACUUAGCCACUUCAAAAUUACCCACUUGAAUGUUCCCCCGGUCCAUCACAAGUAGAGGUGUCAAAAUGGGUGACUUGGGCGGGUUUGGGUUGGAUAAAAUGGGUAAUGGGUAUAAGUGAGUCAACUCAUUUAUACCCAUUUAAUUAGAUAGGUAUAAAUGGGUAAGUCAAAAAAUGAAUUGGGUAACCCAAUUACCCAUUUAUAACUCAUUUAUUUUAACUUUUUGCAAACUCAUUUAAAUUCAUUUUUGUAAACUAAGUUAUCAAUGUAUACCACUCUUUGUACCCAUCAUUAGUUUUAAAUAUUUACUUAUAAUGUUCAAUAAACUUAAUUACCAAUUUUUUUCAUUUAUACUCUAUGUCACAAAAUUACCUAUUAUUUAAUAAUUGAAUAAUACGAAUAUAAAAAUUUGAAUUAAGUACUAUAAAAAUUAAUAUAAAAACUUAAUCCAAAAAUUUUGAACCCCUAACAUUUUUUUCAUAUAUAAAUUUAAAAUUUUAUUUUAUAAAGAUAAGAAAAUAGGCUAAAAUUUAUCAUAAAUUGGUAAUGCUAAAAAAUGAACAAGUUAACAAACUAAGAAAAAAUAAAAUAAUAAGAUAAAACCAACAAAUAAUAAUAAUAAUAAUAAUAAUAAUAAUAAUAAUGUUAACAUAAUGACAAAAUGAAAAAUUUGAAAAACAAAAAAAAAGGUAGGAGAAAAGAAGAGACUUGGGGGAAGAGAAUUUUAAAUGGGUUAAUUGGAUUUGAUGGGUUACCCAAUAAUACCCAUUUAAUAAAUGGGUAACACAUUUAUAUCCAUAUACAAAAAUUUAAGAUACCCAUACCCAUCUAUUAAAUCUAAUUAAUUGGAUUGAUUUAUCACCUCUAAUCACAAGUAUGCCAAGCAGUGCCUUGUUGAUUACUAGCCUCCCAUGCGUGGCAGUUUAGUGACAGAAAGAAAAAAAAAAUAGAAAGGUUAAAGUGUGAAAAUGUGGAAGUUACUUAAGUGGGCGUGCAUGUUAGCUACCGAGACGCUUAAAGUGGAGGAAUGAUGCAAGGAUCUUCUGUUUCACUUUAUGAAUCAUUUUUUGCCCUAAUAUUUACUAAAUUGCUAUAUAUCUUUCAGAAAUACCUUAAAUUAAUUCUUUUUCUUGUUUCUGUAAAAUUCAACAAUUGCUUGUAGGGUAGCAUAUAAAAGCUAACAGACUAAAUAACAAUAUAUAAUAGAAAAAUAAUAAAAAAUAUCUAUUUAAAUUCCAUUUUUCAGUUAAAUUUUGUCAAUAUAUGAUUUUUUAUAUUUUAGUCCCUAUUAGUAGUGUUAGAACUUAAAGAAACAAGCAAAAGAAGUAAAAUAAUGAAAAAUAUAUAGCAAUUUAACAGAUGUUAAAAUAAGAGAUGGUACGGAAAUUGAAACAGAGCCUGCAAUCAUGUUGACAUAAAGAAAGUCUACAAAUUUGCUUCUCGUACACCUCGGAGCCAAUGGCAAGUUGCAACCAUGUUGACAUAAAGUCUACAAAUUUGCGUCUGGUGCACCUCGGAGCCAAUGGCAAGUUGACAAGGCGGUCUCAUGAAACCAAUUUGUAGACUUUAUGUCAACAUUACUUCACGUUACGUGCCUCGAUGGCCAAUAUGCAUGCGCACUUUAGAGACUUCAUCCAAAUAAACGACCUGGCCAUCCCCAACCAAAUUAGAAAAACUUGUCCUUUCAAUGGGCCAACUCUAGAUUUUAUGUCACUGGAAGGGCCAAAAUGAAAUAUGUCCUCGUUAUCUUACUCUUAAAUCCGGUCCUUCAACGAAAAUUCGCAAGUGUUGAAAGGACAUCCGCAAAGACCUUAAAAGCGCAAUCCUAAAAGCGUUAGAGAUAGGGUGUUGAACGAGUGUAACCGAACCGACCGACCGACCGAGCAUCUUAAAGUCAAGCGCAAGUGUUGAAAGGAUAUUAAAAAGGACCUUAAAGCGCGGUCCUAAGGCGACAGAAAUAGCGGUGUAAACAGGGGUGUGACGAGUUUAAUCGAAAGCGUGCAUUUUUAUUUAAUUUAUUUUAAUAAAUUUAAAAUUUUAUUUAAUUUUAAUUUAUUUAUUUGUUAAACUAAAUUUAAACAAAUUUUUUUUAUUAAACUUGAAUAUUAUUAAAUAUAAAAUAAUAUUUAAAUUUAGUUAAAUUAGUUAACAAUCAAAUUCAAAAAAAAAACUCUUAUUAAGUGAAUUUGAUUGAGUCUACCUAUUAUAUAAGAAGAAAGUGGAGUUACUGUAGCAACUUCGAUGAUUGCCAAGUGGAUCCCUCUCAUUUUGACACGUGGCCCAUUCCUUUUCUUUUCUUCAUUUUGCUUUGUUUUUUCUUUUGUUCACUUUAUUUCCUUUCUCCUUUUUUAUUAAAGAUAAUUAAACAAAUCCUCAUGUACACUGCAGGUUUGUUAUUUAGUUUUCACUUUGUACUCCAUUUUUUUCUCCUAUCAUCCUAAUUAAUCAUUUAUUCUAUUUUUUUUCUAUUGGAUUAGUUGAUGCAUUUUCUUUCAUUUUUGUCCAUAAUAAACUAAAUGAAUGAUUUCAUUAUCGGAGAUCAAGAAUGGGUUUGAUAUUUCCUUUCUUCCAUAGUCCAAUAAUUAUGAUUCAUGAUCUUCUACUUUUAAUGUCUCUUUUUGGUAUAUACUAUUUGAUAUUUUUUUGUCAUUUUUUGCGUCUUGAUCAGCAACCUUUGCUUAUUGCUUUCCUCACCUAUUUCUUCUUCAGCUGACUUUCUUUUCUGCCCAAAAUAGGUAUGUGAUGCUGUGAAUAUUUUUCCCCAAAUCUAAAGAAACAUUUUUUUAGUUUUUUAUAUUUUAUUUAUUUUGAAACUACUUUUUGAUCUUUUUAUUUUUGGAAAAGGCUGACAACAAGACGGGUGGUGAUUACAUGAAGAAUUUUUAGGCUAACAAUGAAAGAAUUGUAACUACUUUUCUCUCAUAAAAUAAAUAACAUCAUUAUGCAUAUUCAUUCUAAUUCUAAUUUUUUAUUUAUUAAAAUUGUUAUUUGAUAAUAGGGUGAUAGUACUACAGUAGAGGAGAAAAAAAUCUAAUAAAUGAAAAUCCAAGGUAAACAAGGAUCAGGAAGAAAAAAAUAAUGCAUAUUAAAAAUUAACCAGAAUCUCUUAAUUUAUGGAUAGGUAAUUAUAUUUUAAUUUAUAUGAAGUUUAUUAAUUGUGAAAAAUACUUAUAAACUGGAUAAGGUGGAUGACGGGUAAAAUAAUUGUUGGGGCUAGCAAUUUAGAAUGUGAAGAUAAUAUUUUAUAUCUCUUCAUUCAACAUUUUGAAUGACUAGCUUGUAUCCAUAAUAGGUAGUUUAUUUUCAUGGUUUUAAUUUUAGCAAAUGAUAGCUUGGGAAUAAAAGAAGUGCAAAAUUAGAUUUCAGAAUCUUCUACUUAAACUGGUUUUAUAUGACUUUGUACUCUUAUCCUUUUCUAUUGCCCAUAAUGAUAGAUAAUGUAAUUAGAGUUUGAGAUGAUUGUUAGACAUAGAAUUGGACAUAUCAUUACUAUUUGGCUAAAGAAGUUAAUAAUAUGUUGUCGAUUUGACUAGCUAAAACAAUUGCAGUUUUCAAAGGAAUGCAUUUGGUGGGAAGUUAGUAUUGAGGCUUUUAGCUUAGAGUGUCACUCUACAAAAUAUUAUUAGAAAAUUCUAUUUUGAUUAAGAAGACAUAUUUGCAAUCAAACAAAUUGUUGGAUUUGAAUUUGCAUAUGUAGAUUUACAAAUAUGGCAAUUCAUGUUUUUAUUUAAACUUGCUAUAUGUAUUCUAUAACUAUUUGGUUAGAUAAUGUUUUCAUCUAUUUGUAAUACUAUUAGACAUGAUUUAAAUGGAUAGAUUAACUCUCCAAAAAGAAAGAAAAAUAUGCAAGUUUGUAUUUUUUUUUUAUUGAUGUUGAAGAUAGUGACAAGUUUUUGUGACUUUCUGUAUUUUUUCUAAUUAUUAAUAUGUUAGAAACAUUAUGACUACUCUUUAUUUAAUUACAACUAAAACUAUGCUGCUAUUAAACCGAUAAUACACUCAUAAUGAAUUUGCUUUCUUUUCUUUUUUGGUAUCAUUACGUACACAUAAUAUUGGUUAAAAAUUCUUUUUCCAAAUCACAAUAAAUUGGGGUUAACUUUAUAUAUGAAAUUUCUUUUCACAGUAAAUUUUAAUUAUUUUUAUAUUUAAUUUUUUUCCUAUAUUUCUAUUCAUUAUGUAUUAAAAUAUUUGUUAUUAUAUAUUUAACUAAUGUUCCAGAGGACCUGGCACGCUAAUGUUCUAGAGGGCCUGGCUGUGCGUUUCACAGCCGAGGUACCUCUAGUAUCAAAAUAUUUUUCAUCUUAGUAAGAAAUGUGUGUAAAUCCCGUCAGCCACGUCGCCUAACUUUAUCUAUUCCCUCCAUGGCAAGAAAAUCAAUACAUUACCAUCAUUGUUUAGCUUUUUCAACUGCUCAGUUAUUUUUCUUACUCCUCUGGUGUCCUCUUCUUCAUCAAUGAAGUGAACUAAACAAGAAUAAUACUCCCAAAAAUAUAUAUAAAAAAAAAAACUGCUUCAACUGAGCUUUCUCAUAUUUGUUACUUUUGCUUUUCUGAUUACUUCCACUGUCCUUUGUUUUUACGCAUCAUUAAGACAUGAUCAGUCUGAAGUCAUGGUGGAUUGGAAGCGUAUUAUCCCUUCUUCUUUUAUCAUUAUUAGUUCCAGGAACUUUUGGUUGGGGAAAAGACGGCCAUCAUGUUAUCUGUGAAAUUGCCCAGGUAAAUUAUCUGUCAUUCAUUCUUUCUUUAUAAUCUCUCUGAGAAAUUAAAAAUUCAGUCUUUACAACCAAUUCAUUGCCUGAUUCUUGGUAAAAUUUUAUGUUUGUUUUAAGUUAAGGCUUAGCAGAAAUGCUGUUGGAGUUCUAAUUCUAGUCCCACUUCAGUAUUAUGUGAAGCUUAAAUGGGCUUUUGAUGUUUCUGUGUUUUCCCCAAGUAAAUCAAUUCUUGAUACUUUUAUGUGACUUGCUUACUAAUUGAAUCAAGCAAAUUGUUAAUCUGGUUAUCAAGCUGGUUAAAGCUGGUUAAAGUGAGUUAAACUUACUCUUGUUAGAGUUGAAGUCUAGGAUUAACUGAUUUCAUAUCAAGUCAUUGUAAGAAGUACUCUGGUUAUAUUUUCAUUGACCAAAAAAUUCUCUGAUUCCAGCUAGCAAUAUACAAUGCCAAAAACAAAGGGUUUACUGUAGAUAAAAGGUGCUUUUCUUUUUGCCUGGGCAGACUGGUACUUGUGUUGAUUCUUGAUUAAGUAGAGGGAUUUGAGGAUGGUACAUAGAAGUACUCUGGUUGUGCCCAGAUAUGAUGUCGAUGAUGGUCAUAUUAGUGAUAAGAAUAACUGAUAGUAUAUCUUAGGUAACCUCCCCUCAGCACUUUGAUAGGAAAUGCUUUAUAUGCAUCAGGGAUAUCUUUCAGAAGAUGCUCUGGUAGGGGUGAAACAAUUGCUUCCAGAUUAUGCAGAAGGAGAACUUUCCGCUAUUUGCUUCUGGGCGGAUGAGAUUAGGUGGCAUUAUCACUGGAGCAGGCCUUUGCAUUACGUUGACACGCCUGACUUUAGGUGUAACUACCAGUACUGCAGUAAGUUACAGUGUCUGCUUGUUUUCCCUUAGUCUAUACUGUAUUGUUCUAUUUGGCAUGAAACUACAAAACUAAGAUAAUGCACCAAUGCCCCCCUACUUCUAGUUCUUGGAUGUGAUAACUGCAAUUGCUUGGUAAUUGCCAUAGUUUCAAUCUGUCUCUGCUAGCAAUAGUAAUCAUUUAUCUAUUUUUCUAUUGUUGCCUGCCAAUUCUGUGAUGCUUUUAUGUCUGUAGGAGGAGGAUGUUUGCCUGACAUAGUACUUUGAACAUGCAAGGUGAACUAAUUGGUGAGAGCUUACUACUGGGAGUAUGCUAUUAUACUUUCAGUACUAAGGCUCUGACCUUUAAUAAAGUUCAAAUCCUGUAAGCCUAUUUUCAGCUGCCGACAGAUAGAGGACGUCCCAUACUCUUAAAGCAUGAAAUCUGUUACUAGUUGCUAGUAUUUCUGGAAAUUGGCACUUGACCAUGCAUUCUUCUUGAGGUUUCUGGCUUGGUUUUGCCAAUGAUGAAACAUUGCGGCGCAUUCCUUCUUGCUACGUGUAAAACAUUGUGAAACAAAUAUUCACAUUCCCUUGAUGUAUAACUUCAUCAACAUGUUUGGAUUUCUGCAUAUCAUCGCUAUUCAUGUUUAUUUAGCAAUUCUUGUUAUUCAAUUGAAUGUGACAACUCCUUGAGAACCAAAAUCUCUUUUUUCCAUUAUGUGUAUAAUACAAAUUUACUUCUUGUAGGAAUUGUGCCUCUAACUUUCAUUACCUUACCUGUAGACAACAAGGCUGACUCCCUUUCUACUUUUUGAAGGAGACUGCCAUGAUUCUGCUGGUCAUAAAGACAUGUGUGUCACUGGUGCAAUAUACAACUACACUAAUCAACUAACAUCCAGUUUAGAUGUUCCAGAUUCUGAAAUUAAAUGUAAGUCUACACUUCUAACAUGUUUAUGGCAUGAUUUUUUAUAAAGAAUCUAAGUUAAUAUUCUCCCUAUAACAGACAACUUGACAGAGGCGCUCAUGUUUUUGUCACAUUUCAUUGGUGAUGUCCACCAGGUUAGCUUAAUCUUCUACCACUCUCGGAAAAUUUUGAUCAACUGCUUCUUGUAUUGUAGUCUGGGAAGGCUUUGGCCUUAAACAAGUACUGUAUAUCAUAAUGUAUUUGGCAUGGUUCUCAUAUAUGUAAAUUGCUUACAACUGCUAUCUCAAGGGUGCUAAUAUUUCAAAGGGUACUCAUAACCAAUUACUUUUUAGUAAUACCAUGCUGGGCCUCUGUCAGUGUCUCCCCAAUAGUGAGAGAAUAUGUGGUAGUGAGAAGUACCUUGUUUGUGGUUUUUCGUUGUAUAGGCACUUUAAUUGUACUGCAAAAAUUGGAGGUCCAUAUUUGGAAGUUAUCUCUUGUUCCGUAGACUGAUGCCAAUUUUCAGGAGAUGGGCGGAAUUGAGCUACAGUCCAUUCAUGGGCUAUAUACUGCUAAUAAAUACGUGACUGCAAAGUUGCAGUCGCGUUGCUAUGCUGCAUCUUUGCAACAAGCAAGCUUUAUUGUUGUAUUUUAUCAUCUUUGGAAUAAUAGGCCUCGUGAGGUGGAUGGAAGUAAUUUUGAAGCCCUUUUAGUUAGGGAUCAAAGGGCGCAAGAAUAAUAUCUUUCUGAUCAAUUUGACAUAGGGAUUUUGAUUUCCAAUAGUCACAGGAAUAUGUUAGUAGUCUGCAUCUAAAGCUAUACCAUGUUAUUCUCUUUUAGAUUGUGUAAAUAAGUGAUUCUGCAAAGUAUUGAGCAUGAUUUUCUUUUUACAGUUCGAUUUUAUUUCACAGGUUGCACAAAUAAAAUAGAAUCACAAUCAAUUAAGCUUUGUCUGAUAAAUUUAACAUGCAUGGCAGCCUCUCCAUGUGGGAUUUAUUGGAGAUGAAGGUGGAAACACAAUAACUGUUCGCUGGUACCGGAGAAAGACAAAUUUGCACCAUGUAGGUCCUUAACCAAAACUAUUUGGACUAAAGUCUCAUUCAAUUCUUCUUUGAUUGUCAUUUUUUUAUCACGAGCACCAUGAGCAAAUCAUAAAUCAAAUGUGGCUCUACCAACGUCUGGUUUGGAACUUCAUGAAUAUUGCUGGAAAAAUAUACAAGGUAGCUACUGUGGUAAAGUGCAGAAUUCAUUCUGAUGAAAUUAAUCAUUUGCCACUUUUGACAUGUGACUAGUCUAGGAAGAUGCCCACAAAACACUGUUCCUUUUAAAAAUAUUAGAAUUAGUUGUUGAUUAAUGCCUACUUGCUUUAUGUUGCCUCCCCUGCUUUCAGGUAUGGGAUACUAUGAUCAUUGAAUCUGCUUUAAAGACCUAUUAUAACUCCGAUCUUACGACUAUGAUACAAGCAAUUCAACAAAAUAUCACAGUAUGUUCUCUUUGUCCUUUUCUACCUUCACUGCUUGAGUAGUUUCAUGCACUAUGACAAGGCUAUUGAAAUUCAGAGGGACUACAUCAUGCAUAGUCCAUUAUUACAGACAGUCAUGUGCUACAGAAAUUGAAGUAGAAAAAAACAUUGACAUUUCAGUUGGUAUUCUCUUCUAUAGUCCUUGCUGAAUAUGUGGAUAAUUGUGCUCAUUCAUUGUAGGAGCAAAACCAGAUUGUCUUAAAUAAUGACAAAUGAAAUCUUUUCAUGAUAUUCUUACACAGAAGCUCACCUUGGAAUGGAGAGCUAAUCCUGACAUAAUAAUGUUACCGUCUCAUUGUCCCAUAUUCUUCUCCUGUUUUGAAAUCCUGUCCACAUCAUGGUCUUUAUUGUAACAUAGUGUAUCUGUUUGAUUAAAUUUGCAAGGAACUAAUUUGUGCGGUGUGGGGAAGUAAGCAUUUCUUGAUUGCAAAACACUGCCUGGACUGUUUUCUGUCACAAUCUAUACACAUUACUAUCUGUUUAUCUUUUUUCUUAACCUGUAACAGAAUGAGGAUAUCUCAUCGUGGGAGAAUUGCAAUGGCACAGUUUGUCCAGAUCCGUGAGCACUUCUUUCAGUCACUCCUAUCAGUUUUUGUGUUUGUCAUGCUCAAGAUGCAUGUUUUUAUAUUUAUAAAUGUCCAAUUAUAUUGCGAUGCUUGAUUCCAUUUUAUGUGCUUCCCAAACUUGCAUGUCAUUUGGCACCAAAUUAGUGUUCCCAUGGCUGUUCUGUUUCCAUAUGGCAAUAAAAUUUAAGGAGGUCAUAUUAAGUAUGGCUUUUGAACAUGGAUUAAGCUGGUAAAGAUGCUGUCAGGUAAUGCAUAUCUGCUUGAGCUUGGGGACUCUAGUGGUUAAAGUUGAGGUCUAACAUUUUGCAUUACAAAGCUCAUCUUCUGCAUAGCUGAGUUUAGAUGAUAAAUGUUUUAUUAGCUAUACCAUUAUAACUCCCUAGUGAUCUAAAUUGUAGUAGCACUGUGUUUCAGGUAUGCUUCUGAAAGUGUAAAUCUCGCAUGCAAGUUUGCCUACAGAAAUGCUACACCAGGAAGCACUCUAGGAGGUGGUACUCCUUUCCCUUUAUUUCAAAGUGAAUCCAUUUGGAUGCAUACAUCUAUUUCUUUUUAGCGAUCAGUGAAGCCUUUUGCCUUUUUUAACGAGGAAGGCGCAGACAAAGUAAGAAACUACCUCUAGAAGGCUUUUUCCAGGAACUUUCUCCUGUGAAGCUGGAUUAUUUCUUCUGAAGUAGCGUUUUAAAGAAAUGUUUUUAGUUCGAUUAGAUUAAACGAAUCCUAUAUGAUAUAUGAAUUUUGGCAUUAGUUCUUUUUUUUUUUUUUUUUUAUCUAUCCAAGUCACUUAAUAGCAUAAAAAAUUCUAACAUGCAUUGUUUCAUCUGUUGAUUAAUUGCAUCAGCAACUAGCAGUAAGUUAAAUUCAAACUGCUCCUCUCUCUGUCCUUGGGAUUUUUAAAGUAUAUAUUUGUGAGGAUUAGGAUGCUUGAUCAGUGCCCUAAUCAUGUUCUUCUUCAAAUUGUCUUCCAUAUCUAAUUUUGUUUGCUAUUGGUCUUAUAGAUGAUUACUUUAUUUCUCGGUUGCCUGUUGUGGAGAAGAGACUGGCUCAGAGUGGCAUCCGCUUGGCUGCUGUUCUCAAUCGUAUCUUCUCUUCAAAUCUACCAAUUGCGAAAGAGUGAAAGAAAAUGUUAGGAUAUGGGUAGAACAUAAUGGUUCAGCAGUUGGGGAAUAGUAGCCCCGUUAUGUAAAAUUCAAAUCUGCAACUCAAGUAAACCAAGCUUCCUUACCUAUUGUAUGUUAGUACAAAACUUCGUUAUGUUGAUAGGGUUUUUCUAAUGGAUGCCUAUGGGUACCUGUUAAUGUAACUAACAUUCACCUCAUCUAUUAUAUAUAUAUAUAUAUUAAUAAUUAUGAGUAAAUCUUAUAUACACUGACAGUGUUUAUAUUAUCACCAUUGGAUGUAUGACAUAUGUGCGAAAGUUGGAUUUUAAAUGCAAAUUUUAUGUAGUUGUCAUUCAUUCAAGACUGACGGUGUAUACACUGUUAGUUAGUGUAGGAAAGAUUAGUUCUAAUAAUUAUUACCCUCCCUUAAAUUUAUGUACUCUUUCUAUUUAAUCUUAUUUACCCUUGGAUUUUUGUACUUUUGCAUCAUUAAAUCACCUUAUGGAUUUCCUCCGUAUUUGUAGAAAGGGGAAUUGUUCAAUUUCCGUCUUAGGUUUUGAGCCUGUUCGCAUUUGCAUUAUUGUUUUCUUCUUCGAAUUAAGAUUUUUAUUAUUCAACUAAAAAUCUCGGGGGGCUCUUAAUCUUUCCGUAAAACAAUGAAAACCUUUUAAAUAAUGUGCUAUGGUAUGUUAUCAUGGGGCAUUCUGUCAAUACAUGUACUUCACGUCCAACUUAUAUUACAUAAUUACACACAGAAAUAUUAUACCUUUGAAUUUGACCACUUUUUCUGUAAAUUUGAACACUUUUGCCAAAAAAUUAACUCCAGGUCCUCUCAUCUCAUUACAAGUGUCUUUCGAGCACACUUGUUUGCCAAACUCCCUUAUUAUCAUUUAUGUUUCCAUUUUAGGAUAGAUUUUGGGUAUAGAUAUUUUGUUUCCAAGCUUGAAUAUAGAAUUUAGAGGUGGCAAAAUGGACGGAAUGGGUGGGAUUUGCUUGGGUUUGUGAUGGAGCCGAGUCAUAUGGGUUUGGGACCAAUCUUACCCAUAUGUGUUUUGGGACUAACUUGGGCGGGAUCACUUUGGGAUGGGUUUAGAUUGAUCCCGCCCAAUACCCAAAUCUAUUUUCUACAUAUAUUUUUUUUUCCUUUAAUUCAUUUUUAUUUUUUGUAUAAUUUUAAUAUUUUUUAUUUAUUAAUAUUUUUUUAGUUUUAUUAAAUAAACAUGCAAGUGCUUUAUACUCAGGAUUCCCAUCAAAAAUUGGAUUAACAAAUAAAGGAAAAAAUGGAUAUACAGUCAUAUUCCAACAUAUAUCAAGAUGGCCAAGGUACUUAAGGUGUUGAAUAUUUAUCCUCAUCAUUGUCCAAAGAUGACAGGUCUAAAUUGACUGAAAUGUUGAAAAUUCUUAUGGAUAAUGACUAGGAAAACUACUAGAUUAUAUUAUCUAGUAUGACUAUAAAAAUUGUUAAAGAUAAUUUUUGAAUCUAAGACUCCGUUUGGAUUGGCUAUUUUUUCAAAAAAUAAGUUUUUCAAAUACAAUGUUACAGUAAUAUACAAUAACUCAAAAAACAUCCCAUCCAUAUUAGUAUAUCAAAUAUUUCAAAAAAAUUUAUAGUAAAAAUUUUUCAUAUACACUGCUAUAAUAAAAUAUUUCAAAAAUACCCCCCAAAAAUAGCUAAACCAAACAGAACCCUUGUUAUUCGAGCCCAAUGGGUACCCAAGUAUUUCCCAAGUAUUCCCAUCAAUUAAUGGGUACAAUUGGGAUUUAUCCCAUUUUAAACCCAAUAUCAAAAUUCAAUACCCAUCCCGCCCAAAGUCCCCAUGGGCAUGGGUAACCCAUUGGGACUUGGGACAAGUUGCCACCUCUAAUAGAAUUUUAUUUACUCAAUAGAUCAAAAAAAAAAAAAAACUUCAAAUUUACUUUUUACAUGCUGAUAUGUAAAGAUUAUUAUUGAUGUUCAAGUUCUACCAAAAAAAUCUUGAGCCAGUGAUUUUGUCAAACAGAUUAGUCCGAAUGCUCCUUAGCACUCAUCUGCUUUGUCCUCAUUGACUAGUUUGGAGGUAUUAUAUAGUUAAAUGCAAAAGCUAAUCACAAAAUUAUGGUUCCUAAUUCUUCCAUGGCAUCAAAAGAUGCUUUCAGAUUAUUACAUCACAACGAUAUACUCCCUCCGUCCCACUCUGAUAGUCCUGUAUUCCUUUUUCAUCUGUCCCAAAUUAUAGUCCCCUUUCCAAUUGAAGAAUGUAGUUGUAUUUUAAUUUUUCUAAAAUACCCUUAUUCAAUGUAAGUAGUUGUUACUAUAAACCUACCAUAUUUAAUGAGAGUUGAUUCUUUUUUUACCAUCAAUUCAACUUCCCAUAAAGUUAUACAAUAUUUAAUGUGAGGGUAUUUUAGGAAAAUAGCAAUCUAAAUUUACUUUUCCAACAAAGUUAACUACUUUUUCUUAAACUGUGUGAAAAAAGAAACAGGACUAUCAAAAUGGGACGGAGGGAGUACUUUUUUUAGAAGUAUGCAAAUCAAUUACUUGCAGAUAUGCUUCUGCAAACUUCAACGAUGGCUUCAUUGGUGCAGAACUGGUUUUCGUAGCCCUUCAAUUCUGGGUGAAAAUGAAGAAGUUUCACAAGAAUUAUGUCAUUUCUGCAAAUGGCUUAGUUUUGCAAGCAGUUUAUCAUGUUAUUGAUCAUAUACUGUACACUGUCUCUAUCCCUGUGGGUUAGCAACCUCAGAGGUUAUCCUUGAGAGCAGUUGGAAUGUCAUCCGACGCACUUUUUAAUAGUAAUUCUCAACUUGUUUAGCCGAUUCAAACUUCUACGAACUAUUUACUGAAUUAUUAGAAGAAGCAUGUGCGCUUGACAAAUUUUACUGGAUUGUUUAUAUGGUCGAAGGAUUAAGAAAAGGACGUGCUCUCAUUGAGAAAAGUCAUUAUUUUGUCCGGUUCACAUCUCCUAUGCGUCAUGAUCUACACAAUCAGAGACAGGAUUAUGGGAAAUUGCAGACAAUGUGGUUUCUUCUGGUUGAUCAAUUCUUAGAAUAUUGCCAUUCUAUCAACAGCAACUUCUCUGAUUAUUUCAAAUAGCCUGCAAGUCAGCGUGUUAAAUAAUCAAUCUGGUCGAAAUGUGGCUGCAUUUCUUGGCUGAAUUUCUGCCUCGCACCCAACAACUGCAAACUAAUUGAGUAAAGAACAUCGAAAGGGGACCAGGGGCUGCACCCUCCCUAAUGAUAUCAGUUUCCCCCACGUCAAGAAGUGAUCAACUACCUAAUUAACAACCAUGAUUCCUUUUGAAGUCAACUUUUUCAUAAAGCCAAUCAGACCAGGGUUCCUUUCGCGUUCUUCUUGAUGUUUGAGAUGCCUGGAAUAUGCUCAUCUUGCUUCUAAUGAAAAUCAACAUGCAAUUCUCAUUAGAAUAUUGUAAAGGUUUUUCUUGCACUCAAUGACAAGUCCCUUAAUUAGUAAAAUAUAAUUUGACAGGAAGGAGCUGAUCACAUGGAAUUAUAUAUAGAACUAAGUUGUCUUGGUUGGUCUUUCUUUCUGCUUUCGAUUUCACAAAACAAGCUGAACAUCCGUCAAAAUGACAACUUCCAAAAUCUUGUCGACAUUGCCUUCAGUACUGGUCAUUUUCUUUCUUUCUAAUCCUUUCAAUCCAAAUCCUGGUGUUCGAGCAUGGAGCAAAGAGGGCCAUAUCAUGACAUGCCAAAUUGCACAGGUAAAGUAGAAUUUGAAGCUCCAAGCCCUUUAGAUGGAAAGCAGAUGAAUGAGUAGGAAUUAUGUGUAGGAUCAUUUAUUUUCAUUGGUUAAUCGUAUUAUACGAGAAAUAAUUAGAUAAACAUAGUGAAAAUAAUUUCGACUCUAACAUUUAUCUCCUCUGAGAACAGGAUCUCCUGGAACCUGAUGCAGCCCAUGCGGUCAAAAUGUUGUUGCCCGACUAUGUUAACGGGGACUUGUCAGCCCUGUGUGUAUGGCCUGAUCAAGUGAGGCACUGGCACAAGUAUAGGUGGACGAGCCCACUGCACUUCAUUGACACCCCUGAUAAUGCCUGCAACUUUGAUUAUGAAAGUAAGCAUAAUUUUAUGGUACUUUUUGAAAUUGAAUGACCAAAGUAACAUCACUUACAUUGUAACCAUGAUUUGGCCUAAAAGGGGACUGUCAUGAUCAACAUGGAGUUGAGGAUAUGUGUGUUGCUGGUGCCAUCCAGAAUUUCACUACUCAGCUUUCACAUUACCGCCAUGGAUCUUCUGAUCGACGACGUAAGAUUCCAAGCCAAAUCUUAAGCAAUUCUACCCCUUGUGGGAUGCUAUAACCUGCACGCUCUGAAUAUUUGUCUUUCAAUGAUCACAGAUAAUAUGACAGAGGCCUUGUUGUUUCUUUCACACUUUAUGGGAGAUAUACAUCAGGUACGGCGUCUGAUCGAAAAUUUUCUCUCUCUCUUGUUCAAUUAGUUUAGUGUUCAUGUUGCCACUGUAUUUGAUAGUUGUGAAUAUCUAACGCAAUUUGUUGCUUCUGUUUCAUUUUACUCUCUCAGCCAAUGCAUGUAGGCUUUACAAGUGAUGAAGGAGGAAACACCAUAAAUUUGCGCUGGUUUAGGCACAAAUCCAAUCUGCACCAUGUGAGUAUUGACAUCGAUCUAACCUGUCAUGAAAUCACAAAUUUGGGAGAUAACUGUCACGUAUUAUUCACAUCUAUGCAUAUAGGUCUGGGACAGAGAGAUUAUUCUUACGGCUGCUGCAGAUUACUACGGGAAGGAAGUCGACCUCCUUGAGCAAGACAUAGAAAGUAACUUUACAGAUGUAAGUAUCUAAAUAAACUGGAUUGUAUCCUACUUGUAACACAUAAUUUGGGAGCUUGGUUAACAUAUUGAGCAUGGCUUUUCUUGCCUGUUACAUUCAUAGUCUUUAGGGCCACUUUUUCCAUUAACUAAAUUUAUAGAUUGCUUCAUGGAACAGGGAAUCUGGUCUGACGAUCUUGACUCCUGGAGGGACUGCAGUGAUCUCCAUACCUGUGUAACCAAGUGAGCUUUCUCCCUGAAUCUCUUUUAGGCAAGCCAAGAAAUUGAUCUAGUGAGAAGAAGGCACUCUGCUUCUACUCUCUGGUGCCAAAAUUUAGACGUAGGCUUUAAUUGUUGACGGAUGUUUUUCCUCACAAACACAGGUAUGCAGCAGAAAGUAUCAAUAUUGCUUGCAAAUGGGGUUACAAGGGAGUUGAGGCUGGAGAGACUCUCUCUGGUAUUACAAAUAAUUUGAUCCUCCAAUAAUCCAAAACUAAAGUUCCAUUUCAUCUGUUGUUAUUGCUUGUUAAGCCAAAAGAAUAAUAAUGCUUUGGCUUCUUUGAUUACAGACGAUUACUUCAACUCCAGACUGCCCCUGGUGAUGAAACGAAUAGCUCAGGGUGGAGUUCGAUUGGCCAUGUUCCUCAAUCGAGCUUUUGGCCGUUCUCAAGAUGAUUUCCUUGCAGCAACUUGAUUGUGUUGGUUCCAUUUUGAACCAACUGCUAGAUUUAAUUUGACCAAAGACGCAUCUGCACAGCCUGCCUUCGUAGAAUCCGUAGUCAUCAGAACAUGAAACUGAUCAGUUAAUAUUUGUGCUCGCUUAUAACUGGCGAAAUUUAGAUAGGACAAACAAUAACGUUGUCUGAAAGCAUCGGCAAUGAACAACAAUUCGUUCAUGACCUUAAAUUAUGAAAAGCUAGAUGUAAUCUUGGAAGAUACUUUACAGAAUAAAGUUCCUGUUCAAAAUUGAGAUAAACAUUUACUAUGUCGAAAAUUUUCAAAUCUCCCUUUCUCUCCUUUUCAUUUGAUCUCAUAGAUGAGGAGAUUUAAAUUACAUUUAGCUCUACAUAAUUAAGUUCCUAUUCAAAAUUGAGAUAAACAUUUACUUUGGAUGCAUUUGAUAAACUGAAAUAUGAAAUCGAGAAGUUUGAAUCCAUUAAGUUAUUAAAUUGUUAAAUACUAAAUCUGAUACAUUGGAGUGUAUAUCAUGUUAAGGACAUAGCUUAUCCCUUAUUUUAGGAAAUAAAUUUUGUCUAAAAAAUUCCGUGCAACUUAAUGAAUUUACAUGUUCAAUUUAUUGUUAUCAAACAGGUCUGAACUUAUUAAAAUCUGAAUUCAUCAAGCCUAAAUGCUGAAUUAGAUUAUUAAACAGAGGAUAUGUUGAAAAUUUCUAAUUUCUUGGACAUUUUCCCGGUCUAUGGCAUCUAAAAAUGCCGCCUGAUAUGUGGCUUCAAAUCCUCUAUCUAUUUUUCUUGCCUAAUCUACACGGCUUCUUAUCAAACAAACUUAUAACCUAACUUCCAAAUUUAAAGAAAGCUUUUCAUGUGACUAUGCACAAGCACAAACGCUUCGCCAUUUUUCUGUAACUAGUAUAAAGACAAAAUCAAGAAACUAAUUAGAAGCCAUCAUCAUGAAAUCUGUACCUUCCAAGUCUUUACCUAUUCUUUUGUCCAGAUUUUUUUUUUUUUUUUUUGACAAGGGAAUCGCAACCGUUAUCCGAGAGUGCGUAUUGGGUAAAUUCUGUCCCGUGCAAUAGUUCGUCAAUCACAUGGAAGGAUAAGACGCACUAGACAAAUCCUGUGCGAUGGAUAGACGUCCCAGGAGAAUUUUAUCCAAAUUUUGAAAUCCCUUGUUUAUCAUUCUCCUCCUACGUGCAUCUAAAAAUAAAAAACAAUCAAUCCCGCAAUAAAAGAAACAUGCAGUUGACACCAUAUAUUGAUUCUCCUUGUACAUUCUUUUACGCCCUGCUACUAGUUUGACAAGUCUAAUCGGAAGAUAAAAAAGGAUGCUUAAGCACUUCUGACAAACAACCAGAUACAUUUUGGACAAACAAUGAUUAAUUAGAAGAAAAAACUGUUUUUUCACCAUAGGCAAAAGGGAUUGCAAAUUCCCUUAAUCCCUUUUACCUUUCAGAUGAAAACGAUCACAAUUUUACUGAAUCACCUUGUUGAAGAAAAGAAAAAAAUUUUUUAUUACUUUUAAUUCAGAACUGCCAUGAAAUUGGAUAUCUGCCACGCUGGAAAUUCUUGAGAGAUUAAUUCGUUUGGGCCAAACUGAUAGGAAUAGGCCUUUUCCUAACAUUUGGGGACAGUUUGGGUCAUUAGAUGUUGCGGAAGGUCAUCCAUUAGCCCAAUCAGUAUAUAAAAUGGAGAUAUUUCUUUAGAGAUCAAUUUGUUUGGACCCAAUUUUAGAAGCUCGACACAAGAUCAAUAAUGUAACGCUGCCGACUAAUAUUAAUUAAUGCUGUUGAAAAUGACUUGAGAUUUCAGACCAGGAAACAAGUACUCCAGCGACGAGAACCUAACGAGCACAUGUUAAUAUACAAUCAGACAGCGAGGCAACAUUCCUUCCGCUCCUUUUUUCCCCGCUCUUUGGCUCGUCGUGUCUAGGGAUGGCGACCCCUCCCCCGCCCCCCGCCCCGUUGCCUAUUAGUUCCCCCCGUCCCCCGCCCCGUCCCCCGCCUCCUGCUCCCCCCCCGCCGCCCCGCCCCGCUUCCCCCACGGGUGCCCCCGCGGGAUUAAUAAAAUUUUAUUAUAUAAUUUUAUUAUAAUUAAAUUUUAAUAAAUAAUCAAGUACUAAAAUAUCAACACAUCACCAAAUUAUUAUUUAUUGUAAUUUUACAAUUGAAACUCAUAAAAACAAUCAAACAAAAGUUAUUUUAAUACAAUCCAAUAUGAUGAAAUAAAUAUAACUAAAAUAGUCAAGUUUUCACUUUUAGUACAAAUGCAAUCACUAAUUCAUUAUUGUGUUUGUGCUUUUUUUUUUAGAAAAAAGUGUUAUUCUAUUAAGUGUAAUUAGAAAUUUAGUAUAAAUAUAUUAGUAAAUUUAAUAUAACUAAUUAAUAAAUUCUAUUAGUAGACAUGUAGAAUUAUUCAUAUAAUUGAUUAUAUCAAUUAUAUUACAUAAACUAAUAUACAUUAUAUAGUAUAUCUAACUAAUAAUAUCAUUAUCAUAAGUUUAUAACUAAUUAACUUAUAUGUUAUAUAUAAUUAUAUAUAUUUUUAUAUUUUUUUUUUGUUUUGCGGGGGGCGGGGCGGGGGAUGGGGCGGGGGUAUACGAGAACCCCCGCCCCCCGCCCCCCGCCCCAACCAGUAUUUAAACACAUGCCACGUUUUCUACUCGUCUGAUUUCAGUCUGAAAUUUCGUGCAGGCUGACAAUUUUUAAUUUAGCAGAGUGAGAGAGGGGAGAGACCAAAACUUUCUUUUCUUGUUCCUCAAGGCUCAAAAUCUGCAAUAUUUAAAAACCAUUGCAAUAAAAUAUCAAGCAACCUUUUUAAUUUUCAGUCUGAAACGUUGCCGCUCCUGAGAUCGUGUACCAAGUGGCUUGCCUCAGCCUUGCUGCCGCCGCCGCCACCAUUCUUCUUCAAACGCUGCUUCAACUAUCGGUAAUGCACGUCACUGCGAAAGUGUAACCAACACAACACACAUGCGUAUAAUCCUACGUAUAUCGCGUGUAUCAUUGUUCUUGUAUAUAUACGAUUAUGUGCCGUUGCAAUUUCUUUCUUUCUUCCUGAAUUUUUUAUUUUCGGGAUUUUGGAGUAAUAAGUUUUUAGAGCGAUUUUAAAGAAAUGCAUGCCUUCCGCAGAUUGCUUUGUUAUUCUAUUUUUCUUGAUUCAAACUUAUGUUCGUCAUAAUCCUACUUACAGAAUUUUGGUGCAGCAUUUUCUGAGUAUCGAAUCGUAUUUCGUGGUUUAAGAGAGGUUUUAGCUGAUCAUGAAAUUCGCCGUUGCAUUGUGAAAUUCGAUUUGGUGCCUAAUUCAUAAAUGAACGGUCACAUGGACGAUUCUAACUUUUUUUCUUUUUUAUUUUUGGCGUGAUUUUCUUCGCAGCUAAUAAUCAUUUACCAGGUAGAGGUAAAUAGUAGCAUCAACGAUAUUCGGCUUAAGUUUCAAGUCGAUUGCAGGUAAAGAAACUGCACCUUCUUCUUACUUUCUUCGUAAGGCACACUGGCACAGCUACAGGGGUAGAUAUUAAGUAUGCGAAUCAGACUGAGAUUUCACUAUCAAUCAGCUACAAAUAAAUAUUACGUACUCUUGGUAAUAUAGGAGCAAUUACAGCCGUUUCAGAUCUGUUCCCUUCUAUAGCAUAUUACGAAGUAUAUUUUUCUUUGAAUCUGCCAUCAACCAAUUAAAAACUCGCUGGCGAAUUUUGUAUUUUCGUCAUCUUGGUCUUAGAAACCAACGUGGUCUCGCUUUAAUCAUCUAGACUUGCCCAUUUUUCUGGAACUCUAAAUGCCUUAAUGCUUGGCCUGUACUGUUCUUCCGUUUGAAAGGAACUGACUAUGUGCUUGCUAUUACUAUAAAAGAUUGCCUUGUGGGAUCAUUGACUUAAUUUGAAAUUUGAGGGCGAUAAUUGCUGCUUAAUUUGCUUUUAGUGCGAGAAGAACCCAAGGGGUAUCAGCUCCUUUGACUGGUACUCUGAAAUGGCACUAGCAAGGUUUUCAAGGAGUGGGUUGAGACGAUCUGGAAGUGCCAUUUGCAGUUAUGCCGAUGAGAGGAAUGUACCAUUUGAAAGGGGAUCAGUGCAAGAGAGCCCUUCAACUUACAUGCGAAAUGUCAGAGGAGGAGGCAAUUUCUCGUACCUCUCAAACACCGAGAAGGUAGAUUACUCUUGUAUGUGGAUCAGAGGAAUGAGGAUGACCCCUCAAUAUCAUUUCGCUCAUGCACAAAGCGUCAUGGAAGGGUAUGAUUCAGAGUAUGAAAGCACCAGGUAUCCCACUCUGGAAGCCACAAAGCCAGGCGAAAAACCUAGAGUGGUUGUUCUUGGCUCUGGCUGGGCAGCGUGUAGAUUCCUUAAGGGGCUUGAUACCAAGAUAUAUGAUGUUGUUUGCAUAUCACCGAGGAAUCACAUGGUUUUCACUCCUUUACUUGCAUCAACCUGUGUUGGUACUCUGGAAUUCCGUUCAGUUGCUGAGCCUGUCAGUCAGAUUCAGAAAGCACUAGCAAAGGAUCCUAAUUCUUAUUUCUUCCUGGCUUCCUGCACUGGCAUUGACACAGAAAAGCAUGAGGUAAAUUAAUUUUCCUGCGCUGCAUUGUUCCUUUCUUUUUUAUGAACAUUUCAGUCUCGUAUAGAAUACUAUAUCACCAAAGCAACCUGAUAAAGUAUCAAUAUGGCAACCAAAUACAGGAAUUCUUUUGCACUCACAAGUUGCUUGGGAGGAAUCAAACCUUCACUUUGCAAUUUGCAAACAAGAACUGAAAAUCUGUUCUAAGACCAGAAGAAGUUUCUUCACAAAAUGCUAAUAAGAGGAUUCGAAUGGCAUUGUAUUUUGAACUACCUGCGUAUACACUCUGUAUAUUCAUUUCGACGCUAUUGAAUUACUACAUGGAGAAACCUUCUUAAUGUGUUUAUGUUGAUUUGUCUAUCAGGUGUAUUGUCAGUCCGUUGAAAAUGGUGCACUGCAUCACGAGCCCUACCAGUUUAAAGUAGCAUAUGACAAACUUGUCAUUGCUUCUGGAGCUGAGCCCUUAACCUUUGGCAUUAAGGGAGUUAAGGAACAUGCUUUUUUUCUUCGAGAAGUGAAUCAUGCACAAGAAAUAAGGAAGAAACUUCUAUUGAACCUCAUGCUCUCUCAAAACCCAGGUGAUUAUUCCCUUCACCGCUCUCCUACAAGAGGAAGACAAAGUUAAGAUGACACCCAUAUACGGAUGCCAAAUUUAUGUUUUAUUUGAUCAUGGGAAGUGAAAAGUACAGAUAGCUUGACAUUUCUGGUAUUUGGUCCAUUUUGUUCUUUUCAAGUCUUCUGGCUUAAUAUAGAAUAUAGUUAUUAGGCGUCCGAUAACCAGUAUUUCCAGUGCCUUUCAUCAUUUUCAAAAACUUUGUGGUUUUAAACUAUUUGUAAUAGUAAAGGAAAGGGGGCUAGCUUUUUACAUGACAUCAAUAAUUCAAAGUAUAGAGGUGCAUUUUUAGUGUAAUAUCCACAUGAACCUUGGUCUUAUGAUUAGUCCUGAGUAAUUGAAAUGUACUACAAAGUUUGUCUCUUAAGCUUAGCAGCAAACCAAAAAAAAAAAAAAACAGAGAGAGAGAGAAGAAGGGGGGGGGGGGGGCGCUAAUAUAUCAUAAUUCUUAUGCUUAAUGAAGUGCAUGGAUGACAAGUUUUGAGUUUCAGGGUUGAUUUUCUCAUUCUUUGGCUGAUUACUGUAGAUCUUCACGGUAGUUGCUCGUGAGCAGCUUAAACAGACUGAUUACACAGUUAAUGAAGAAAAGAAAUUGUACAUGAUCUUAGUUGUGUAGGCAUAAGUUAUAUGAUCUAUGACCUAAGGGUUGUUGUAUAUUAAUACCCUGGAUAUGAUCUCACCAUGAGGAUAGAAAUUACUCACCACCCUCAUGCAUGCUCACAGGCAUUACAGAAGAAGAAAAGGAGCGCCUCUUACAUUGCGUUGUUAUUGGGGGAGGUCCUACUGGGGUGGAGUUUAGUGGUGAAUUGAGUGAUUUUAUAAUGAGAGAUGUACGCCAAGCGAUAUGCUCAUGUGAAAAACUACAUUCGUGUUACUCUCAUUGAGGUAUAAAUUUCUCUGGCAGUCUGAAUAAACUAGAUGUCAGUGGAUGGCCUCAGCAUGAACUACAAACUUUGUCAUUUCUUUCUAUACAGGCGAAUGAGAUCUUGUCAUCAUUUGAUGUUGGAUUACGACAGUAUGCCACAAAGCACUUGACCAAGGUAGCUUUUGUUUCCUUUUCCUGAAAGAUCUCGGCUUUUUUGGUGGCUUCGUAAUAUUAACAACUUCCAAAACUUGAACAGUGUGGUGUUCGCCUUGUAAGAGGUGUUGUAAGAGAGGUGCACCCUAAGAAAAUAGUCCUCAGUGACGGAAGUGAUGUUCCAUAUGGUCUCCUUGUCUGGUCUACAGGAGUUGGUCCGUCUGAGUUUGUAAAGUCACUAGAUCUGACCAAGUCUCAGGGUGGAAGGUACAAUUUCUGCAUGUUUACUGCAUCAACUUUUUGGUCCUUCAUUCUUUUUCUCGAGUAAUGAUGGACCUUAUGAUACAACCUCUUGCACUUGCAGAAUUGGUAUUGAUGAAUGGCUGCGAGUUCCUUCUGUUGAUGAUGUGUUUGCACUUGGAGAUUGUGCUGGUUUCCUUGAACAAACAGGGAGGCAAGUACUUCCAGCACUAGCGCAGGUUCAGCACGUAAACCUAUUGCUUGUUCUUGGUAGUGGUAGUGAUUAAUUUCUGUCUGCAACUGCUUUCACUUUACCUUUUUUGGUUAUUUAUUUUUGGCUUCUUGUCCUUUAACCCUUCAGUUCUGAAUGGUACUUAGAUGCUCCCCUUUUUCUUCUCUCCUACGUACAACAUUGAGCUUGAUUAUUGCCACGGCAACAACUUAGCUCCAAGGUGGAAAUCUUAUCUUUCAGUAGAUUAUCUGAGAUCAGUUAAUUAUGAUGGACUAAGUGGAGACGUGCUAUGAUGUUUGACCAACUAAAUGCUACAAACAUUAAGAACAGGUUGAGGCUGUGCUUUCGACUAUGGUCAGAAUAGUAGUAUGCAUUUGCUGGCAAUAACUGUAGUAAUGUUAGUAAUGAUGAUGAUAUAAUAGUUUGAAACAUGAGUCCAUUGAGUCCAUUCUGUGCAUAAUGCACAGUAUACUCCUGCUUAAAUCUUAGAACUUCAGCAAUAAGGGGGGGAAUUCAAAUUUAAGGACUAGAGUUUGUUUUGCUUCAAAGCAGGAAGAGACGAAGAAAUGGCUUCUUUUUCAUUGUUUAGGAGCGACAUUUGAUUUGCUAGCAACGUACGAUUGACGAGUCAAACUAGGCAAGAUUGGAAUUAGUAUCCAAGUUUGGGUACAUGCGUUCAAAUUUCCAUCACUUGCUUGGUCCAGCGUAAUGUAUAUGAUACUACAUCCCUUUCCCAGUAAAACUUCUACCAUGUGCAUACGUCGUGUAUUUUCAAAAUGUUAUGAAGUUUUACAAUCGGCUGCAUGAUAUUGACAGCGUGUUUCCACCUGAUUACGGAUUGGUGUCUGUAGCUGUUUGUACUAGAGAUAUUUUCAGAAUGUGAAGAAGUCUCAAGUUCUUUCACUUGUAAAAUGCCUUAAUUAGGUAGCAGAAAGGCAAGGGAAGUAUCUAGUUGAGUUGUUCAGUAAAAUCGGCACAAAAAAUGGUGGCAAGGCACUAUCCAUGAAAGACAUUCCUUUGGGGGAGCCCUUUGUCUACAAGCAUCUUGGAAGCAUGGCAUCUGUAGGUCGGUACAAGGCAUUGGUUGAUCUUCGCCAGUCCAAGGUACUGAUCAUUGUUAGAGCUUCACUUGCUUAAAUUCAUUUGAAAGAAGCAAUCUUCAUACCCACAGAGCAUGCACGCUAUCUAGAAUCUUUAUUAAUUUAUCCAACCUUAUCAAUCACACAUUUGCAAAAACAGAUCAAUUAGUUGGUCCCUGCAAUAAUUUAUCAAAGAAGUUACUAGGUGCUAGCCUUCUUUCUGGAAAUGAGGAGUUAAAAGGAUUUAAAUGUCUUUUGCUUUGAAGUACAACCCUCUCUUUUCUUGUAUUUCUUUGUGCAUCACAUGUCCGAAGCUCUGUAGCCGACUCCAGGGAUAACUUGUGGCGGCUGCAUUAUCACAGUUAGGAUAACCGGGCAACCCUCCUUUCUUUUUUAUUUUCCUUUUUUUUGGUUAUCUUUUCGUGCAUAUCAUUUUCUGCAAGCUUCACAUAUUUGCUGUCUAAUAAAGCUGUCUUGCCUCGAAUUACAUCUGCAGUCACCUUAAUUGGCAUUAUCUAUUAGAUGAUGUUUGUGUAUUUUCCGCCAAGCAUCCCUGUCUCAAUUCCCAAAUGACUCACUUGAUUCGGUGUUGAUCCAUACUCAAUAUGACAGGAUGAGAAGGGCAUAUCCAUGGCAGGCUUUUUGAGCUGGCUAAUGUGGCGCUCGGCUUAUCUCACUCGUGUGGUGAGUUGGAGGAACAGGUUUUACGUGGCUGUGAACUGGGCUACCACAUUAGUCUUUGGCAGAGACAAUUCAAGAAUAGGAUGAACCUAGUAAAAUCAUUUUAUGUCGAAAUAGCAGUCAGGUCUUUUUUUUUUUAACCGCAGGCACCUUUUAAGUUUUAGCUAACUUUAGACUACUACUAUCAAUUAUUUACCAUGGUUAUAUCAUGUUAAAGCAGCCAAUCAGGGUGGAAAAUUUUGAGAUAUGGGCUGGAAAUGGUUAAAUUUACGGUAUCAAGCACCCAAAUUAUUUAACAAUUUGCACCCUAGUCUUUCUGUCUCUUUCUUCUUCUUCUUCUUCUUCUUCUUCUUCUCCUUCUUUUUUUUUUUUUUUUGGGUGGGUUUUUAGGUACAUCAUGGAAUAUUUCUGUUGAAGCUCCAAUACGACUCCAGACGUACCAGCCAUUACUACUACUAAGUAAUAACCACUCCCCUUCUCAUCAAAUAACCACUCCAAUACGACUCCAAACCUAAAUGAUUCUCUCCUGUGUUUGAUUCGUUCCUAGUAGUAUUUGUCUAAUCCUUUCACAAUUUACACAAGUCUCCGGUUUCACAACAAAUUUUCUCCCAUGCACUUCGCCAAUUAGAUUCCAUCCAAAAUUAAAUUUAGCCUUGCAAUGGCAGUUACCCUGAGCAGCCACACUGGACGGUCAUAGUCUACGUCGAGAUUGACCAGUGCACGUUUCAAUUGACAAAUUGCUAGAAGUCAGUUAUAAUCAUCUGCCAAAUUUGACCAUUGACUUCAACUAUUCCCAUCUCCCCAAGGACCAUCUGAGCUGGGACAAACGGCGAGACAUUGAAAAGCCCAGCCUGCCCUUUAUGUUUGUGACUUUGGAGCAUGUGUGCGGUGUCCUUUUGAUCUCUUUUCCGCAGAAUUGGAGAAUAAUUGACAUUUUUCUAGCUUCUACCGCUAAAAAUUUUUAGAUGAUUGCAAACAUUCGGAAGAAUCACGCAGUUGGUAUAUAUUAUUGAUUGGUUAGAGCUCAGGUGUCCCAACUCAAAUUAUAUCACCGAGGGGCAUCAUGUUGAAGUUAGUAAAGGGGAAAGCGCACCAAUUGGAAUAGGAUCGGAAAGAACAAUUCAUUAACAUACAAAAAUUUACAAAGAGGUGGCCGGAUUCAGUGGAGCAAACAAAUGAAUGCUCCUCUCGGAUCCAUAACGCACAACUCUCUUCACAAACCCGCAAAAACUUUACUCCCCUCUCUCUCUCUCUCUCACACACACAAAUCUCUCUCAGUUGCCAUGCCAAGCUAUUUUCUUGAAAUCAUCACAAAGGGGUCCUUCGGCAAGAUUGAGAACGAGCACCGAAAGAGAAGAUGGAUGAUAAAGAAUGAGCCAAACCCAAGACUAUAGCCACCUUCACUUGACCUCUCUUUGGUAUUUGACGCCCAUAAACGCCAUGCCCCCUUGAAAUACUUCUGCCGUUGAUCAUCUCUCUUCUUACUCCUCCUGCCAUCUUGGAGAUUUCUUGAUGCUAGAAGCUUCUCUUGGCUUUGAGUAAAGCUUCGCUAAGAGUUUUUCUAGUUUCUUUCUUGGUGUGUUUGUUGCUUGCUUGAGAAAUGCACGAGUGAAGUGGAUAAGUAGUGGGCAUUUAAAGACCUCCGGGUUGCCAAUUGCCCUUAAGUUUGGCGAUAAUUACCAUACCAUAAUGCCACGAAAUGCGACAAUUAUUGCGCUCCUACUUUUGCACUCCACGACUCUGAGCAAGCUAAGAAAAGAAAGGGACUCUGAAAAUUGUUUGACGAAUUUGAC
rnacentral:lncRNA from 1 species